rnacentral:lncRNA from 1 species
CAGCAAAAGAAACUUCAGAGAAAACCAACUUGAAUGUAACAUUUUCAGGAUACCCACACAAAACCCCUCAUUCGGUGACCCUUUCGUUUUUCUUACAAGGAUUUGUAUAUUUCUUAAGUACAAGAUUUGAAUUCUUAGCCAAAUUUCAAAAAUAAAAACAAGUUUUAAAACUUUUCUUCAAUCCAAAUUUUAGCUUGGUUGUGAAAACGUGGGUAAAAAGCAAAUAACAAAACAAUAUAUUUAGAAGUGGUUGAGGUGUUUUGUAAGCUUAAUUUUCAAACACUAAAAAUUAAAAGGCUACGAAAGGGCCCCCACAUACCUUGCUAAUCUAUAGCCAAAGCACAUUCUAUUUUGUUGGACACUCAGAAUGAAAACAAGUUGAACAAUUGAAACAAAGAAAGUGCAAGAGAUAUUCAUAUCAAAAGAAUAAAUAUCAGAACGAGCUCUCAUUUUAUCAUUAACAUAUUUUCAUCAAAAUUUAUCUAAGCUGCCAAGUGCUAAAAGUAAUAACGGGGUGUCAGAAACGCUUGCAUCAUAAAUCAAUAACGUGACAUACGUAGAGUUUUACAACAUGAUCUAUCCUAAAUCCUAAUUAACUCAAAUGAAGAUUUCAAGCUGGCCUCAUUUCAAAAGUUGAGAUUGUAAAGGAAGGCUGCCCAUACAAGACUACCUUCUCUACAAAGUCAUGGAAAUGCAGUGGACAUUAUUGCAGGUAUUUAUUUGAAUCAGAAGAGUUGAAGAAAUAUUCCCAAGAAUCAAAUUUUAAAUAAGAAACAAUCAGAACAAGCAACGGCCACAUAGAUGUCCAGAAAAGUUGAUGAUCAUAAUACAUACCUCAAGAAUGAUUUCUCCAUUUUACCCUGGGAGCUUCUCUCUGCACCUGGCGCAUUAUGUGGUGACCCAUAACUGCUAUUUCCAUGUUUUUGGAAGUUAAAGGCACUGAAACUGCAAAAGACAAGGAAACACCCAAAAUGGAUUUGAAGAAAUAAUAAUAAUAAUAAGUUCAUACCAGAAGUCAUAUCACGUUUCUGAUAGACAAACAAUCAUUAAUGUAGGAAGUGUCAGGGGAAAGGGCUAAUGCAUUGCAUAGCUAAUGCUGAGAAUGAGAUGCAGAAUUUAACAGGGUUAAUAACUGACGGAUAAAGUGUAUUUAAAUGAGCUAAGAAGCACAAAUACAAAUACAAAACACGGGCAUGAAUACAGCGACAUGCCAUUGUUUAAAAAAGUCUAGGGCACGGUACACAAGGACACAUUUAUUGAACUAUACAUUUUUAAAAAUAUAUCACUUUUAUGCCAGAAAAAAAUCUAAGCUCGAUGCAUGUUCGCUAUAUUUCAUAUUAAAAAUUUUUAUUAUUAUUUUCAUUUAGGUGUCUUUGUAGUUUACUCAACAAGUGUUCUAUGCAUGCCUAACACAUAUGCUACACUAACAAGUGGUCAAUACGUGUCCAACAAGUGUCAAAGAGUCUUAGAACAACAAACGGACAUGCUGGCCAAACUAAAAUGUCUGUGCUGCUUUAAAUACAUAGGAAGCCCUAAGAGGAGGGUGGGGGUACUUAUGCUUUACUUAUGCUUACGUUUUGGUGGUUUGGUUUAGGAAGAGAGGGAACUCUUUGAAUUUCCCCCAGGCUUUACUUCUCUGAACUCUUUUGAAUCUCAUUUGACUCUUUCAUGCAGAAACAGAUAAGUGUAAGGAAAAAGUAAAGACCACGAUAAUUUGAAGAAACAUAAUAACCUGCAAACAUGACCAACACCUUCAAUAUGGACUGUGAAGUCUGCAAUAAACUGCAAAAUGUCAUCCACCCUCUGCAUAUAUAAAAUUAUCAGUGACUCGAAGACAUUGACCACACUAAAAUGAGAUGAGAUGAAAUCUCUAAAAGCUGCCAACCUCUGGAACAACAUACACAAGCAAGAAUGGGGUAAGGAAAAUGGAGACCAUCUCCUCAAGUAACAUCAUUCCUGUAUACUGCAUCAGAAAAGGGUCCAUAAGAGGCAAGGAGAAGAUUGCAACCUUGAUGACAAUAACAAAAAACAAGAAGAGAAAAGAAGAGGAACUACGUAUUUCAAACAUAUGAAAGCAAAAAGCAUUAAGAAAAUUAAUGACUUAUAAUACCUCAGCAUAUUCAAAAGGGCUGAGAAUCCUCUCCCAAAUUCCCCAAUUAGGAAAACACCACAAAAUUCUUCACUCCUUCACUCUCAACCCACACUCCUAUUUAUAACCAAAAAAAACCCUAAAAAACUUACUAACUAAUUACUAUUUUGUUCCUUCUAAUACCCAUUCUAAUAUUCUACUAAAAACCUACUAUUUCAAUAACUAGGACCCUUAAACUAUAUUACAACAUCCUCAUUCAUUGACAAACAACAUCCAAAACGAAAAUCCAGUUUUAUUGGCUUACCAUUUUCGAAGUGAAUCCAUAAGAUGAUAACUAACAAUAAAUAAAUAUGAAAAUAAAUGAUUUAAGAGGAAGUGGGGCUUAGAUUGUGAAUUAGUAAGGGCAGCCCACUUUGAUGGCUAAGUCACGUGACGUAAGAGAGUCUAAGACAAGAGGAAUUUAGAGAAUAUGAGUAGGAAAGCAGGUGUGCUUGCGUGAACUGAGGUGGUUGAGUCUGAAAGACAAGGAGGAGCUCUCUAACCUUCCUUGAAUCAUACUCACUUUGUUGAUUCGUAAUAUUAGCUUAAAUACACACCAGCCACACAGAGAAUGAGAUAAAAUGUUAGCUAAUUUACCUGAAAAAGGGUUUCAAAUUCUAGUCGAACAAGCUCAGAAUUUUCUUUGCCACGCCAUCUUUUCGGCAUAUAAUGAGUAUGCUGGACAACCAUGGACAUUGCCCCCUCAGGAUCUAAAACUAAGAUCUCAUCUGUAACUGCAGCCCGACUAAUCGCAGUUAUAGUUCCAAAAACAGCAGCGUACCAGAGGAGGUUGCGGCCAAAAAUCUGAAUGGUAAGAGAAUGUAUUUAGAUUAAAGUACACAGUGAACAAUAGGUUAAUGGGCUAGGAGAAAAUGAAAUAUAUAUUACAUGGCCCUCCAGUAAAGAUUCGUCCAGAAAAGCAAUGAUAAUCAGAAUAGCAGCAAAGCCACCAAAGACAAAUGAGAUGAACUUUGCAAUUAUCGAAAUAAUGGGAGAUGGAAAUUGCUUUAGAUACUCUGAAGCAUGAAGCACACUGCUAUUGAUCCUGUGCUUGAACAAAUGCAUAACCUGCCAAAACAUAGAAUGCAAUAACAAUUCUAUAUGAAACAGUUUUUAAGAACAAUGAAAAAUCUAUGUUAUUACAUAAACAUUAUCUGUCACACAUGACACAUUACAACCUAAAUCUUUCUUUUUUGUUAUGUCAUAAUCAUUAUCUUCCACAAGUUACAGCCAACAUUUAUUCAGCACAACUUUUUACAAACAGCUAGCAAAUAGAAUAAUUGAGCAUUUGGAUAAAGGGAUAAAUUUUACUUCAUUUAAACCCAAAGAGUCAUUAUACCUCAUUAUAUUCCCUAAAUAUCCACUUCGACAAAUUUGACCACCUUCGAGAUGAUGCUGUACUUGGGUGGUUAUAGAACUGUUCAGCGUGUCUUAGAAAGAGGUAGACCAACAUGAAUAUGACCAGAAACGGAGAAAGCAGGAGCAUUACUACUCCAACUACCCUAAGCCUUUUCUUCAAUGUUCUAGGGUUGGAUAUGAACUCCCUUCUGACGCAGUAAUUACUGAAACAGUAAUAUGCUUAAGUCAGCAGAUAUUCUACAUAGCAAGCAGAAAAACUUUAAAUCUUUGAUAUUUAAGACACCCCCGUUGGGUUUUCUCUUUUCCUUUCUUUAGUAUUAUUUACAAAAAAAGGGUUGCAAGCUUACAUUAAUACAAGCUUUAGAUCUUAAAAGCUGUAUAUAGUAGACAUACUUACAUUUAACAGGGCGAAGGUGAGAGAUAACAUUAUACUUUCUGUCAAGUAGAUCAUACAUACACAUGGUAAUUACCACAAAAUAUGUCUCCCUUCUUAAUGUUUGAUCCAUCUAAGACCUAGCUGAAGCCAUUUUCUAAAUAAUAGAGAGAAUAAUUACAGCAACAAACAUACCGAUCAAACAUGCUCUGUAGUAUACACCAAUUCAAGGUCCAUUCAAGACUCUUUGUCAAUGUUAAUCGGUAAUGAUUUCCAGAAGAGUCAAAUUUCACAGCUGGGCCAGCACCUGGGACCCAUUUCGGAAUUGGAAAAGCAAGUACUCCUUUGUUAAGCAUCCCAAUCAGAUAGUUCUCUUUCCGCAUCAAGCGCAUGACCACAUCAUGAGCAGAAAGAUCCUUAGUCACACAGAGUUGACAAGUACUUUGCAGCUCAACAACCUUCUCAAGAAUUGUCGCCCAUGGCAUAGUUUUGAUUUCAUUGUCAGAUAUGUGAAGACUUCACAGGAAAAAAAACAAGAGACUGAAUUAUUAUGAAUCUAAGAUCUCUUGUAAACGGUAGCUCAUAAUAAAGUAAUAAACAGACGAAAGAAAGAUUUUAAAAGCUAUAACGAGGGAAAUAGUAAGGAGAAAGGAGUUAUAAAGUCGGGGGAGUUGUGAACUCCUAGACCCCACAGUGUAAGGAUGUUUUUUUAGUGGUGGGACCUACAAACUCCUUGGGCCAAACAAGGAGUGGAGUUCAUAACUUCAUUCUACUCCUACUUCCAAAAUCCUUGGUCAAGCACACUCUAAAUGUUUUCAGAACUCAAUGACAAAGUUGUACAAACAUUCAGAACAAAUCUUGUGUGUGUUCUUAAAGGAAAAAAAAAUAUCAUUAGGGUAACGAGAAGAUGCUAAUACUCAAGGAUACAAGAAAACAGAAACAAAGCAAAAAAACAGCAAAACUUAGAAAUAAAAAUCAUUAAACUAAUUGAAAAACAAACUUAGAAACAAAAACGUAAACCUAAGGUUGUUUAAAAGCAUUAAAUCAAUUCAUAAGGUUUGUUCAACGAACCUGUUGUAAUAGAAGUGACGGAUUCCUAAAAUGUCCUUCAGCUGUGCAAAAAACCUAAAAAAGCAAAAGAUCCAAUAAACAGAAAAUAUGCCUAAAUAUCCAAUGAUGAUAGCUUUUGAAACUGUCAUAUGGUGCAAGGGGUGCUCGUGAAGAGCUUCCUUGGCAAGAUCACAUGGUUUAGUUCCAGAUUCCACUGCAUCCAUCCCACACUUGGCAUUGCGGAGACCAUUCCAAUCAACAAAUAGUAAGAAAAAUGCUGAGAAACAUAUGGUAAAGCCAAGACUCAGAAGCUCUACUAUCCACUUCGUAAUGAUGCACCAAAGCCCUUUGUCACAGUAAUAGCUAUAAAGCCUUUCAAAAAAUAGGUCCAAGUCAGCAAUUGGUUCCACAUUCAAACGCUCCCCAUCAAGAAGCCCAGUAGGGCUCUCACUACCAGGAUUUGGCACUCUUCCAAAGGUAGAUAGUUCAAUCUCUGGUGGCACAUCCUUAAGCAAAGCAGAUGUUAAAGAUGAUUCACCAUGGGAUUUCCAUCUAAAAAUUCCAACAUUAUCUGCACCCCCUGUUCCACUGAGCAUCAUUCACAGAGAUGGACAGUGGGCAGAUACAGCAAGUCCAUUCCCUGAAAGAAAUUGAAAGAGAUAGCAAUAAGAAAAAAUUGAGCAACCAAUAUCAAAAUAUUAAUGUAUGAUGGAAAGAUGGUUUGUCGAGAGAAAGUUUAUAGAGGCAAUAUAAUUUUGUUUUGAAGAGGAGACCAACCUCUUUAUUAAUGAAAAACCUCAAACUACAAGAGAGAUAUACUAUGAGUACAAACAAAGAGACCAAAGGAUCAGUGGGCACAACCAUUUAUAAAGGCAAUAUAAAUCAAAGCCCAACUAUCAUGUUGCAUUGGUAGUCGACGGCGACUUAAGUAAAGGGGUCAUGGACAAACUUAUGCAUUUAACUUCAGAUGGUAAGUAUGGCAUUAACAUAAUUUUGUACAAGAGGAAAGAUUUAAGUCAAAAACACUUUAAGAAACAAUCAAAUUACAUUUUAAACAGUCUGAACAUGUAGAAAAACUUGAAGAAAAGACAGGGGAAGGUCUUUUGGAUAAAGUUCCGAAACAACUUAAAUCUUAAAUCCUUAGCCAAUUACAUAACUCAUCUUCUAAAAAUUGACUCCAUUUGAAUUCAACAAGGUUCGAAAUGGAAGGCUUACACAAAAUAAGAUGUAUUUUUGUAUAGUGGUAUUCCAGAACAAGCAAUAAACAGGUUUUGAGCGGGAAUCAACAUAUCAUAUGCAGAAGCAAAAAUAUAAGAAAUUCUCGAGCACAACAAAUUUAAGUAUUUAUUGCCUGCAGUUACAAAAUAGGCAUUCUUGAACUGAAAAAAAAACAAAAGAAAAGAGGCACGCAGCACAAAGCUGCUACAGAGUAAUGAAAGUUUCCAGGAUGUUUGGUGGAUGAGUAACAGAAAAACUACUUGGUCCUAUAUGUCAUUGAGAUUCAAGGAUGUAUAGGAAAAUUAGAGGAUGAAAGGACUCUUCAAGAAGGGAGGUCAGUAACCUCAAGUGCUUUGAAGAAAGCAACAUAAACAGGGAUAACGCAUAGGUGAUUCUUGGUUCAUUUUUAGAACAUUUCUUCACCCUUUCUUUCAUUCAUCAUGAUUCAUGACACUGUUAUUUGUGUAACAAUGCAGCAUCUAAUUAAACCUGAAGUUGAAGAGCUAGGGUCCCAUUUGGUAACGGUUUGUUUUUUGAGUUUUUGUUUUUGAAAAUUAAGUCUAUAGACGCUACUCCCACCUUCAAAUUCUUUUUUUGUUAUCUUCUUUUUUACCGAUGGUUAAAAAAUCGAACCAAUUUUUUAAAACAAAAAAGACUAAAGUAGCUUCUAGAAACUUGUUUUUCUGUUUGUAGAAUUUGGCUAGGAAUUCAAACAAUUGUACUUGACAAAGAUGCAAAUCGUGGUAAAAAAUGGGGAGGAAAUAGGCUUAAUUUUCAAAAACCAAAAACAGAACCAAAAUGGUUAGAGCUAAAACUGGUAGUUUCAAACUGAAUACCACGACUUGUAUGAUAUCCCUCAAAUUAAGAAGCUAAUUUUCUUGAGGAGAAGAUAUAAAUGAUAGAAUUUUAAAAGAGCAAGCCAGGGAACGAGAGGAAAGACGGCAGGCUAGAAGAGUCUGAAUUUAGACAAUUACACACUUAGAAAAAGGGAUGGAAGGGGAAAAAGAAGCCAGAUGAUCGUGAAUAGAAAUCAUAUACCAUAAUCAGUAAGCAAAAAACACAUAAAACCCACAAAAGAUUGGGAGGGAUAAAGAGCAAGAGUCGAAAAUUUUGCGGAUGAAGAACCCAAGAUAAUCAAGAAUCAUUCAAACCCAUUUGGAGCGCAAAAUUCUCAUUUGUCGUUUACAAAUUCUAAGAGAAGCUAGUUCGAGAGAGUAAACCCAACAUUCCAAUUCACUAACAUUUAAACUCAAACAAAGAAUAUCAUACAAUACUCUCAAACAAAUGAUGAUAAAAAAAAUAUCAAAAGGAAGCAAAAUAAGCAGCUGGGUUUUUUAGAAGAGAUUACCUUCAAAAAAACAUGAAUGAAGGGGGUGAAGUAGAUAAAGAUAAGACAAACCAAAGUCGAAAUUACUUAUGUGGAUGAUCGGGAAAGAUUAAAAUUGGGAAAAGAGAAGGAGGGUAUCAAAGAAACGAGGGUAAUCGAUAGAAACAGAGGGGAAAUCAAAAGGGGAAAAUCAAAGGGGGGAAAACGAAGGGGUUGCGUGUAAGGGAAGAAGAAAUUUUAGAGAAUGAACGAAUGAAUGAAUUUGCUGAAGGAAGAUUAAGUUGAUUGAGAGUUCAAUUGUGAGUUGGUUUGAAUAAAGAACUGGGAUUUGAGAAUAAGAAGAAGAAAAUGAGAGUCCCGGAAGAAGAAACGUGAGCUUCGGUAAUUCUUCCCUUACCCUCUUUUCCACAGCCUUAAUCGAGCAGACUGCUCCUUCGGUUGCCCCUUUUUCUUUUCUUUUUUCUUUUUUUUUUCAGAUUCUUCAAAUCAUUAAUUUAUUUAGGAAAGCCUUACUCAAUUUAUAUAAUUUUCAAAGAAUUAAUCAACGGCUUUAUUUCAUAAUUCUUGUAAUACCUUACCCUAGUGAUGUGAAUAAUUUUUUUUAACAAAAAAAAAACUUUUUUCAAGGUAAAACUAUUUAAUCUUUUAAAUUCUAUAAUCUACCCUUACAUAUUACAUGAACGUUUGAAUUUAAUUAAAAAAAUGUUUUUUAAUAAAUUUAUUUUUGUUUAAAUUUAUUUUUCUAAAAAUUGUUUAAAAUACACCUAAAAAUCUGACUUCCACGCAAUUUUAGAGUGUGUUUUGAUUAAUUUUUGAAGUAUUUAGCUUUUAAAAUAUUUCAUUUUAAUAUAAAUUGAGGUGUUUGACAUUGAUUUAAAAUAUUUUUUAGAAAAAUGAAAUUAUGAAUUAAAUCAUUUUAGAGCAAAAACAUUCAACCAAAUUUUAUAAUAAAUGUUUAUUUGGUGUUGAAUGAGAAAUCUCUCCCAAAUAUCUAUUUUUAUUCAUUUCUAUUCAUUUUUACUAUCUAUUUUUCCGUGGUGCUCUUUUUGUUUUUCUUUUUAAAUGCUUUGAAUAUUUUGUAGUGUGGGUUCAUAUUAUACAUUUAAAUAUAGAAAUUUGCAAAUAUUCCUCCUUCAGUCAAAUAUAUUUUGCCUUAACAUCUGGAAAAGAAACUACGAGGACAUCAAUAAAGAACAUGAUCGUUCGGUUCCUGAAAUGAAGAUGAAUGAAAAAUGUGAUCGAAUUGCACUUUCUUUUGUCUAAUUGAUAUUAUAUUGUCUCGAAAAAAUUAUUUAUCUUAUUUAUAUUUUGUUGUUGGAAAUCAAUUGUUUUUUUAAUGGUUAUGUAUUUACAUUUGAAGAUAUUUGUGCUCUUAAAAUUGAAUUGUCCAAAAAAAAUGAAAUUAAUGCUUAGUUUCAAGUAACUAAAAAAUUAAUAAUUUCAAGAUAUUGUGCGACUAAUUUUAAAAUAUAUUUUUGAAAAAAAGAUUCAAUGUGUAUUUCUUUAUAAAAUUAAUUCAUAAUUUAAUAGUCUUUUAAGGUAAUUUGACCUAAAUAUAAACAUUGUUAGUAUAAGACAAAUCAAACACAAUUUUGCGUAUAAACAUUUAUAAAAAGGUCAAACCAAAUAUGUAAGUGUUUAGAUUUUAAAAUCAUUUUACAAAAAAGGUUUUUUAAAAAAUGUAUUCUUAAAAAAACAUUUUUGUAUAGAUAAUCCAAACGGACCCUUAUUAUUAUUUUUAAAUAACUUAUUUUCUAAAUUAAACGCUUGAAAAAGUAAUUCAAACAUCUCAUAAAAUUUUUGCAAUUACUUAGGACAAAACGAAGAUUUAAAAAAUCAGAAUUCUAAAAUAAUAAUUUUGGACAAAUUUGCUCUCUCAAACUUUAAUUAAUUACAUAUCUGAUUUAAAUGGACACUUUAACCUUUUGAAAUUUGAUUUUAACUUUUUGACCAAAAUUAAGUACUUUAAUUUAUAAUUAAGUAAGAAGGUCUUUCAAAAAUUAUAACAAAUCGGUAAAAUAUUUACAGUCUUCAUAUUUAGUAGAGAAUCGUUUAAAUUUGGGUUGUAAAUUCUCAGCGAUUUCUUUUUCAAUAAUUUUUUUGUACUCGUUUAUAGUUGAUAAACAAUCGUUUAUAUUUGGUAUAUAAUUGUUUAUAUUUGGAAUAUCAUAACACGGUCAUUUAUAUUUGGAACACGAUCAUUUGAUAGUUUAAAUUUAGCUACCUAAAUCUAAACGAUUUUUUAAAGAUUCUUUUUACAUGAUAGAUUUAGAUAUUUGGUACACAAUUGUUUAGAUUUGAUUAUACAAUAUCCCAACGAUUUUUUCACGAUCUUUUAUAUUUGGCACAAUCAAAUAACAAUUUGAAAAAAAAAUAGAUUUUUUAUUUGAUACACGAUCUUGAAUCAAAUAACAGUUUGAAAAAAGAUAAAAGAAAAUCUGUCGACGAAAAGAAAAGGAGGAUGGAAAGAAAAAAAAAUCGUAGAAGAUGAACGAGAAAAAAGAUGAUGAAAAUGAGGGGCAAACCUAGAAUAUUUUUUUAAAAUGACUAGUUUUAUAGGCUUUUUCAUUUUGUUACGUGGGUCGUAAAUAUUUUACCCGAUUAUUAUGUUUAUGAAAAUUAACCUUUAGUUUAUAUAUAUAUAUAUAUAAGAGUAAUGAACCUUAGAAAAUUCUUCCACCUCGCUUUUUAAAGAUGUAUGAUAUAUUUAUAAAUGGGUCUUUUAAAAAAUAUAACAAAACAACAAAAUAUUUACAUAGUAUAGAACAAUUUCGAAAACAGAAAAAGUCCACAGGACCACAAUAGAAAAUACAAAAAUGUUUGUCAUUAAUUUGCAUCCAAUGUGAAAUAUAUUGAGAAAAUGAUCGUUUAAAUUAAACUAUUCAUUCUUAUACGAUCAUUUAGAUUUGGGUAGACAAAUCUCAACGAUUUUUUAAAAAUAUUAUUUGGUACACAAUCGUUUAUCUUUUGAUAAAGAUAGCUUAUAUUUUGAAAAUGAUUGUUUAUAUUUAGAACAUGAUCGUUUAGAUUUGGAUAGUCAAAUCUCAACGAUUUUUUUCAAGAUUUUUGUACACAAUCAUUUAUAUUUGAAAAACCAUAGCUUAUAUUUGAUCAUUUAAAUUUGUGUAGACAAAUCUCAACAAUUUUUUUCAAGAUUUUUUGAUACAUGAUCGUUUAUAUUUAGAAAACGAUUGUUUCUAUUUGAAAAAUCAUAAUUUAUAUUUGGAACACGAUCGUUUAGAUUUGAUCAUUUAAAUUUGGGUAACCAAAUUUCAACGACUUUUUUCAAGAUUUUUUUUUUGUACACGUUUAUAUUUAAAAACGAUUGUUUAUAUUUGGAAAACCAUUGUUUAUGUUUGGAACACGAUCGUGUUUAUUUUAUUGUUUAAAUUUGGGUAGUCAAAUCUCAACGAUUUUUUUAAAAAGAUUUUUUGGUACACAAUCGUUUAUAUUUUGAAAAAGAUAGUUUAUAUUUUAAAAUUGAUUGUUUAUAUUUGGAACACAAUCAUUUAGAUUUGGGUAGUCAAAUCUCAACUACUUUUUUCAAGAUUUUUUUUACACAAUCGUUUAUGUUUGGAAAACCAUAGUUUAUAUUUGGAACACAGUUGUUUAGAUUUGAUCAUUUAAAUUUGGGUAGACAAAUCUCAACAAUUUUUUUUUCAAAAUUUUUUGGUACACGGUCGUUUUAUUUGGAAAAUGAUUGUUUCUAUUUGGAAAAUCAUCAUUUAUAUUUGGAACGCGAUCGUUUAGAUUUAAUCAUUUAAACUUGGGUAACCAAAUCUCAAUGAUUUUUUUUCAAGAUUUUUUUGGUACACAUUUAUAUUUGAAAAACGAUUGUUUAUAUUUGGAAAACCAUUGUUUAUAUUUAAAACACUAUUGUUUAGAUUUGAUCGUUUAAAUUUGGUUAGCCAAUAUCCCAAUGAUUUUUUUUCACGAUCUUUUAUAUUUGGAACAACCAAAUAACAGUUUGAAAAAAAUAUAAAUGAAAAAGUAUAAAAGAAGAAGAGAAAAAUAGGAUGGUAAGAUAAAAAAUUGCAAAAGAGGAAAAGAAGAAAGAUGAUAAAAAGGAAGAGCAAACCUGAAAUAUUUUUUAAAAAAUGUCCAGUUACAUGAUCUUUUUCAUUUUGUUACCCAGGUCGUAAAUAUUUUGUCGGUUUCUUAUAUUUAUAUAAAUUAAUCAUUUAUAAAUUUAAACUUAAAACAUACACUAUAACAAAAACUAUCUACUAUGACACUUGUGUAUAUCACAAAAUGGGAAGGAGAAGAAAAAGCUAUCACAAAUUGGAAAAAUUCACGUUUUUGGCAGGAGAAGACAUAAUUUUUUUGGAUAACACUUUCUGUGACAGUUAUUUUAUGUCAUAGAAAAAACAUAAAAUAAUUUUUUAUUUUUUAUUAAAAUAAAAAAGAAUAAAUUAAAAUUAUAAAUUUAUAAAAUAUUUUCCCCAAAUCUAAAACCCUUCAUUUUUCCAAAUCCUGCCGCGAAGAAGGUCAUCUCCAAUCCGACCAUCUUUCGGCCUCAUCACCACUACCGCCCCCUCGUGCCCGUCUGUUCAAUCAAUGCUGCCACAACCUCCUCUACCAAACGACGAAACAUCAUAUGCCUCAAGUUCUUCAAUUCGUGCCAAUCAUCUCCAAACCGCCGCAAUCUCUUCAAAGUUCAAACCGUAGUUGUCACCUCCUUCACCAGUAAGCUUAUGUUCCUUCUCUCCUUUUCUCUCUCUCUCUCUUUGAUGUUGUUCUCUCUAAUUCUUUCCUACAACUCCAUGGGCCAAACUAGGUGUGUUUCUAUUUUCUGGUUUUGUUUUUUGAGUUUGAGUUCUUUCCAUCUUCUCUUUUCUAUUUUUCGAUUUUCUAUUAUCUGGUAUUGUUGGGUAAGUAGAAUCCCUAAAGAAAAUUGUAUCGGAAAAUCUAUUUUCAUGCAUUUUGCUAAAGGAAACGGUGGAUUUCUGUUGAAAUUUCUAGUUGUGUUGAGGAGUUUUAGAUAGUGUACGUUGGGUCAUUAUCUUAAUUUGAAAUAUGUGUUGAGCUGAAAUUUCUUGUUGUCUAUGUUUGUUUGAACAUAAAUGAAGCCACAACUGCUAAAUUUGUAUGUGAAGAAAGGAGUAGUGUAAUUAAAUAAUUGUUUUGUUUAAAAAUUUGUUACAGUUAUUGUUAAUGGUAUGUUUGAUUUACUUACUGUUAUUGUUAAUGGUAUGUUUGAUUUACUUACUGUUAUUGUUAAUGGUAUGUUUGAUUUGUUUUUGGAUUGUAUAUGUCUAAUGAUGCUUUCUAAACUUUACUCUUAGGAACAAUUAAAUUGAUUUUCUUUAAGGUUGAGUUUGUUGUCUUCAUAGUAUGUGUUUGAUUUGAUUUUGAUCUUCCAUCAGCAGUCUUCAAAAUAUAUAUGUUUGAAAUAUUUAAUCAAAGUUAUUAGACUGAAGCAUCUUACAAAUAGCUUUCAUCACAAAAGUGUAAUUCUCAUUUGAAUUGGUUUUAUAAUUUUCAAAUACAACUUUAUAAGUUGUUGCAAAGGAAGUGUUUGAAUAGUCAAGGUAGUCUUUUUUUCACCUAUAUUCAAAAGCUACAUUCAUCUAUAGCUUGUUCCAUGCUAAAUAGACACAUAGUAAUUUACGACAAUUAUAAAAACGAAAGUGUAAAAUACAAUUUGUUAAGCAAAUGGAUGCACUUAUUGGAUUUGAAUUUCUUUUUUCCAAGUUUUUUGAAACGUUAUGAAGCAAAGGGUUAAGAAAUUCCCAAGAUUGUAUAUGGAAUCUAUGUACUGUAGGAUGUAAUUACUCAUUGAUUUCCUUAAGUUUCUGCCCAAUAUCUUUUUUGUAAUCAGGUUUAUUUAGGGACCAAAUUAAAAGAUUGAAUUUUUAUACAUCUACAUAAUGGACAAGUCAUGGAUGACGGAAAAUAGGAUGUCUAGAGAAUAUGAUUUAGGAGUUGAAAGGUUCAUUCAAUUUGGUUUGAGUCAUGCCAAAGGUUCUAAUUCAAUUAGAUGUCCAUGUUUGAAUUGCGGGAAUCGUUUACUUAAGGAUGUCUCAAUAGUUCGGUAUCAUUUGUAUGCCCAUGACACUGAUAAAAGUUACAAGGUAUGGUUCUGGCAUAUGGUGAAUAUUUGAACUCAGAGAACGUUACCAGCAUAAUAGAAAAUACAGUGGAUGAAAAUGAUGAAAACGAUGAUUUAUUUAAUAUAGUUAAUAUGGUUCAUUUCGUUCACGAACAAUCUUCUAAUGCAUCCAAUACCUUUGAUACUAUGUUCAACGACGCAAAGAAACCUUUAUACCCAAGAUGUAAGAAAUUCACCAAGUUGUCAGCCCUCGUAAGAUUAUACAACUUAAAGGUUAGGUAUGGUUGGAGUAACACUAGCUUCUCUGAAUUAUUGUCCAUAAUAAGCGAUCUCUUACCUGAAAACAACGAAAUUCCAAGUUCCUUAUACGAAGCGAAGAAAACACUAAGUGCCUUAGGACUGAGUUACCAAAAGAUCAAUGUAUGUCCUAAUGACUAUUGUUUGUACAGAAAAGAGUAUGAAAACAUGACAAAAUGCCCUAAGUGUGGUUUGUCAAGGUCGAAGAUUGCUAAAAACUCAAACAAUGAAAAAAGUGGGGUGGCUGCCAAGCAGAUGUGGUACUUCCCAUCAGUUCCACGAUUUGUAAGAAUGUUCAAGAGAUUUGAGAAUGCUAAGAACUUUCGUUGGCAUGCGAUCAAUAGAAAAGUUGGUGGUAUUUUAAGACACUCGGUUGACACUCCAUCAUGGAGGUUGAUUGAUCACAUGUGGCCAACCUUCGAGUCAGAACUAAGAAAUCUCCAUUUGGGUUUGUCCACUGAUGGAAUUAACCCAUUUGGAGAUUUAUCAACGACCUACAGUUGUUGGCCUGUUAUUACUACAAUAUACAACCUUCCACCAUGGUCGUGUAUGAGAAGGAAGUAUUUAAUGUUGACAAUGAUAAUAUCAGGUCCAAAGCAACCAGGAUACGAUAUCAACACGUACUUAGCACCUUUAAUUGAUGACCUCAAAAUGUUGUGGGAAGUUGGAGUUCAGUGUUUUGAUGCAUAUAAAGAAGAAUAUUUCACAUAGUGGGCUGUCUUAUUGUGGACGAUCAAUGAUUUUCUAGUAUACGGUAAUCUGUACGGUUGUAGUGUGAAAUGAUAUAAGGUUUGUCCAAUAUGUGGAGAGGAGACUACUUCAAUAAGACUACAACAUGGGGAAAAAAAAACUCAUACAUGGAACACAGGAAGUAUUUGUCAAUACAUCAUCCAUAUAAAAUACAAAAAAAAAAAAAAAAAAAAAAAAAAGACUUUGAUGGUAAGCAGAAGCAUUAAAGUCCUUCACAACCCCUGUUAGGAGAGACCAUGUACUUCAAACUGAAAGACAUGAUAUUUUCAUGUGGAAAGAAGUGUGUAAGAAAUUGCAUAAUGAAGGUAGCAAUGACUAUUGAAAAAGAAUAUCAGAAUUUUUUUAACUACCAUAUUGGAAACACUUGCAUGUACGUCACUCUCUAGACGUAAUGCAUAUUGAAUAGAAUGUAUGCAUGAACAUAGUAGGCACGUUACUUGAUAUAUCAGGAAAAAGUAAAGAUGGGAUGAAUACUAGACUUGAUUUAGUUGAAAUGAAAAUUAGACCAGAAUUGGCACCAACGUUUAUAGAUAAUAGAACUUACAUUCCUGCAGGGUAUUAGUUUUGUAAGACUUUGUCCGAUAUUAAAGUUCCAGAAGGGUAUUCAUCAAAUAUUAAAAGUCGUGUCUAUUUGGAUGACUUAAAAUUGACCGGCCUUAAAUCACAUGACUGUUAUGUUUUAAUGCAACAACUGCUUUCAAUUGCAAUACGUUGAGUCCUACCGAACAAUGUGAGAUAUACUAUCAGUAGAUUGUGCUUUUUCUUCAAUGCGAUUUGCGCUAAAAGUUUUUCUGUCUUAGAGCUUGAUGCAUUGCAAGAUGAUAUAGUUCUGACUUUAUGCAAUCUUGAGAAGUAUUUUCCACCCUCAGUUUUUACAAUUAUGGUUCAUCUUGUCAUUCAUCUCGUGAAAGAAGUAAAACUUUGUGGACCUGUAUAUUUAAGGCGGAUGUACCCAUUUGAACGAUGCAUGAAAGUCUUGAAAAGUUAUGUUCGUAAUAGAACUCAAUCGGAAGGAUGCAUUGUAGAAGCACAAAUAUGUGAGGAGGCUCUUGAAUUCUGUUUGAAGUUUCUUUCUGGAUUAGAUCCUAUUGGACUUGGGUCACUCAAUUCAAUGGAAGACAGACAUAGCGAUAGACCACUGUCAAUAGGAACGUACGUUCGACCCGAUGUGCAACAAUUGAAGCAAGCACAUCUUCACGUCUUACAGAACACUGAAGAAGUUCACCCAUACAUAGAGUAAGCGUUUCUAUGAUCAUAAACCACCCUUAAUUUACCCCUCACAAAGCAUGAAGUUAAUGUAUGACAUAUUUUGUAGAUGACAUUUGAAUUUGUUGAAAAUGGAAAACCAAAGAAGAGUAAAAAAUGAACAGUGACUACAACUUGAACAUAAUCGAUCCUUCGGUGCAUGGAUACGAGAUCAGGUAACUGAAAUAUUUAAUUGCAUUUAUGCUUUUUUCUUAUUGAUGAAUAGUUAGAAUGACUGACUAUCCUCUUCAAUAGGUUAUGAGUGAAUUACAGGAAGGAAAGGUUGUCUCAAACACAAUACGCUGGCUUGCACAUGGGCCCUACCAUGGUUUAAUGACGUAUAAGGGGUACAUGAUUAAUGGAACUUGUUGCCACACAGAGUCCCAUGAUGACUAUUGAAUUAUUCAAAACAGUGGGAUUAUGUUAGUCGCAUCGACAAUUCAAGUUUCUAGUGCAAAGGACAAAAAUCCGAUCGUUGGCGACAUGUCUUUCUAUGGGACGAUUUAAGAGAUUUGGGAAGUCAGCUACAAUACGUUUAAGGCUCUACUUUUCAAAUGCAAUUUGGUUGAAAAUAAGACUGAUGUUUGAAUGGACGAUCUUAAUUACACGCUCGUUAACCUUAGCCGAAUCAGACACACUUUAGAUUCAUUCAUUAUUGCCACGCACGGGAGACAAGUAUUCUAUGUGACAGAUCCUGUUGAUGAACGAUGGUUGGUUGUUGUUAUGCCACCACAUAAAGAAUUUCCUUACAAAUGUGCUGAUGAGACAUGUUACUGCACUAUCCACCAGUUUCGAAAUGGACAACAACAGGUGAUAUUGAUGAAAUGGACGAAUCAUACGCUAGACGUGAUUGUGAAGGCACAUGGGUUACCACUUGACUUUCAAAAGUAUGUAAAGUAAGACUAUUAAUGAAUGUGGUACUUGAGCUUAGGUUAUUUGCUUGUGUUCAAUGUUCAUUACAUGUAAUUAAUGACCGUGGUUUUUUUUCUUUGUAGGACAAUGUCAUUUUGAGAUACGAUUACUUCAAAAUCUAUCGUUAUCAAGCUUUCAAUUCAUGUUCAAUUGUUUUUUUUUUCGAAUAAAACUAUUGUGUACUAGAUAAUAUGCUAUAUUAAUAGUGUUAUGUGUGUUCUACCAUAGUCAUUAUGAAUUUUGCGUACUUAAGUGAGUAAGAACAAUUUAUUGAUUUAUUUGAGAAAUGACAGUUGAUUCACAAUUAUCAAAUUAUUUUUCUAUUUCUUUCUUAUAAUUACAUAUGCAUUUUUCCUGACAUAUAGUUUCUUUUGUUAUUAUUGAAACUAGAUUUGCAGAUAUGGUUAAUUUAGGAGACGACAAUAAGGUAGUGGUCAUCCUUCUACACCACAUGAUGUAGGGGAGAGUAGUAGCACUAAGAGAAAACGUGGCCCUAUCGGAAUGAAAGAGAUAACACGUGUUAGUAGCGAGAGUCGAAAAUUAGUGGUCGACUACAACAAAUUGGGGCAACUAAUUGGUCAGAAUGCAAUGAAGCUGAAAAGUUUAUAGGAACUACAGUAAGGUUUCACGUUCCAAUAACAUACCCAAGUUGGAAUGCGGUGCCCAAAGAGAUGAAGAACACUAUAUUUGAACUAAUUGAGGUAACAAUCCUUUAAGUCAUUUCAAGUAUAAUAAAAUUUCCCGUUUAUCAAGCUGAAUAUUUAGGAUGUGCUUUUUGGCAUUGUAGGCCGACUUCGUUAUUGAUUCGAAGUCAAAGAGAAAUGUCCUUCAGAAUGCGAAAGUAUGCUUUCGUGGGUUUAAGUCCAGAUUGACAACGACUUACUAAUGUCGUUUAAGGACAAUGCAGAAAAGUUAAAGUAUCCCCCGAAUGAGUACUCAUUCAUCGAUCAAAACCAUUAGGCUGAAUUUGUGGCUUCACAAUUGAGGGAUGAUUUCAAAGUAAGUAUGAAUAUAAAUUUUUCUAGAACAUAACUUUCUAUAUUAAAGUUUGGAAAAAUUGAAUUUGUUCCUUUUUUUUUCUUUAGCUUUAUUUCAACAUCUAUAUAAGAAAGUAUUCAUCUAAGUUGUGUUGAUAUGAUUUUAUUGUAAAGAAAAAGAGUGAGGAAGGGAAACAAAAAAUGAAGCAAAAUAAAUACAACCAUCGGGCAUCGAGAAAAGGGUAUGCAAAUUUGGUUGAGGAGUUGGUAAGCCACGAUCUUUGUCAUAAUUGAUUAUCCACGUAUUACACAUGUAUUCUUUGAAUAUUGUUGUUUUAUUAUAUAACAUUUAUUCUUUACAUAGCGUGCGUCUUCUUCGUCCAAAGAAAUUGAUUGAUCAAUAGUGUGGAAGCAUGCACGUUUGGAUCGUAAGGGAGAAAUUUGUGACGAAGAGACCAAGGACGUUGUCAAUCUAAUAGUAAGUAAAUACCUUGAAUUUUUUGUUUUCCUACACCAUUAUUCCUAAUAAUUUCCAUUUUUCUUACUUUGCUAGGACGAACUACUAGCUGGCACCCAGAAGAAGUCUAAUUUAUCAAGUGCUGACGAUAUACUAACCCAAACAUUGGGUGGUAAAGAUCGGCCAAGAAUAGUUCGAGGAGUGGGAAAAUAUGUCACGAAGAAAAGGUAUUUCCAUAUCCCAACAGAAUCUAGAUCAAACCAUAAUAACGAUGAUAAGACAGUUUUUGAAGAAUGAGAUGAAAUGGUAAAAAGAAUAAAGGAGUUAGAAGCAGAGCUAUUACAAGUGAAAAAAGGUAAGGGUUCAGUAGGAUGGAAAGAAGAAGCACGGAGAAUGGGUUCAACAAAAACACCAUCCACGAAAGAGGCUUUAGAUAAUGAGGUUGAGGAUGUACCCAAUGAUCCAGAACCGGAGAAAGACGCAAUUGACGAGACAAAAGUGAAGGAAGAAAUGGAGGUUUAUUUUUUUCAACCAUCAAUCCCUACAGUAACAUGCUUGGUUUGUAUACUGUCCUAACUUUGCUUUUUUUCCUACAGGUGAAUAUAUGCAAGGAAGAAGAGAUUGUACCGAAUUUGACUUUAAAUCAAAUGAAGGUUAGUUUUCAUCACAAUUCAUGAAUCCAAAUUGUUGUGUGCUUAUUUAAUAUGUCUACGUGUACGUACACAUAUUUAACAAAUACAUCUACGUAUGUUGGAACCCCGUGUAUGUUGGCAUUUGAAAUGCAAGAUAAUAUCAUUGCCCACGGGACAAUAUUUGAAUCAGAAGUUGGCGAAGACAACAUGAAGGUGUCUCUAGAUGUUGUAUUGGAUAGUGAAUGUGUGAUUCCCAUCCUGACCAAGAAAGGACUGAAGAAAAUGUCACAGGAAGUGGGUUCACAGUUGCUAUGGCCACACCAUUUUGUCCUUACUGGAAAUGAGAAGGUAUUGUGUGUUCUUGCAUUGCUAUUCCCUUGUAAUCAAUUUAUGCUAACCCUAAUUGUAAUCUUUGUUGUAGAACAAUACUACGGGUUCGAGUAAGGAUCCAACCAUAUUAUCUAGUGCAGUAGAUCAACAUUGUCCCGUGGCACUUCGGUGUUUGGUACGAAUAGUAGAGCAAGGGUCAUCGAUUCAAAUAACUGCACCUGUUGAGGUCUUCGGUGUGAGAAGGAAAUGUUGUGUAAUGAUUGAGUCGUUGAGAGAGUUCUCAUCAAUGCAGCCAACAUGUACAACAUGCUUCGAUGCGUAUAUGAUGUAAGUAUGUUCUUACUACACUUAGUGUUCAUUAAAGAAACAUAUAAAUUUUUAUUUGACUUUGCUUCAUUGUCAUUGCACUUGUAGGUACCUAUACACAAUUAUGGAUGCAUGGAAAACUUUGAGUUUAUACAAGUUUUUAGAUGCUGGAUCUGUUAGUUUCUCGAGGUAUAAAGAAUUGCGCGCACAUUGGUUGAAUGCAAGAUUGUUUGGUGCAGAGUAUGACCAACUAGUACUAUUCCCUUAUAAUUUUCGAGUAUGUAUAUGAUCUCUUCACUGUCGUUCAUUUUUUAAUUGACUAUUCUAAUAUUUAGUCAUACUAUUUCAAACGUAUACUUAGUAAUCACUGGAGUUUGGUCGCUGUAAAUCACACGAAGGGUCUUGCGUUCUAGAUAGACCCGUUGAAGAAUCGAAUGGAAAAGAAUAUGUCCGAAGUACUUGAAAUGUAUGUCGUACUUACUUAUAUUGUUCAUUUAUUUUUUCUGUAUGCAACACCCUUUGUGUACGUAACAAUCUUCAAAUAUUUUGUAGGUCUUUCAAUAUGUCAAAUCAAAGGAAACCAAACUGGAGGGUUGUAAAGGUAUUUGAAUUUGUCCAUAAGGAUAGUUCUAAAUUAAUUAUUACCUUUAACAUACAUGUUUUUAUUGUUUGUAUGCAUACACAGUGUCUCAAGCAAUCAAGGGUCAUAGAAUGCGGGUAUUACGUCAUGCGGUUGAUGCAUGACAUAAUUUUGUCAAGGAGUACUUCUGUUAUAGACAUCGUAAGUAUACAAGUUUUAAAACUAUCAUCAUGUAAUUUAUCUUGAAUCAAACUAAUUUACAACCACUUUAUUAUCUAUAGAUGAAAAGUUUACCCAAUACGUGCGCUCAAAGUGAUAUCGAUGAAGUUAGAUCUGAAUGGGCGGAGUUUAUAUCUAAGCACGUAUAUCGUGCUUAACAUCAUAUUUUUCUUAAAUUAUUUUGAAGUAUUUUGGUGGUUUCUAUUUUGUGGAUAUAAUUUUGUGGAACACAGACACAUGUGAAUGUUGAAGACCUUAUUUUGUAACAGACUAAAGGAGCACAAAGGUAAGUUCAUAAUUCUCGUCUCACAUUUAUAAACAUGUUUCUAACUAAGAAUUAAACGGAUAUGAAUGUGUGUGCAUUUAUAUUUUCUCUUAGGAAGACUCCAUUAUUUUUUAAGUGUAAGUCUGUGUUGAAGGAACCCUUUUGUUUGAGGCGUACAACUCGCAGCAAUUGACCCACGUCUCAAUGACAUACAAGCUUGUCAAUCUCGCAAUGCUUCAUUUCUUGGGAUUCUACCUUGGUAUGGUAUUUAUAGUUUUUCAAUUUGAAUCUACUUAUGGUUUAAACUGAAUAUUUAUGAUUUACAAGUUAUGUUUCAAAUUAAGUAUAGUGUUUCUAUUUUAUGGGAUCACAAACAUAAUUUACUAAUAAAGGGUUUGGAGGGGGGUCCAGAAUGAAAGGUUGGGAGGGGGAUUCUGUUUUUUAAUGUUUCUAGUUUUGUUCUGGUUGUAGGAAUUUAGCUAGAUCUCUGAGUGAAGCAUAUGGUUACAUUAGAUGAUUAUUUCAAAGAUAUACAACAAGUUCUAGUUCUUUGUAGAUCUUUUUUGUCAUAAAAACACAUAUUGUGAUAGUUUUUUGGAACUGUCAUAGAAUGACUUUCCAAGACAUGCGAUACUAUGACGGUAAAUAACUAUCACGGAUUUUUCGCAACAGGAAACAACUGUCGUUGUAGAUCUUUUUUUUUUUUUAGUGAUAAAACAAUUAAUUUUAGUAAAUUCAGUUCCAAAUGCUUAAAAAAUAUAAUUUUUCUUGGAAGUUAAACUUCAUUAAAACCAUCAAUUAAUCCCACCAAAAGUUCUAGUAAGGAAUAAAAGACACUAACAUUACCUCAAAAGGGAUUAAGUAAAUUGUCUGAAUUUUUCAUCAUACAUCAACAACUUGUAAGUAAAGCUUUUGGACUUUUUUUUUACACAAAUUCUUCCAAAAUAGAAAAGAACGUAUAUAAAAAUUUGAAAUUAUUUACCUAAUAUAGUUAUCUAUCAAAUUCUCAAUAAUUAAUUUAAGUAUUCUUUUCUUUUUCUAAAGAAGUUUCAAUUUUUUCUAUUCAUAAGAAAUUCUAAAUAAAUAAAUAAAAAACCACAAGCCUUCUUCCUUCCUUGCAAAGUGUACGAACACCAACAAGUGAAUGAAUUUAUAAUUAGAUUUAGUUUGAGUAUUUAUGAGAUAUUGUCAAACCAUAAGUAAUAAAAUAUAGCCUUCAAAAUCAUUUAAACAAAAUUUAAACCUUUUAAAAUCUUUUAAGAUCAAAAUUUUAAAAGAGUAUUUAGUUUAUGCAAUUUCCAUUGUUAUAUUAUUAUUAGUAUUGUUACGUAAAAACUUAGAGAUGAAUGGAGAAUUUUAUUAAACUUGGAGAUGAAUGGAGAAUCUAAAUAAGAUAUGAAAAUAAAAUGAAAAAGAUAAAAAUGAAUAAGUAUUAUGAUAAAUCUAUAUUAAGUUUGAAGGAAGAAUAAAAAAGCUAAUGUGAUCUGUGUGUAGAGUAUCGAACUCCUCUUAUUUUUGGAAAAAUUGAUCAAAGAUCAAGAAUAAUGGAGAACUUGUUCCUAACUUCAAGAUUCUGAAUUCUCCACAAUCUAAUUAAUCAAACUAGAUUAAAAGUCCUAAACAUGCAUUCAACACAAGAAUACAAAAAAAACAUAAAGUAUGAGAGAUAACACUAUGAUAAAUUUCAUUCAAAUUCAAGUUGUCUUCAAAAUGUAGAAACUACAAUCCUAUUUAUACUAAUUAAAAUGUUAUAUAAAAAGACACAACAUUAAAUUAUAUGUCCUUUCAACUACUCUAAUAAAUGAAAGUACAUAUCGUUAAAUAAGUACAUAUAUUAAAGAUGUAAAUGAAUCUAAAAAUGCAUUAAAGAUGUGAAUGAAUCUAGAAAUGUAUUAAAUAUGUUAAUGGAUAUGAAUUUCUAGACUCAUUAUGACCUUUGGGUGUUUAAGUGACUCUUGAAGUUCCAACUCUUCGUUAAAGACCUGAAAAUCUAGCUUGUAAACAAGCAUUUAAUCAAUCUCGAACGCUUUUAGCUCUAGCUUUUGUCAUUGAGACUUGAGCCAUAAUGAUUGCCUUUUGAUUGGUUUGACUUGGAAAGUUAUCCCAUCAAUUUUCAACAUCUGCUUCAAUUUCCUCUUGAUUUGAGUUGAUGUGAGCAUGUUGAAUUUCAUUUUGUGCUUUGUUGUUCAACAUCUUAUUAGUAUCUUAUCACUCUUGCUUUUAUUUUCAAAUUGUAAUUUUUUUUUGUUUAAAUAUGUACCACAACUAAUCAAAUUAAAUAUUUCAAAUAAAAAAAUGUUUUAAAUUGACCUUUUCUAUAACCUAAUCACAAGCAAUAUUACAUAAAAAAAAAAGUUUAUAAUGUCCCACCAAUUUCUUACCAUUUAAAAAAUUGAGAAGAUACAAAUAAAGCUAAUCUAUAUGUUGAUUUUUUUUAUUGUACCCUAUAAUAAUUGUAUGUAUAAUUCAUUUAUUAACUAUUUAAUAAAAAAGUUUAUUUUCAUUAUAGUUGAAUUGCAUGUUAUUGUAUAAUAAUAAUAUAUUCAUAUAAUAAUAUCCAUGAAUAUGUUAUUAUACUCUACCUGUCUCUAAUCGCUUAUUAUUGCGAGAAUAAUAAUAAAUUAAGAUUAAUAUGAGUUAUAAUUAAUGAUCAUAUGAUGAUUAUAUAUGUAGAGAUAUAAAUUACAAUCAUAUUUUCUUAUUAGAGAAUAAGAAUUGAACGGAUCCAUUUUGAGAUUAUUACAUGGACAUGUGUCAUAAACAAUCUAAUAUAAUUGAUUGCUUUCAUCUUUAAACAUGAGAUUAUCUUAGUGUCAAAUAUAAGAACUAAUCUAUUUUGAUGUAAUCAAAUGUUAUCUUUAACCGAAUAAUUAUAAAGGUUUUAUUCAAAUAUGUUAUGAAUUAUGUAGUUGAUAAUGAUUUAUCAAGAUAGAAUUUAUUCUUCUUGUUAUAGAGAGAUAUCUCUAGGCCCCUCGAUUAAGCGUAGCUGUGAAAAUAUAUGGUCAUUUUAUAAAUGAAUUAAUAAGCACUGUAACAAAAAUGACAUUGUCACAUAAUAUCAAAAUGGAAAAGAUGGAAAAUUUUGAAUCGGUUAAAUCUAUGAAAAUUUUUAAAUGUCAUUAAAUAUUAAUAAUAAAAUAAUGAAAAAUUAUUUUAAGUUAAAAUAAAAGAAAGAAAGAAAAGAACCCGAAUCCCCUGAAAUUUUACAUCCUCAGUUUCACGAUCAAAGCCCUUUCUUUUCCCAUUCCCCAAAUUUUUUCAGCCGCAAGAACACGAUAUGUCGUUCCUCUUUUUGGCCACCACUCACGCAUCACAGACGACCACCCAAACUCUACUGGAAAAGCAUGUGGGCCUUUGGCCCAAUUCAAAGUUACUUAUAAUGUUGUCCCAUGUUGGAAAACUUGGAAGAGGCAAAUGUGUUUAAAUAGUGAAGUGCCACUAGUGGGAUACAAAAUUGUGUUGGUGGUGAUAGUAUGACCUUGUUACUAUGUGCGCGAUUAGGCUUUGGCAAUCAUGCUUGUGCGUGAGUAAGGACUUAAAAUAAUGACAUUUGCUUUUAUAAAAAACUGUCACGAUUAGCAUAUCCUUUACAUAUAAAAAUUUCAUAAUAAACGAAUUUGUGACAUUUUUAACCGUUAAUAUGCAAAUGAUGACAUUUAUUUUCUGUCAUGAAAAAAUUAUCAUGACAGUUUUUUUUUUUAUACUUUUGAAAGUUCACAUGUAUUUUUUAAAUAAGGAUUUAAACCGUUUCCAUAUAAAUUAAAUAAAAAAAUCGACUACAUAAACAUAGUCAGUGUUGCAAAUGUAAGUUUCAAUUUGGUCCCAUAAGGGAAAAAAAAAACCAACUUACCUAUCAACUUACACAACAAAUUAUCUCCUUGAUGUUUAAUUCAUCAUCCAUUCUUGUUACUUGUAGGUUUAACUGAUAUGGAUUUGCGACUUAUUAUAGAUUAUUCGUUGGUAGAAUGGAAAGAAUUAGGCGAAGAAGGACCCGCAGGUAAUGAAUGGGAAGAUCGCAAAGUUGGAAGAAGAAAGGAUUUUUUGGUUAGACGUAUGGAAUUAGCUAAGCAUUUUAUUCGAACAAAUAUAGAACCCGAAUGGAUGGUUUUAUGUCUAUUACCUGUUCUUCCUCCCGAGCUGAGACCGAUCAUUCAGAUAGAUGGGGGUAAACUAAUGAGCUCAUAUAUUAAUGAACUCUUUAGAAGAGUUAUAUAUCGGAACAAUACGACUCUUAUUUCAUGGCCACAUAUUUUUCCGGCUAAGGAAUGAGAAACCUUUCUUUUGUUACAUGAAUCCAAUUUUCAUUUCAUUUCAUUCCAAAAAAGUCAUCUUUUUCUCAACAAUGUCUUUGUCAUUUGAUCCAAUAGUGUUCCAUUAGAUAGAAGCAGAUUUGAUAAAUACUGAUAACUCUCUGUAGAGUAUUAGAACGGAAAAAUCCAUUAGAUUAGAUAAUAAACUAUUGGUUCUAGUUCUAAGCCAUCUCUGGCGAUGAAUCAAAAGACUUUCAUUUGCUUUUCUUCGAUGGAAGUUUUAUUUUUCCAGAAUGUAUCCUAAUUUUUGGCCUAAUUCUUCUUCUGAUGAUCGAUUCAACCUCUGAUAAAAAAAAUAUACCUUGGUUACAUUUCAUCUCUUCAACAAGUUUAAUAAUGAGCACAACGGCCCUAUUGUUCCAAUGGAGAGAAGAACCUAUGAUUAGCUUUUCAGAAUUUUUUUUUCCAAACAAAUAAUUUCAACGAAAUAUUUCAAUUUCUUAUUUUACUAUGUUCAACUCUAUGUAUUCCUCUAUUCCUCUAUCCGUAGAAUACAUUGAGUGUACAAAAAUGGUGUCACAAAGUUUCUGUUAUUUGUAUUAACAGCUAUUGUGCAAACAUGAUACACAAAGCUAUAUUAGAAUUUGAUAACUGUGCGGUCAAAAAUUUGGAGAAAAGAUAUGUGAAGCGUGGGAAUGGUAUUAGAAGCAGUAAUGACGAAGUGAUAAAUCUCAUUAAAGUUCUCCUGCUAUAUAAGGCAACUUAUCCUAAUUAAAUUAAACCAUAUCAGAAAGCUCACAUCCUUACAAGGUGGCUUGAACUCAUACCUAAAUCAAUGAGUGGGUAUUCCAUGCUACCAUCUUCCCAAACUUAUAGCACAUGAAGCUGGCGGAUGCUAGAAUUAUAGUAUGAAACUCCGAGAAGAAAACUUGUUUACUCCCAAUGCAGCCCCACAAGGGUUGGGAGAGAGUCGGCAAUUACACCACAAUUCUCGACGCUUUACUAGUGACAUAGGAAGUUCUCUUCUAUCUUCCGACAUGCAAAUUGUGCACACCUUUUCUCUCGACGGUGUAAAGAGCAGCGUCAGAGGAUCAAAAAAAUUCAAAAGUAGUGAUCUUUUUCGUCAAAAUUUCGUAUUUUUUAUUUUUAAUGACACAUUUUAGUUUACUCCAUUCAUACUUUUUUUUUCUUUAAAUUUUAAGUGUCAUUGUAUUCCAAAUUUGUAGUGAUGAAAUUUGCAGUGUUUUGAAGUUUAAGUAUUUUUGGAACUUAAAAUGCAAAGUUGGAGAUUUAUUAUAAUUUAGCUUACAUCCUUUAAUAAUGCAUUUGCGGAUUUUCCUGUUACUAUUAAUCAAACAGUCUAAUUUUUAUGUUUUCCAAGUUGUGAAUGCUUGGAAAGUUGGAUUCUUCGUCCUAACAAUUUGUUCCACUGCAAAUAAAAUGUUUUUGCUUUGCAUUUAUAAAGAUUUUAUUUUAUUUUAUUCUUAAUUAUUUAAAAUUAUUUGGAACGAAAUCAAACUUCUAGUAAUGCAUGUAUAAAUAAAUGGUUUUUUUUUUUUCUGUGUAAGAGUGUGCAUGUGUUUUUUUUAACACUGUUUAAUUAUUGGAUUAGUUUUAGAAAGAGAGAAAAAGAAUAAAAAAAAUAUAUAUGGUGACAAAUAGUAAAACUAUUAGUUUAUUGUCCUGUGUUGUGGGUGAUUUUUUUUUUUAAGAAAUGAAGUUAAUACAAAAUAAUAAAUAAGAAUAAGAUUUUAUCCUAACUUAUCUGAAAUUGGAAAACUUAUAUACUAAUAAUUGAAUAGGGUAGGAUAGGCCAUGGAUUAAAUCUCCUAUUAAUACAUUGUUUAAGGCUCUAAUCAGGUUUACGAGUUCUUUUCGUUUAGGGUUUAAGAUUUAGAAAUAGGGGUUGUUUUUGUUUUAUUUUCAUGUUUUUCUUUUUUUCAAAUUACAAACUUAUUCAUAAUUAUCAUUGUUUAAUCUUAAAAAAAUUAAAUCCAGGCUGGCCCACGUUACCCAGGAUCCAAAGGAAUCUAUUCCUUUGUAAUUACUCUGACUAAACUAAUUGAUAUUCCAAAACAAACCAAAAAGAACAUUUGGCGGGAACCAACGUUUACUCAAGCUGGGUUAUACCUAACUUCGAAUAACACCACUCGGAUCCAGUGCAACUCUUCAAUUCCCUAUUCCGGUUUAGACUAAUCUAGCUCCCAAACAAGUUAGAACAUUUUCGCGGGAACGAACGGGUUAUUUUGGCGGGAGACCACGUGGCAAUCUGCUACUAUUCUUCCAUAUAUUAAAACCCUUCAGAUUUUCCUACCCUAACAUCGUCGAUUUCUCCUUUACUCUUAGUCUGUAACAAUGGCGGACGCUUCAAACAAGAUUUCUUCUCGUUCAUCAACUUUACCCUUCAAAUCGAAGAAAAAUUUGGGCUCCAACUCCUCAUCAUUGCUCAAGGAUCCGCAAUCUUUAAGCUCCAGGACGCCGGAGAAGCCGGUGGAGCGAAAUAGGAAACGGAAGGUUGCGCUUUCCAUUAAAGAGGUUAAACAAGCUGCUCAGAGCGUCCAUGAAUCUAAUCGUCAGUUGCAUCAUGAUCUGACCACUAGAGGGAGUAAAUUAGUUAGAAGACAGAUGGAUUCGUGGUCGAAUGAAAGUCAAUCUAGUAGAUCCAAGACUUGUGUUGAUAAUAAGUCCAAUAAAUUGCCUGAAAAGUAAGUCUUUUUGUUUUUUGAUCUUGACAUUUUGUUUAUCGUUGGCUGGUUUUUUUUUUAUGUACUUUGAAUGUUUGGUGAAUAAGUUUUGUUAUUUCGGUGUUUUGCAGAUUUGAGCUGCUGUGUAAGUUCUUUGAUUGCUUGGAUUCUGCAAUGCGGUUGUUACGAUUUAAAGGUGUAGCCUCCAACUUCUCUAGCGUUUGCACUAAGAUUGAAGUCCUCACUGAUAGGUACUCUACUUAUUCUGCCUUCUACAUCGCCUUUUCACUCCAUCCAUUUAUUUGUUGAUACUGUAGAUUAAUAUAGUAAUUCUCCAAUUAUCUAUCUGGCUGCAUGACUAAGUAAAUUGAAGAAGUUUAUGAAUUUUGUUAUUGUUAGCUUGUAAAAGAAAUAAAGAAUCCUGCUUGUUGUAAUGACAAACAAUUAAGUACAACAAAAAAAAUAUGGAUCUUGGUCUGCAUAUAUGGUUUUUUUUUAAUUUAUUUUGCAAACUGCAACUGUAUUUUUCUUGCUAUAUGUUGAGCCUCAUAAAAUUUGUAAUUUUGUGUUGGCGAGGUUUAAUCCCUCUAGUUUUACUCAAUUUUGUGGCACAUACUUCUUAGACUUCUUAUAUGACUGAAGAAGAGUAUCUCCGGAGGUUAUGCUGUGUUUUUUUAUUCUAAAUUUGAUAGCUAUGAUUGCAGGAGGUUUUCAUACAGUCAUUUGGCUCAAUUGAAGUUUAUUUUACCUGAAGCAAUUAUGCUUAAGAAAGUUGUGGUCUUUGAUGAGCGUACCAGCUGUAUGAAGCCAGAUCUUCAUAUAUCUUUCAAUUUUGGUGUCCUAGAGAGUAAGGAGGACCAGUAUAUGCAGUUGAGGAAGUUGUUUAGGACACGUCUUUCAGAAUUUGUGAGUUCCCAUCCAGAGGUAUGUCACCAUUUUCUUGGCCGGAAAUGUGAAAACUUGUGGGCCCUCUAUAUGUCAUUGCUAGUUCUUGCUCUUUUUUCAACCGGACUUGAAGAAACAAACUAUGUUGAUGCUUGCUGGAUGUUGCUUUUCUCAAAUUUUAUAGCUUAGAAUUAGGAAUAAAGUUGGUAUAACAAUGAAUUGUAGCAUUCUGAUCAUAGAAGUUUAUUGUUAUCAUUUGCAUCAUGCCCACUCGCGAUGGCUUGAUUUUUCUCUUUUAUUUUGAAACUCAUUCCUUUUCAAAUAUUUUGGUUUUAUGGGUUUUUCUAGACCUUCAAAUUUUCAAUGUUCUAAGGUAUGCUUCUGUAUUCAGAUUGACGAUAUUCCAAAGGAUUCUCUGCCAAAUCCAUUCAAUUUCAGAAGCCUAAAUCUUUUCCCGGAAACCAACUCGUUAUCCUCUGUCAAGACAUCAAUUGAGCAACUAGCACCUGAGCAACCAUUGCCAUCAGCAGAAGACAUUCCCUCUAAUCAUCAUUCAGAGAACAAUCAAGGUUUUCGGAUAAUUAAAUCUACCAUGACUGGUCAUGGCCCAAAUAAACAGAAGGAAUUAUUUGGGUUAUCUCAUUUUUCACCAGUUAGCCGGCUUUUCUCUCAAAAAGCUGUAAAUAUCGACGUGCAAACUUUUGAUGCGUCUUCAACUAAACCUUCCUCCCCAAUUAAACUAUCUUCCAACUCAACCUCUAACUUACAUUGUCUUGAAAAUUAUGCUUCUCCAAUUUGCUCUUUGUCAUUGCCAAAUCCCACAACUCCCAGUAAUAUGGUAGGAAUAGUAACCAUGAGAAAAGAAGAUGGUCAAUCUGCCAAAGUUAAUGAUAUAGAUUCAACUCCUGUAAAGUUUGUUUCAACCUCGGAUCAGCUGAUGGCUAGCACACCUGCAAUGGCUCCACCAAAACGAAGUUCCAUGACUCCGGAUGACGAUUUUUCCUACUCGACAAACAAAUUAGUGAGACGUCCACCUCGUUCAAGAUCACUUGUAUUUGACACUCCCACAAAGGAAGAUAAAAACAAAGAUGAGAUAGAUGUUUCACUCGACAAUGACAUUCUAGAUGUUCUAUCUGAGAGCCUUGUGCAAUCGGUAUGACCAUUCCCUCGUAAAAAGCAUCUAUCUCUUAGAUUGUGCUGAUUUAAACCACCAUGUGCAGCAAUCAAAUAUGACCGAAUGUUUAACAAUUUCUUGUGUUCUCAAUUUGCAGAUUAGAGAGAAAGAAAGAAAGAUCAAAGAAGAGCAAAUGCCAGCAAUAACACAAGCUAAGAGGCGACAGAAACUGAUCGCUAACCUGCCAAAACUCUUCAAUGCUAUCUUCUUCUUGUACCACAAGCGUACAGUUGUUAAAAGGGAGGAGCUAUUAAACAAAAUAAUCACUGGAAGUGUUGAUAUCCUUGACAGGAGUAAGCAAAAACAUAAUACACCUGUUUUAAAGUUGAUUCAAAAUUGCUUUAGUUGUUUGGAGCUGAUCCAUUUCUUGUGUUAUACUCAUAGGAGAAGUUGAAGAGCAGCUAGAUUUGUUGUUUGAACUCGUACCCGACUGGAUUUCUCAGAAAUUGGCAUCCAAUGGUGGUGAUGUACUAGUUUGGUGAGUUUUUCUUUCUUUACACUAUUUUAACUUUGAAGUUUGGAAAAUCAUUACUUGCCUCCAUACAAAAAGAGUGUUACUGAAAUCUUAUAUGGUUUUACAUUUCAGCAUCAAUAAAUUGUCAAAUGUUGAAUCGGUUAGUGUUCGGCUCAAAGAAGCUAAGUGAAGGAGUCGAGAAGUUUAUCAACUUUUUUGUCUUAGUAGACACAAUUGAAACGACGAAGCUCAUUGCCUCUCUAAAUUGUAUAAUCCAUGAUGUAAUUAUAACAAAAACGAAAAUAUCUAACCGAAUCUGCAGUUUUUUUUUGAUUGAUCUCUUGCUCUUUGAUAAAUCCUAUUUGUUAACUUAUUGUAAUUUUGUAAGGUAGAUGAUAGAUAACAACAAGAAUUUCUUCCGAAGUGUCACAACUUUACUACCUUUUUCAAAUGAUAACAGAUUUCAAUUGGUUGUAAGCAUCUAUUUAUUGGUUAUUGCAACACCCUAAAAGCACAGGACGUAUAUGAAUAGGGUUGGCAAUGGUAUCGGGCUAGGUUUAAAGCCCACAUUUCCCUCCCCAUCACCAUUGCCGUGGAAGAUUUUCUGGCCGUUCCCGUGGGAGGGUCCGGGUCUGGGUCUCCCGGGUUGGGAAUCCCCACGAGUAAACUUUUCUUGUUUAUUGUUAUUAUUUUUAUUUAAAAUGUAUUAAAAUUUGACAAUUAAGUUAAUAAUAUUUUAACAUUUAUUUAUUAAAUUAAAUGUUUAAGUUAAUUUAAUUAUAAAAAAGCUGUAAAAUUCUCAUAUCAGUAGCGUAAAAGUUAUGAUUAUAUAUAUUUUCCUUGUGUUAUAUUCAUAACUGAAAUCGAGGAGGAGCUAGAUUUGUUGUUAGAACUCGUGUUAAUGUAUUUCUCAUAAACUGAAAUUGAGGUGGCAUCCAACGGUGGUGAUGUGGUAGUUUGGGAAGUUUUGAAAAAUCAUUAGUUAGAUAAGAACAAAAUAAAAUUAUAUCAAUUUAAGUCUCAAUUCUUCAAUUAAACUAUUGGUAAAAAGAAAUUUAGUUUCAUUAAAAAAAUGUUUUUGACCAUAUUCCAAAUAUUUUUUAUAAAAAAUUGUGAAUUAAAUUCAAAAUUUAUCGAACCUCAUAUAGCAUUUUAAUCACACUUAAUGUCCAAAUGCAUGAGAUGAUUAAUUUGACAUAUUAACUAGAGUCAAAUCUAAGAAUAAAUAACUUCUUUUUUUUGUUUUUGUUUCAACUUAUUGUUUUCAAGAUUCACCCACCAUAAAUGUGCACAAAUCUCGAAAAGGAAUAUUUGUUGAACAAGAAAUUUUGGUAAAUUAAAUUGUGAUAAUUUAAAGAUUAGAAAAAUUGUCAUUAAUGGGGAGCUCCACCUCAUACCUUAAAAUUUUAAAAUCUAUUUCAAGAUCCAAAAAAUGCAAUUCAUUUGAAAUAGUUAAUUGCAAAAUUGAGACACAUUCAAUCCAAGAGUUUGGCUCUACACCUGUGGAAUAGCCAUAGCCGAAAGUUUCAUGUUGAAAAGGAGAGCAUUGUUGAUAUUAUAAUAAAGAUGAAAUCAUGAAAUUAUAUCAUAUAAUUCAAAACUUAUAUACAUCUUAGCAAGAUACGCAUCGGUGAGUUCGUCUACUCAAUUCGGUGAGUUCUUCAUACAUUCGAGUAGGGGUGUUCAAAAUGAAGUUGAAAAUCGAACUGAAACCAAACCGAAAUUGAAUGCAUACAGUUCGGUUCAGUUUCUAUUCCAAAAAAAUCGCAUAAAAUUCGGUUCGGUUCGGUUUAAGAUGUUAAGAAUCGAUUCUCAAACCGAACCGAAUUACUUUAUUUAAAAAAUUAAAUAUAUAUAUAUAAAUAAUAAGAUUUUUUAGACUUCAAAACGGGUAUAGAGGCAAAAAUCAAGGAGAGGAACGAAAAGGAGAAGAAUGACAUAACCAAAACGUAAAGGACAAGUUGUCUUGAUGAAGUUUGUAUGACUGAAGAACUUUUAUUUAUCUUAGGUGGAUUUUGAAACUUCUAUGUUUUGGUGGACUUUCAAAUUUCAAUGUUUGAAACAUCUAUGUCUGUAAUUUUCAAAUUUCGGUUUGGUUCAAAAUUACAGUUCAAAAUUACAGACAUAGAUGUUUCAAACAUUGAAAUUUCUAUGUUUGUAACUUUGUAUAAGUGGUUCAGUUUUGAUUCGAUUUUAUUUAUGCAUAUGUGGUUCGGUUUCCAUUCGGUUUGACACAGAUGAGUGGUUCGGUUCGGUUUCAAAUAAGAUUUUUUUUUUCAUUUUACGGUUCGGUGCGAUUUUAACUUCAAUCCGAACCAAACCGAAUCACGAACACCCCUACGUUCGAAAUUCAUUUGAGCUAUUCUCUCUUAUUUGCAAGAAAAAAAUUCUCUCUCACAAUGUGUUUGUUUCUUGUCGACUACCCCUCUCUCAAUCUUUCUUUUCUUUUCUCUAAUAAAACCUAAAAGAAGAAGAUUCAAAUAAUUGUAAAAAUUUCAUUGAGGCAUAAUUAAAUCUUAAAAUUAAAAUUUAAAUUGUUAUUAAAAUUUUAAUUCAAAAUUUUCUUAAAAAUAUAUAUUAUGUAUUAUUUAAUAAAUUGUUUAAAAUAUAACAAAUUUGAAAAUCUUAUAUAUAAAUCUAUCAACAAAAUAGCAAAUUUAGUUAACAUUUACCAAAUUUGAAUGUUGUUUGCAAAAUACAUUGUUUUAAUAAAAGAGACACAAUAAAUUAAUUUUUUAAUAAAAAUUAAUCAAAGUAAGUGUGCAUAAAAUAUAAAUUAAAAUAACUAUGUAUUACCUAAUAAAUUAUUUUUUAAAAAUAAUUUGAAAUAUAAAUCAUACGAAAAUACUGGACCAGUGAUUAUCAUUAUUUUAGGGAUUAAAUUUCAUAAUAUUUGAAUUCAAAAUACUAUAAAAUCUAAUGAAUGAGGAAUGAUUGGAAACCUUUUAACAACUUUUUACGGAAAAUAUUUAUUAAACAUAAGCUUUAUGAAUUAAAUAAAUAAAUGUUAAUUAAUUUGAUUUAAAUACUAAAAAUUUAAAAAUUUGUUGUGAAUUAUAGACAUAUUAUUAUGAGAUAUUGAAGAAAUCUUGUCAAUCCUGAAAAUAUCAUAAAUUAAUUAAUAUUUUUCAAAACUUAUGGAAUGAUAUUUGGUCUCAUUAUUUGUAUAAUACAAAUAUACAGUAAAACACGUAUUAUCCUACAUAAUAAGGUAUAACACACGUAUUAUACUUCUUGAUUUAGACAUGCAUAACAGGGAUGAUUGGAAAUAAAAUGUCACAUACAACGUAAAACAUCUAAUUAAAAUAAAUAUGAAUAUUAAUGUAAUUAAAAAACACAACGUGAAAAAAUAAUUAUUUGAUACAAGAGGUACAAUAAAUUAUUUUUUAAUAAAAAUCAAUCAAAAUAAGUGUUAAUCAUAAUUUGCACAAUUCUACGGAUGAUAAAACUUUAUUUUUAAAUUAUUAUUAACCAUACAUACUAUGUAUUAUCUGAUAAUUUUCUUUAAAUAACUCGAAAUAUAUAUAAUAUAAAAAUGCUUAAUUUAUGUUUGGCAUUAAGUUGGGGAUAUGAUUAAUUUAGGGAUACGAUGUAAUAUUUGAAAUCAAAAUAUCAUGAAAUAUAAUGAUUUGGGAAUGGUUGAAAUUCUCAAAACCAUUAUUUUUAUUAAGCAUACGUACUAUGUAUUAUCUAAUAAUUUUGUUUAAAAUAAUUUAAAAUAUAAAUCAUAUAAAAAUUCUGAAACAAUAAUUGUCAUUAUUUUAGAGAUUAGAUUUUCUAAUAUUUAAUAUUAUGAAAUAUAAUGAAUGAGGAACAAUUGAAAAUCUUUUAGCAAUUUUUUUAGGAAAAGUCUUUAUUAAACCUGAAUUAAAUAAAUAAAUGUUAAUUUAAACCUGAAUUAAAUAAAUAAAUGUUAAUUAAUUUGGUUUAAAUAUUAAAAAUCCAAAAAUUUGUUAUGAAUUAUAUAUAUUUAGGGGAUAUUGGUGAAAUCUUGUCAAUCCCGUAAAUAUCAUAUAUUAGUUAAUAUUUUUCAAAACUGAUUGUAGUUUGCAAAUAUACUGUAUCCGUGACAGUGUGAUAUUUGGUAAAUACACUAUAUUUGAAAACACGUAUUAUCCUACCUAAAGGGUAUAAACGGGUAAAAAAAAUCACAAAAAAUUAUGUAACCACCAGUUUUGCCAAAAUUCUUAAUAUUUUUCAAAUUUGCUAUUUUUCAGUUUGUUAUACAAAAUUUUGCUACACUCACCAUUAUCUCAUCUAAAUAUAUAUGUGUAAAGUUAUGCAAUUCUCACCUAUGAGUAUCAUAUAAAACUUGCUGCCAAGUGAAAUUUAUAAACUUAUCAAAAGUUAAAAUAACAAUAACAUGCUAGGGGAUGAUAAUCAAAUUAAAAUAGUCUAAAAAUUUUAUGAAUUUUGAGAUUUAAGUAUGUUCUCUAGAAUUGGAAAAAAAGAUUAAAAUUUUGAACCCUCACCUUUAAAGUUCAAAAUUCUCACUCACUUCUUGGAUGAAAUUGGAUGAAGUUAAGUUGUGAACAACCACAAGAGUCUUCUCCACUCUUAUCAAGGCUUAGAACUUUAUGGUGGGAUCAAAUUUUGCGAGUUGUCGAGAGAAACAAGUUUUUAAACACUUGUGAAUCUUUUUCGGAAAUCAAUUAGAUUCAUCGUAAAAACGAAUUGUGCAUUAAACAACCAUAAAGCACAUGGAAAUCAUAUUUGCAAAACAAUUUGACACUUAACAAACAUUUGAAUUGGGGAUUUGGUGGAAGAAAGAUGAAAUCCACACAUUAUCCUCAAGUAUGGUGCUUACUCAGAAUGCAGUACAAGCAGAUUUGGAAACGUGUUACUAAAAUCCUAUAUAGUUUCAUACUUCAGCAUCAAUAAUUUGGUCGAAUGCUGAAUGGAUUGGUGUUUGACUUAAAAAGCUAAAGGAAGAAGUUGAGGAGUUUAUCCACCUAAUUGUUUUCUCAGCAUCUAGCAUAGCGACAGUUGAAAUGAGAAACUCACAGCCUUUAUAAUGUAAAUUAUAAGAAAGACGGAAGAGUACCAAAUUUCUAAUUGGCAAAUUUUUUGUUUUAAUUGAUCUCUUGCUUUUGACUAUUAGUAACACUAUUAGUUUAGUGUCCUGUGUUGUGGGUGAUUUUUUUGUUAAGAAAUGAAGUUAAUACAAAAUAAUAAAUAAGAAUAAGAUUUUAUCCUAACUUAAAACUUAUAUACUAAUAAUUGAAUAGGGUUAAGAUACGCUAUGGAUUAAAUCCUCUAUAAAUACAUUCUUUAAAGCUCUAAUGACGUAUCCAAGUUAUUUUUUGUUUAGGGUUAAAGAAUAAAUACACUAGGGUUUAAGAUUUAAACAUAAGGGUUAUUUUUGUUUGUUUUCAUGUUUUUUUUUUUUAAAUUACAAAUUUAUUCAUAAUUAUCCUUAUUUAACCUUAAAAAAAUAAAUCCAGUGCAAGUCUUCAAUACCCUAUUCCGGUUUAGACUAAUCCAGCUCCCAAACAAGUUAGAACAUUUUCGCGGGAACGAACGGGUUAUUUUGGCGGGAGACCACGUGGCAAUCUGCUACUAUUCUUCCAUAUAUUAAACCCUUCAGAUUUUUCUACCCUAACAUCGUCGAUUUCUCCUUUACUCUUAGUCUGUAACAAUGGCGGACGCUUCAAACAAGAUUUCUUCUCGUUCAUCAACUUUACCCUUCAAAUCGAAGAAAAAUUUGGGCUCCAACUCCUCAUCAUUGCUCAAGGAUCCGCAAUCUUUAAGCUCCAGGACGCCGGAGAAGCCGGUGGAGCGAAAUAGGAAACGGAAGGUUGCGCUUUCCAUUAAAGAGGUUAAACAAGCUGCUCAGAGCGUCCAUGAAUCUAAUCGUCAGUUGCAUCAUGAUCUGACCACUAGAGGGAGUAAAUUAGUUAGAAGACAGAUGGAUUCGUGGUCAACUGAAAGUCAAUCUAGUAGAUCCAAGACUUGUGUUGAUAAUAAGUCCAAUAAAUUUCCUGAAAAGUAAGUCUUUUUGUUUUUUGAUCUUGACAUUUUGUUUAUCGUUGGCUGUUUUUUUUUUUUAUUUUUUAUAUACUUUGAAUGUUUGGUGAAUAAGUUUUGUUACUUUGGUGUUUUGCAGAUUUGAGCUGCUGUGUAAGUUCUUUGAUUGCUUGGAUUCUGCAAUGCGGUUGUUACGAUUUAAAGGUGUAGCCUCCAACUUCUCUAGCGUUUGCACUAAGAUUGAAGUCCUCACUGAUAGGUACUCUACUUAUUCUGCCUUCUACAUCGCCUUUUCACUCCAUCCAUUUAUUUGUUGAUACUGUAGAUUAAUAUAGUAAUUCUCCAAUUAUCUAUCUGGCUGCAUGACUAAGUAAAUUGAAGAAGUUUAUGAAUUUUGUUAUUGUUAGCUUGUAAAAGAAAUAAAGAAUCCUGCUUGUUGUAAUGACAAACAAUUAAGUACAACAAAAAAAAUAUGGAUCUUGGUCUGCAUAUAUGGUUUUUUUUAAUUUAUUUUGCAAACUGCAACUGUAUUUUUCUUGCUAUAUGUUGAGCCUCAUAAAAUUUGUAAUUUUGUGUUGGCGAGGUUUAAUCCCUCUAGUUUUACUCAAUUUUGUGGCACAUACUUCUUAGACUUCUUAUAUGACUGAAGAAGAGUAUCUCCGGAGGUUAUGCUGUGUUUUUUUAUUCUAAAUUUGAUGGCUAUGAUUGCAGGAGGUUUUCAUACAGUCAUUUGGCUCAAUUGAAGUUUAUUUUACCUGAAGCAAUUAUGCUUAAGAAAGUUGUGGUCUUUGAUGAGCGUACCAGCUGUAUGAAGCCAGAUCUUCAUAUAUCUUUCAAUUUUGGUGUCCUAGAGAGUAAGGAGGACCAGUAUAUGCAGUUGAGGAAGUUGUUUAGGACACGUCUUUCAGAAUUUGUGAGUUCCCAUCCAGAGGUAUGUCACCAUUUUCUUGGCCGGAAAUGUGAAAACUUGUGGGCCCUCUAUAUGUCAUUGCUAGUUCUUGCUCUUUUUUCAACCGGACUUGAAGAAACAAACUAUGUUGAUGCUUGCUGGUUGUUGCUUUUCUCAAAUUUUAUAGUUUAGAAUUGGGAAUAAAGUUGGUGGUAUAACAAUGAAUUGUAGCAUUCUGAUCAUAGAAGUUUAUUGUUAUCAUUUGCAUCAUGCCCACUCGCGAUGGCUUGAUUUUUCUCUUUUAUUUUGAAACUCAUUCCUUUUCAAAUAUUUUGGUUUUAUGGGUUUUUCUAGACCUUCAAAUUUUCAAUGUUCUAAGGUAUGCUUCUGUAUUCAGAUUGACGAUAUUCCAAAGGAUUCUCUGCCAAAUCCAUUCAAUUUCAGAAGCCUAAAUCUUUUCCCGGAAACCAACUCGUUAUCCUCUGUCAAGACAUCAAUUGAGCAACUAGCACCUGAGCAACCAUUGCCAUCAGCAGAAGACAUUCCCUCUAAUCAUCAUUCAGAGAACAAUCAAGGUUUUCGGAUAAUUAAAUCUACCAUGACUGGUCAUGGCCCAAAUAAACAGAAGGAAUUAUUUGGGUUAUCUCAUUUUUCACCAGUUAGCCGGCUUUUCUCUCAAAAAGCUGUAAAUAUCGACGUGCAAACUUUUGAUGCGUCUUCAACUAAACCUUCCUCCCCAAUUAAACUAUCUUCCAACUCAACCUCUAACUUACAUUGUCUUGAAAAUUAUGCUUCUCCAAUUUGCUCUUUGUCAUUGCCAAAUCCCACAACUCCCAGUAAUAUGGUAGGAAUAGUAACCAUGAGAAAAGAAGAUGGUCAAUCUGCCAAAGUUAAUGAUAUAGAUUCAACUCCUGUAAAGUUUGUUUCAACCUCGGAUCAGCUGAUGGCUAGCACACCUGCAAUGGCUCCACCAAAACGAAGUUCCAUGACUCCGGAUGACGAUUUUUCCUACUCGACAAACAAAUUAGUGAGACGUCCACCUCGUUCAAGAUCACUUGUAUUUGACACUCCCACAAAGGAAGAUAAAAACAAAGAUGAGAUAGAUGUUUCACUCGACAAUGACAUUCUAGAUGUUCUAUCUGAGAGCCUUGUGCAAUCGGUAUGACCAUUCCCUCGUAAAAAGCAUCUAUCUCUUAGUUUGUGCUGAUUUAAACCACCAUGUGCAGCAAUCAAAUAUAACCGAAUGUUUAACAAUUUCUUGUGUUCUCAAUUUGCAGAUUAGAGAGAAAGAAAGAAAGAUCAAAGAAGAGCAAAUGCCAGCAAUAACACAAGCUAAGAGGCGACAGAAACUGAUCGCUAACCUGCCAAAACUCUUCAAUGCUAUCUUCUUCUUGUACCACAAGCGUACAGUUGUUAAAAGGGAGGAGCUAUUAAACAAAAUAAUCACUGGAAGUGUUGAUAUCCUUGACAGGAGUAAGCAAAAACAUAUACACCUGUUUUAAAGUUGAUUCAAAAUUGCUUUAGUUGUUUGGAGCUGAUCCAUUUCUUGUGUUAUACUCAUAGGAGAAGUUGAAGAGCAGCUAGAUUUGUUGUUUGAACUCGUACCCGACUGGAUUUCUCAGAAAUUGGCAUCCAAUGGUGGUGAUGUGCUAGUUUGGUGAGUUUUUCUUUCUUUACACUAUUUUAACUUUGAAGUUUGGAAAAUCAUUACUUGCCUCCAUACAAAAAGAGUGUUACUGAAAUCUUAUAUGGUUUUACGUUUCAGCAUCAAUAAAUUGUCAAAUGUUGAAUCGGUUAGUGUUCGGCUCAAAGAAGCUAAGUGAAGGAGUCGAGAAGUUUAUCAACCUUUUUGUCUUAGUAGACACAAUUGAAACGACGAAGCUCAUAGCCUCUCUAAAUUGUAUAAUCGAUGAUGUAAUUAUAACAAAAACAAAAAUAUCUAACCGAAUCCGCAGUUUUUUUUUCUGAUUGAUCUCUUGCUCUUUGAUAAAUCCUAUUUGUUAACUUAUUGUAAUUUUGUAAGGUAGAUGAUAGAUAACAACAAGAAUUUCUUCCGAAGUGUCACAAGUUUACUACGUUUUUCAAAUGAUAACAGAUUUCAAUUGGUUGUAAGCAUCUAUUUAUUGGUUAGUGCCACACCCUAAAACCACAGGACGUAUAUGAAUAGGGUUGGCAAUGGUAUCGGGCUAGGUUUAAGCCCACAUUCCCCUCCCCAUCACCAUUAACGUGGAAGAUUUUCUGCCCGUUCACGUGGUAGGGUCUUGGUCUGGGUCUCCCGGGUUGGGAAUUCCCACGAGUAAACUUUUCUUGUUUAUUGUUAUUAUUUUUAUUUAAAAUCAAUUAAAAUUUGACAAUUAAGUUAAUAAUUAAAAAAAUAUUUUAAUAUUUAUUUAUUAAAUUAAAAUUUUAAGUUAAUUUAUUUAUAAAAUGGUAUUUUAAAAAAGCUAUAAAAUUCGCAUAUCAGUAACUUAAAAGUUAUGAUUAUAUAUAUUUUCCUUGUGUUAUAUUCAUAACUGAAAUUGAGGAGGAGCUAGAUUUAUUGUUAGAACUUGUGUUAGUGUAUUUCUCAUAAAUGGCAUCCAACGGUGGUGAUGUUCUAGUUUGGUGAGCUUUUCUUUCUUUACAGGUUGGGCCUUAAACUAGUGGAUAAGUUGGACUUAAGGAGUAAGGUGUAGUCUUGGAAGUAAAAUGAUAUUUUGACCAAAUUAAAGGAUUAAGUUACUAAUCACAGUUAUAUGAAAUGGAUCUAUAGCGAGAGGAGUGCAACUAUGAGACUUUAGUAGAAUAACUCGUAGUUAAAUAAUGUUGAUUAACUUAGUUUAAAAGAGGUUAGCUAGUUAAUCUUGAAUUGUUGUAGUGCAUGAUCUAUAGGUCAACAGUUUCUCAUAUGAGCUCAUAUGGAAUUAACUUAGAACAAUAUAUUGGAAUCAAAUUGUUUGAAUUAGGUAAAUAGAGAAAAACUGACGAAUAUAUGUGAUAUAGCCGUUAGUUAUCAGUUUGAGUUAGAGCUUUAUAUUUAACUUUGAUUUAUAUAUUUAAAAUAUGAAUAGAAGUCAUAUUCGAAAGCUUGUAAUGGAUGGAAAUGGUCAAAGUUGUAAAAAGUCAAAAUGUUGACUUCUGACUUUCAAAAAAUGAAUUUAAAUUUGAUCGACUUUAUAUGCAUUUGAAUUUCUAUAAAAUGAAUUUAAAUUCAUGCUCGAGAGGUCAAAAUUAGUCAAAAAGGACAAAAUAGUAAAACGCCAAAGUUUGACUUUGACUUAAAUGUUCAAAUGACCAUGUUGCUUUUGGAUAAUUAUUGGCUACGUGAGAUGUAAACAUCUAGCACACUAAGUUCCAGUAAUGGUUAGUGGAAUGUUAGGUGUUGAGAUUUGGUGAAUCAAUUACAUGCAUUUUUGUAAUUAUUUAUGUUAUUGAAAGGGGUUAUUUCAAAUAUUGAAAGACUUUUGAUGGUUUUGAUAUUUUUUAUUUUACAAAAUUAAUGCCAAAUUAUCUCUCUCCCAAAUCUCAAACUCAAUUCCUAACUUCCAAUUUCCAUCAUUCUUUCCCUAUUUCCUUCACUUAAGAGGACCCACAACUUGGUUUUAAUAAGUUCAAAGAAUAGUUAGUAAACUCUAGUGAUGGUCUUCGGUUCGAGUUCGUGAGAAGAUUACAAGAAACGGAAAACUACGAAGGUAAGUUUUUCCAUAUACCCUAAUUUUGUUUACUUAAGGUAGUUUAUGCAUGUUAAUCUUUAAAAUUGUUUAGAUGUAAUUAGCGUAGAUUUGAUCCAUAAUUCUGCUGCAUGUAUCUCGUUUUCCUUUAGGAUUCCACCAGUGUCUUACAAUAGAUCGGAUACCAUUACUCGUCACAACACCAACAUCACAUGAGAGACGUUAGCUUAAUAUCACUUUCAACACAUAACACAUAUAUGAUACAACAAGCAUCAACAAAAGAUUAGAAAGAAUGCUAUUCAUACAACAUUCAUAAGAUACUUGCCUGUUUGUCUAGAUCAUAAAUUACAACGCUUAUGUGAUAAACAAUAUGCAUUCGUUUAGAAAGAUAUGAAAUAAUUUACAACAAACAUUUAUUUUAUAAGGAUCACUCAUAGGAACACUUAGCCUUAACUCCUUUUUCCUUUGGCUUUCGACUUCCUCUUCUUGCCUUGUGGUUUCCUUCAAUCGGCUUUUCCCAUACUCCAAAAUCUACUCUAAACAUGUCACACCCCCUCUCGAACUUCCUGCUAGCUUAGCCUGGAAGACGACGUGAAGCCGACUGACAUCGCUCUCCUCUACGAUACCUGUCGACUCUGCUGAACUCUUGAACCUGAUAAACAUGCUAAUCUUAUAUAUAAAAUACUUUAUAUGCAACACAACACAGUGGAACCUAGACAACCCUUACUCAGAUUGUUCCUGGAAGACUGAAAAACUAUGAAUAAUACUUGCUUAAAAUGAUAUUGUAUUAACUACUUUUUAGAAAGUCAAGAAUAAUGUGCUCAUAUAUGAAUUUCAUUUUAAAACUUAACCUUGAAACCAUGUAUUAUCCAUCAAAUCAAAUUCAAACAUCGAAACAUAAUCAUAAAUAACAGUUUUGAAAUCUAUUUGUCACUCACAACCUUAGGCUAGUUCCCUAGUGUGUAGGAUCGAUCCAUUUCUUCUUGGCUUGUCAAACAAACCAAAACUCAGCAUCAGGACCUUAAAUAGUCUUUUCUUUUCAUAGUAAACUUAAGAUGACACACAAAAGAUGACAUUAAAAAAUUCUAAACUUAGACAUUAAAGAACAUUUUGACAUUUUCCCAAAUUUUUUUUCAGAUUCAACAACCUAACUUCAAACAAUCAUGCGUUUCUCAGUACUUCACCAAAAUUAAUGUACUUUAUAUUAAACUCUUCAUUUUGAAAUUCUCUAAAACUUACUUGAUAAAAGAAAAUAAGAUUCCCAGCAGAUAACUAUAGAAAUUGCCUCAAUCAUAGGUAGUCCAAAUUUAGGUCUUCCGCUAAUCUCUGAUUUGUUCCUGAAAUUAAACUUACUUCUAGUCAUUUUUUACUCACUAUUUCUUCACAGAAGUUGUAGGAAAUUUAAUAAUCUUCUUAAUCAUACCUAAUAUAGCUUCCAACUCACUCUAUAAAAUCCUAAUAUAACUUUUCAGUUUGUGCACCAAACUAUGACAUGAUUGCCUCUUAAAAAAUCAUUAAUCUAACAUCAUAAUUUGCUCAGGCUUCUUUAAAAAAACUUAUUAAAAACUGAAUACAAUUUCAAAAAAAAAAAAAAAAAACCUUACAUUUUAAUUCCUUUUAAGCAAUUCAAAUUGACUAAAAAAUCAGAGAAUAUUUGUUCACACCAAGCUUUUUCCAUGACUGUUUAUUCGUUCGAGUUUUUCUUCAUCUCCUUCACCUUAAGUCACAACACUUUCCCUCCUUCUUCUUCCUUAGAUUCUAGCUUAGAUACCUUUGAAAAUUUGGUAAAAAUGGAUGAAGAACUUUUUUGGCAAUGGAGAGAAAUUAAACCAACAUUUUGCGGCGAAACACUUUUCAUUUCCUCUUCUCUCUCUUUUCCUCUUUUUAUUUCUCCUUUUAAAUAACUUCUCUUUUUUUAUUCUUAAAUAUAUAUAUUAGCACCCCCACCUCGGGUACCUGCUUACUCAUCCCGAGAUGUGACGUGAUGUCAGCCGAAGCUGUUUGCCUCUUGAACAACCUCAACUGAAACAUGACAUGGAAUCAUGAAACAAUCAACAACGAAAACUUUUAACUUGAGAUACUUAAAACCGUAGUGUGAUCCAUUUGAAAUCUUUUAUAAAAUAUAACAUGGAUAAAAAACAAAAGAUGAAUAAAUAAAGUGGUUGAACAGUCGCUUGACUAUUUUGAAAUAAACAGUGUCCUUUGUAUAAAAAAGAACUACGUUGGCCUGGCAGUCGUAUGUUCAGCACGUGGAAAUCUACAAUAUGUACCUGAAAAGUGGGAAAACAUUUUUGAAAGAGUACGUCGAAAGGCUUAUUGGGCGACGAUUUUAUAAAACAAGUUUUCAUAAAUGUUUUAAUAUAAAACUGAAGCUUAAAUACAUGUAUCGGUAAAUAAUCAUAUCAUGAAACUUGAAACAUUUACAUAGUUUUUCGAAGACAAUCCUCCAUAGCCAUGGGCAGUAUUUACCCCUUUGUCCGAAGACUGAAUAGUCGAUGGGUAGCUAACCCUUCUCCUUUAAGGCAUAAAAAUAUACCAUUUUUUAUGGUCCAUAGUUAAAUAUUGGUUUGUCCACUAUACCAUUAGUAUGGAGUUAACCACAUGUAUAUAAUAGAUCUCAUGGAAUAUUUGGACAUGGAUAAAACAUCUGAAACACAUGAAAUAUUUUCUUGAAAGUAUUUGAAAUAUUUCCUUGAAUUCAUGAAGUUAUAACAUAACAUGAAAUAUCAUUUCAAUAAAUAUUUAUCAAUAGCAUGACUUCUAUAAGAACUUGAGAUCAUGUUUAGGAAACCUUUUUACAAAAUAGUUUGUAAAAACUUGCAAACGUGUUUAACAAUAACAUUUUUACUUGUAAAUCUUGAAAUCACGUUCAAUGAAUACUUUGGAAAUCCUUCUAUUGCUUGUAAGCUUGAAAACAUGCUUCAUAAAUCAUUUAGAAAUCAAUGUGUUACUCAUAAUACUUGUAUAGCCUUGGUCUCGAAAAUUUCUUCUAAUCCUCCUUGUCCUAAAAAAAUCACAUUUUAUCCUUAAUUAAUUCCUUGAACAUGAAAAUAUUCAAAAGAUCCUUAAAAAUUCCAAAAAAAAAAAAAAAAAAAGAAAAGAAAACAACUUAAAAUAGCUUGAAAAGAACCCAACGAAGCCCAUUGACAUAGUGAAGAGGUUGGCCACACACGUUAACCUCACAAUGGGGGGUGGGGGGAGGGGGGAGGAGCAUGCUAACCUCACAAGGGUUUUUGCACUUGUGCUUGCCACCUAUCCAGUGCCCCUCGCAUGAAUGGCAUGCACAAUGUUCUCCUGCAUACCGUGUGUCGUGCAAACCUCUAAGACAGUGUCAUGUGUGCAGCUUGAGCAUGCAUCUUGCCACUUAGCUAUGUCAUGGCCUUGUCACGUGCGUGCAACCUGACCCAAAUAACCUCUAUUGAAAAAAUGCCAAGUCCUUCUUGCCCACACAUGUAUGACUCACGACCACUACUCAGUCACUAUUUAACUUCCAGAAUCAUGACUUAAUAUUCCCAACUUUUUUUAUAAAACUUUCUUCUACAAAAUUGCUCCAAAUUGUCUUAACUUUUAGGCCUCAGAUUUACAAAGGAAUAUUCCAAGUAAUGAGUCCUGUAGCGCUCUCGAAGUGCACCUUGCUCAUAAUCUCCUGAAAAAUGACUUUCUCGUCUUCUCUUGAUCAAAACACAAAUCUUCUUGAUUCCAAAAUAACUAGCAGCCCUUUGUCACAAACUGAACUCAAUUACUUAACUUUUAAGACUAAUUUGUAUGAUUUUGCACGAGUGAGUUGUGAGAAGUUGGUUGCUGAAGUUAGCCUAUUUAUAGAGUCCCUUGCUUGCAAUUAAGUUGACACUUAAUCAUGAUUAGACUCACCUCUUAAGCUUGUGUUAACACCUCAACAACCCCUCCAAGUUCUCCUUGGGCGUGAUAUGUAUGAUAACAUGGUUGUGACACUUGGAUUUACUUUUAACCGAAAGCCCUAAUCAAGCCACGUAAAUGUCCAACUCAUAUGGCUAACCUCCAUGGCUUCCUUGCAUAGCCCUUGACCGUCUAGCCUUGCUUCCUUGCUUCCAUGCCCAACAAGCCUUAUACUAACAUCUAAACACUUAGCCAAAUGCCUAGCCAAACCUUCCUUGUAUCAAGCAUUGGCCACAUAGCCUCUCCUCGGGCGACACCUUUUCUUUGGCCAAUUAACCUCUAAAUACUUCCUCGCAUGGCCAUGUCUCUCACCCAACUAAGCUGUCAAAGGCUUCCUCACGUGGUCCUUGGCCGCCCAAAGACAAGCCUCAAACGCCCAAGCAUCAUCUUUGGAGAUUAAUUCCCUUACUUGGUCGCCUACUCCAUGCCUAAACGCCUAGCUUUGGAGGUUUUCAAGAUUCUUCUUGCUGUCCAAUGACACCCAUUUGGAGGUUCUUUGCCCUUCUUUGCUUUCACACCUUAAGCCGCAAUACGACCAAAACGUCGAAGUAAUGAGAAUAUGAUGCGGUUUAGUUACAACCUUGAAAUUUUCUUAUCAACUAAUUCAACCUCACAUCCUUUUAAACUACCAAAAGAAAAGCAAACAAAAGUUGCCAACGAUGGAGAAGAUAAUGUAAUGGCUGCCGGAGAGAGUGAACAAUUAGGUUAAGUUAUAUUUUUAGAAAGAAUAAUUAAAUAGUUUAUUACAAAAUAAAAUAAAAUUACAAAUAUUAUAAUAUAUUCUGAUUUAUAAUUAAUUCAAAAGAUACUUGAAAUUUAUUAACAUAUUAAUUGUCAAAUAAAUAUAAGGAAGUUAUGAAAUUCAUAUUAAAUACAAAUAGUUUUAAAUAAGGCAAUUUUUUAAAUAAUCUUAAGAAUAUAAUAUAUAUUUAAUAAUCGUAUUAUAUAAUUAAUAAUUAAUGAAAUGUUAUAAUUGUCCGUAAAGUAUUAUCUUUCUUAUUUAAGAAAAUAAUUUUCAAUAUAUGACAAUUGUGAAUUUUUUUAAUAAAUUUAGGCUUUUUGUCUAAAAGUUUCUAAUUAUUAUUGCUAAAAUUGUUAUCAAUUACAAUUAUCCUUUGCUUUUGGGUCAUUUCAGAGCCCAAAAUGAUAUAUAAAGGCCCAAAAAAGAGGAUUGAGAGUCAUAAAGACAAAAGUCUAAGAAAACACCCUCUUGAUAAACCACCCAACAAAUUAAGAAAAUAAGAGAUAACCGUGAGAAUGACAAAAUAUAGUAUAACAAACUGCAAAAAUAGCAAAUCUAAAAAAUAUUAAGAAUUUUGGCAAAAUCGGUAGUUACAAAAUUUUUUGAAUUUUUUUAGCCGUUUUUACUCUUUAGGUAGGAUAAUACGUGUUUUAUAGAUACAAUGUAUUGAUCAAAUAUCACACAAUCCUCAGUUUAUUUGCAAACUAUGAUCAGUUUGAAAAAAUAUUAACUAAUUUAUGGUAUUUACGAGGUUGACAAGAUUUUUUCAAUAUCCCCUAAAUAUACACCUAUAAUUCAUAACCAAUUUUCGGAUUUUUAGUAUUUAAAUCAAAUUAAUUAGCAUUUAUUUAUUUAAUUCAUAAAACUUAUGUUUAAUCAAGAUUUCCCUAAAAGAUUGCUAAAGAUUUUCAACCGUUCCUCAGUCAUUAGAUUUCAUAAUAUUUUGAAUUCAAAUAUUAUGAAAUCUAAUCUCUAAAGUAAUGACAUUUACAAAUUCAGUACUUUCAUUUGAUUUAUAUUUCAAAUUAUUUUAAACAAAAUUAUUAGAUAAUUCAUAAAUGUAUAGUUAAUAAAAAAUGGCCAUGAGAAUUUCAACCAUUCUCGAGUAAUUAUAUUUUGAUUUCAAAUAUUACAUCAUAUCCAUAAAAUAAUGACAAGCAUAAAUUAAGCAUUUUCAUAUUAUUUAUAUUUUAAGUUAUUUUAAAAAAAUUAUCAAAUAAUUCAUAGUAAGUAUGAUUAAUAAUAAUUUAAACUUAAAGUUUUAUCAUCUCUCCAAUCGUGCUAGUUAUGAUUAUACACUUAUUUUGGUUGAUUUUUAUUAAAAAAAAUAUUUUAUUGUUCCUCUGGAAUCGAAUAAUUAUUUUUUCACGUUGUGUUCUUUAAUUACGUUAAUAUUCAUAUUUACUUUAAUUAAACGUUUUAUUUUCAAUCAUCCUUGUUAUGCAUGUAUAAAUCAAGAAGAUAUGUGUGUUAUACCCCUUUAUAUAGGAUGAUACGUGUUUUAUAGAUACUGUGUAUUUGCAUAAUACAAAUAAUGAGACCAAAUAUCAUACCGUCACAUAUACAGUGUAUUUACAAACUACAAUCAGUUUUAAAAAAUAUUAACUAAUUUAUUAUAUUUUCGGGAUUGACAAGAUUUUCUCAAUAUCUCUUAAAUAUAUGCCUAUAAUUCAUAAUUUUAAAAAAAAGAUUUUUAGUAUUUAAAUCAAAUUAAUUAACAUUUAUUUAUUUAAUCCAUAAAACUUAUGUUUAAUAAAUAUUUCAUUAAAAAUUGCUUAAAGAUUUCCAACCGUUCCUCAUUUUUCCUAGUAUUUUGAAUUUAAAUAUUAUGAAAUCUAAUCCCUAAAAUAACGGCAAUAACUAAUUCAAUAUUUUCAUAUGAUUUAUAUUUCAAAUUAUUUUUUAAAAAUGUAUUAGAUAAUACAUAGUUAUUUUAUUUUAUAUUUCAAAUUGUACACUUAUUUUGAUUGAUUUUCAUUAAAAAAAAUUAAUUUACUGUGUCUCUUUUAUUAAAACAAUGUAUUUUGCAAACAACACUUAAAUUUGGUAAAUCUGAAUUAAAUUUGCUAUUUUGUUAGUAGACAAGAUCGCAACAACCUCACUUACAAUAUUGACAAAUAUAUACCCAAGAUUUUCAAAUUUGUUAUAUUUUAAACAAUUUAUUAAAUAAUACAUAAUAUAUCUUUUUAAUAACAAUUUGAAUAUAAAUUUUAGGAUAUAAUUAUGCCUCCAUGACAUUUUUGCAAUUAUUUGAAUUUUUUUCUUUUAGGUUUUAUUAGAGAAAAGAUAAGAGAUUUAAAGAGGGGCAGCCGAUGAGAGACAAACACACUGAGAAAGAAAAAAUUUGCUUGCAAACAAAAGAGAAGAACUCAAAUGAAUUUCGAAUGUAGGAAAAACUCAUCGAUUUGAGUGGACGAACUCACCUAUGCGUAUUUUGCUAAGAUGUAUAUAAUUUUUGAAUUCUGUGAUAUAAUUUCAUUAUUUCAUCUUUAUUAUAAUAUCAACAAUGCUUUCCUUUUCAACUUGAAGCUUUCAACUAUGACUGUUCCACAAGUGUAGAGUCAAACUUUUGGAUUGAAUGUGUCUCAACUUUGCAAUUAUCCAUUUCAAAUUAACGAUAUCUUUUGGACCUUUAAAUAAAUUUUAAAUUUUGUAAGCACGAGGUGAAGCUUCUCCUAUUAAUGACAACUUUUCUAAUCUUUAUGUAUUUAGGGGAAAAUUUUAUGUAACAUGUGUUAUUUCAAUUACAGUAUAUUUGAAUUUUAGGUAAAUAAUUAUACUUCUCGUAUUGGAUAGUGGCGUUCGAGGGUUUGUUUCAUUUAUUUAUUUUUCUAAUUUUUAUAUUUUGCUAUUCUAAUAAUUUAAAAUUAUUUUUGUUAUUUUUUCAAAGUAAAACUCAUAAUUUGGUAUUAUUGUUGAUAGUCCUAACAAUAAUCACAUCACUCUCUGAAUCACUAUCUGAUUCACAAUGACUGUUGCGUGUGACCUUAGAUGGGCUUCUUCUUUAUCAGCUUAUCUCUCCAUUCUAUUAUAUAUGAUCUAAAAGAACUCAGCAAUAAGAAUAAUCUCACCCUGGUUCACAGUGGAUGUAGACUCUAAUGUCGAACCACUAUAUAAGUAUCUUGUGUAUUCUCUUCUCUUCCAACUCGUUUCAUUAUCUUGAUUUUAGUUUAGCUAUCUGCAUAUUUUCUCACAAUAGAUAACAAGCAUUUCUGCCAAGUAUCACGUUAUUACACAUUUUUUUAUUACAUAUUUGUAAGAUUCCAGUUUAUUCUAACAACGUAAAGUUACGGGACAAGUUCUGAAAAUAAAGAAAAAAAACCAUUUUGGCGUCACAAACAGCUUGAAAAUGUCUACUUAUUUGUUUUUUUUAAGAACAAGCACGAAUACGGGUGUGAGAGUGAGGAAAGUAGCGUAUGAGAACACAGUCGAAUUAGAUUAGUUGAACACGAGCAUAAGAGAAAAGAGUGAAGAAAUUUAGGUCAUCCAAUAAAAAAAAUAUAUAAACAAACAUCUUUGUAGUAAUCUCCUCCAUUUUGCUAAUUGUUUAAACUACAAGACAAAGGGAUAAACAAUAAUAAAGAAAAAUGGGAGCAGUCAUUUUACAUCUCCAAUAUAUUAAUAUAUCUAAUUUUAGAGGCUAAUUUGUAGCUCUUAUAUUAUCCCAUACUCAUAACAUAGAUGAAGAAACCAAUGAAAUUCUUGGAAGUUCCCUCUCUUUGAUAUCUACGAACAAGAAGAUAAGACAAGAACAAACCAAGAUUCCAACUACAAAAACCAGCUGAAAUUGGUUGGUUUUGAGGUAUUAAUUGAGAGAAAAGAGAAAGAAAGAAAGAAAGAAAAUGAGACACAUAGUAGAAUUUAGAACACCCCAACAUCCUUCUUUUGGAAAAAACAAUUGGGGCGGAGCUUCUCCUUUGCUAGCUAGAAACAUCCCCCAUGAAACUCUUGAACUAAGGUAUCUCAAACUCAAUACAACUCGUACUCGUGACGAAAUUUUUCCUCUUCAAGAAGACGAAGUCGACGACAAUUACUACUUGCCUAUCUCAUAUACGACUCAACUGCAACAGCAUUUCAAAAAGACAAAGUAUGUGGAAAGGAAUUCGUUUUUGUCCAAAUUGUCUUUACCAUGGAAAGGGAAGAGGGAGACAUUGUUAGGCUCAAACUCAAGGAAAAAAUGGUUCAAGAAAUGGGAUUAUCAAAACAGGUGGCCUCAAGGGUGGUGCUAACUAAGGUUUUAUUUUGAUUGUCUUAUUGUCCGUGUCAAAAUAUGGAUUCAUAUAAUAACCGAACAAAAUGUGGAAUCUGGAAAAUAUUAUCUAUAGAUCUAUCUUCUGGUUGAUAUACAUGAGGCAAAAUGAUGAGCCAACAUUUUCAUUUUAUGUUCAAUGAUACAAGUAAAAAAUGGGAUCAUUUUAAUUACUAAAGCCAUUUAACUUUCAAAAUAUGGUGCAAACUUGGAGAAGAGAGCACAAAAUUUGGUGGUUCUUGUUGUACUUUUAAACUGUUUAUGUUGGUGUAGGUACUGUUAAAACAAAUCCUUUUUAUUUUGACAAAUGAAAAAACUCUCACACGGAAGUAUAGUGGAGUAGUGAUUGCAUUUUAUAUUUUAAUCAAAUUUUAAAAUUCUCUCAUUUUGGUUUCAACAUUUUAAUAAAAUUGAUCCACUUUAGAAUCUUUUUCUAUUUUAAUAAACUUAUUGACAAUUUUUUUGUUUUUAAUUUUUUAAAAUAAAAUUAUAAAUUCUAUUUUCAUAUGUUGCUUGGUUAUUUGUUUGGCACGAGUACUUCUAAAAACUAUAAACAAGUAGUUUUUUUUUUUAAAGAAAAAUUGUUAAAAAUAACAAAUUUGAUAAAAUAUUUACUUGUAAUAGCAAAAUUUUAGAUUAUAUCAAUAACAAACGUUUGAUAGUCAGUGAUAUCCUUCAGUAGCAUUGAUAGCCAAUGAUAGAAGUCUAUCAUUGGCUAUCUUCUAUCAUUAGCUAUCAUUGAUAGAAUCCAUAAUAUUUGCUAUAGCUGGAAAUAUUUCAAUUUAUUUUGCUACUUUUAAAAAUGUCUCUUUUUUAAAAGGUAAAUUUUCAACCAUAUAACAAAAUUGAAAAACAUUUAUUAUUCGUAUAACAAUUUAAGAAAAGUACAUUAACACUAAUUACUUACCCUUACUUGUUUAUAACAAAUUUUCAAUUCUGAUUCUUCUUCUUCCUGAUUUUUUCACUUUCUUUUGGAGUUAUUCAUCUCACGUUUUAUAUAUUUUUCAACUUAAUCCUUCUUUCACUUAUUUAUCAUCUUUUCGAAUGUAUUCUUUCUCUUGAAUAUUCUUUCUCUUCCUCGUCAUCUUUGUCAUCAGCUUCGACAAUCAAGAUCGUUUAUAUUACUAUGUCAAUAUCGUUGCAGUUAUCUUGUUUUCGAUGAGAAUUCUAAAUACUAUAGCAAAUUAGAACUGUUUAGACAAUUAUAAAGUUUCGCUAAGAAUUCUAUCAUUCAAAUAAAGAUCGUUUUUGUUUUGGUUUGUAGUAAGAAUUGUAAAUUUUGUUUUCGUUUCAAAUGUUUAGAAGAUUUAUGAAUUACUGUAGGACAUUCUGUAUUUCAGUAUGAAGAUCUUUAGUUUGAGGUUUUUUAUAUGAUCGUUUAGAUUGAUAACUAAGAAUUUUAUAGUUCAUUAUGAUCAUUUUUGUUUUUUUUGUUGUUGGUAAGAGUUCUAAAGUUUGUUUUUGUUUCAAAUGUUUAGAAGUUUUAAGUAUUACUCUAAGAAUUUUGUAUUUCAUUAUGAAGAUCGAUAGUUUGGAGUUUUUGACAAUAAUUUAUAUUGAAUUACACGAUCGUUUAACACUAUCAAUAGGAUCGCUUACCAAUAUUAACACGAUCGCUUACCCAUAACAAGAGUCUUUUACAAUAUUCAAUAUGAUCACUAGGAUCAUGUGAUCGUGUACCUAUGUCAACACGAUCGUUUACUUUAUUCAAUACAAUCGUUUACCGUUUUCAAAUGAUCGUUUAUCAUGGUUAAUAGGAUCAUGUAAUGUGUACUAAUUCAUUGCACGAAUUUCUAUUUAUUCUUGCAUUGUGUUUAUUAUUAUCUAAUUAUCUCUUUUAUUCUUUUGUUCAGUGAUAGAUGUAUAUCUUUGUCUAUCUAUUUAUUUCUAUCACAAUUAAUUACUUAGUUUUAUUUUUUAUUUUUUACAGAUUACAAUGCCUAUUCCUUUUGUUGUUUUUUAUGGAGGUCAAUAGAAUGGAUAUAAUAUUUAUGAGAAUUACUUAGUUACUGAAAUUUUGGUAGAUGUCCAAGUCAGUUUUAAUUCUCUAGUUGGUUUAAUAUGUGAACACAUUCAAUUGGAUGAAUCAGUAGAUUUAUCUAUUUUACUUGAUAGUGGUAAAAGCAACGUUUAAACUCUGGUGCCAAUAAAGAAAGACAAUGAUGUUGCUUGGCAUAUAUCUUUACUAAAGAUGCAAGUAGUAGACAUCCAUUAGUUCCUAAUGUAACUGUUGGUUCUUUGGGAAAGUCUUCUUCUAUUAGUGUAUGACAAAAUGUUGAUAUGUGUCAUUGAAUGUAGGUUCUCCUUUAUUGUUUCAAAUGAUGAAGUUACAAGAUACAUUUCUUAAUAUGGUGAUUGGAAGGAAACAUGUUUGUUUAAAAGUAAAGAAGUGCUUUCAAAUUGUUUUUUCAUAAUAACAGUAAAGAAGAAGUUUCAAUUUAGAACUACAGUAUCAAAUUUUAGGUCUCUUGAAUUUAGAUGCAUGCAAGAAGAAUGCAAAUAGUAUGUUAGGGCAUCUCAUUAUAAGAAGAGCGAGUUCUGGAUGCUAUGAAAAUGCAUUUUUGACCAUGACUGUUCAUUGAAUACUACAUAAAGUAGUCACAUGCAAGCUUCUUCAACAGUAAUUGGCAGUUGAUUGAUAGAUGAUUUUAGUUUCAUGUCUAUUGAUCGUUCCAUUUCAAAAGCGAUUGCGCGUAAGGCUCGUAUAAAUCUUGGAGUUAAUAUAAGUUAUCAGAAAUCUUGGAAGGCAAAAGAACACAUAGUAAAGAUAUUAAAAGGUGAUGCAGUUGAAUCAUACAUUUUGAUUCCAGAGUUCUUUGAUAAAUUUGUUAAAUCUAACCCAGGUAUGAUUAGUUUCAUAUAUCAAAAUUACACUCAUUUGCAAAUAGAUGAUAAUAAACAAAUGUUACAAUCUAUCUAGAUAGACAAAUAUUAGCAUCUAUCACAGUCAAUGUGUUGUAUUUUGUUGGUGAUGAUAGAAAUGUUUUGUAAUUAUUAUAGGUACAUGCACUGCUUUAGAGAUGGAUGAUAGUGCAAGUUUUGUUUUAUGACUUUUGGUGUAUCAAUUGAAGUAUAUGAAAAUACUGUAAACCUAUCAUUUAUGUUGAUGACACAUUUUUUAAGUGUAGUAAGUUUGGUGGCAUCCUAUUAACAGUCGCCUCAUCACAUGAUGGUAACAAUUAAAUUUUCCCUUUUGCUUUUGUUAUUGUAGAUUCUGAAAAAUGAUGCAUCAUGGACAUGAUUUUUUUAGAAGAUACGAGGUAGUUUUUCAGAGCGAGCUAAUUCAGUCAUUGUUUCUAAUUAAGCAUCUUAACAUCCUAAAGGAGUUUUAAGAGUGUUUCCUGAUGUUGAGUAUUGUGUGUGCACAAAACAUCUAUUAAGUAACUUGAAACUUCAUUUUAAGGAUCCACUACUUGAUAAAUAUUUCUUUUGUUGUGCUUAUGCCUACACUUAUGCCUACAAAACAUCUAUUUGUGCACAUGAAACGUAUGGAGUCAAUUUGUUCAAAUAUCAAAGAUUAUCUUAGUAAUGUUGGUUUUGAGAAGUGGUCUCGGACAUAUUCGCGACAAAAUGAUGAUAUCAAAUUAUGUAGAAAGUGUAAAUUCAGUGUUUAAAUAUCUCAGAGAACUACAUGUGGCUACCAUGCUUAAUUCAAUUAUAUAUGUAUUGCAAAAGUGGUUUUAUGAAAGAAGUAAAGCUGCUUUUGCAAUAAAGAGGCGUUUAACUUCUUGGGUUGAGAAUGUGUUGUGUUUAGAACAUGAAAAGUCAAGAAGUUUAUUGGUAAGUCCCAUGGGAUCACCACUUGUUGUGCAUCCUUUGGAGUACAAAACCGAUAGGUGCAUCCGUUGGAAGCACUAGACUGAUAGGUGCAUCAUUCGGAAGCACUAGAUUGAUAUGCACUAGAUUGAUAUGUGCAUCCUUUGAGAGCAUUAGACUGAUUGUGUGCAUUCUACGGGAUACAAGACUGUUAUGAUGGAGGGUACCACCCAAUUGUAAGCUAAUAAUUUUACCUCUAGCAAGACCAGUAGUGAGUUUCUUAUUGAGUAUAUUUAUACUCACCCUUUCAUGUUCAACUUUUCAGGCAAAUGUAAUACAAGAGGCAAAUCGACGAGGGAUAAGAAUGAGACGUUAUCGUCGUAGGGGAAUUUUCUUCAAAAUUGUUUUCGCUUAGUAUCUUUACUGUUUUUCAGUUUUAAAGAUUUAAAAUGAGUUCCAUGUUUAGAACGGUUUAUUUUUAAGUAAUUUAUAAAUGAUACUUUAGAAAUUGUAUUUUGUUUAAAACAAGGCCCGAAUGAAGUUUCUUUGAUAAUGAUUGUUUCAAAUAAAUUUUUAUUGUAUUUCGUGUCAACCAAAGUGUUUUUUUUUUAAAGAUAAUGACUUCGACUUAAUUUGAAAAGUUGAGUUGUUACAAGGUUAUUUUGAGACAUCUUUGUCCUGAGAAAACAUUUAUAAAAUCGUAAACCUUAAACCUUAAAUUCCUUCAAGAAUCCUCUUACAUAACCUUUAAACUCUAUUUCUAAUAAACCUUAAACAUUCCUUGGUAAACAGUAAUCUUAAAUAAAUAACUUUAAACAAUAACAUGCUUGAAUGACUUUUCAUAAAAUAUCUUAGACAUUUAAUACAAAUAAUUUAUAACUCAUAACUUAAGAACAUACUUGAAAUCACUUUAAUAAAAUCAUUUUUCCACUCACAGAUACAAGCUCAAAUCCUUGUUCUAUACAUUUUCUUCAUCUCUUCUUAUCCUUAAAUAAUGGUACAAUAGUCCAAUUAAUUCCCUUUUACCAAGAAAACACCAAAAGUGUACUUGAAAAUUCCAAAAACCAUCAAAAACUGCCCAAAUGCCUCCUGACAUUGUCUAGCGCACAUGAAUGGGCAGCAGGCCUUGGUCGCGCACGCUGGACAGCCCACGUGCCAACCUCACAAGACGUUUACCAUGCACCCCACCUUGAUCACAUACCUUGCGUCCCGCCCAGCCCUCCUCGCGCAUAUAACUUGUGGUGCAUACCUUGCGCGCAGGUUGUGCGUCUAACAACAGCCAAAAGGUAUCACUAACCUCUUUGAGCAUCAAAAUGCCUGUCUAUCUCUUUUAGCUUACCUUGUCACUUAGUCAACCACUAACUUGACGAAAAACUCAUUUUUCUUCUAAAAACUUAACCCAACUUUAAAAACUUAUAACUAAAAAUCCACAACUCUUUAGAUGAAACUUCCUUAUGUGAAAAUGCUUAGAAAUGUCUUAGCUAUCUUAGCUCAAAAUAUAAGUUUCAAAUUUCUCGAGAAGUCCACCUUGCAUAGAUUCAUUUGAAAAUUGAUCUUCCUCACUUUUUUCAACUCAAACUCAACUUUCCCUUCCUAAAAAACGUCUGGCAACCUUAGUCUGAAAACUAGACUCAAUAUGUGAUCUUUCUAAAGUAAUUUUAACCAAAAUGCACAAGUGAAAUGGGAGAAAUGUUAACCAAAAGUGACCUAUUUAUACUAAACCUUGCAUGAAUAUUGAUUGAUACCUCAUACUUGCCAAAAUCUAAAUUAAGCAUGUAAGGACACUUAUAAAGCACUUCACCAACUCCACUCUUCAUCUCACCCAACCAAAAUGGCUAAUUACUGUUAUAUGUGUGGUCUCAAUUCAGUGCUAGGACUUGAGAGUUUCCAUUAUAGUAAAUGCAGUUGCAAUACAUCACCGAUUCAGAUCAUUAUGCAUAAUGCGCUCAUUAAAAUUCUUUGUAUUGUAUACUUCCAUUACGUGCGAUGGUCCAUAGGGUAUGAUAAUAGCAUUUAAGGAGCUUACAAUGUACCUCUUCAUCACGUAAUCCUUAAGUCCUCGUUGAGUACAAGUUUUUCUACUGUUUUUCCAAGUGCAAGCAAAAUAGUAGGUUUACCUGAGUGAUCCAAAGUCGUACGCAAAAAAUUAUUUUAGAUAUUAGUUUUAGGUUUCAGUUUUUGUUAAGACAUUUGAAAGAAUAACAAAUGUAAGAAUUAACUAAAUACAUAGCAAAAGUUUGUACUACAUCGUGAAGAGAAAGAUAGAACAAUGUAUCUAACUUGUAUUAGGGAGAAAAAGGCAGGAAUGACCAUGUGAUAUCUUAUGACAAAGUAUCAAGAUAACCUUGACGCGAUAUAGUUUACUAGGACAUUCUUGUGAUUAAGGCAUGCUUCUAUCGAAUGCAUAUAUGCCACACAUGACUACUUUUCAUAGAUCCAUAUGAACAAGUAUGGCUAGGCGAGCUAUAUCUAAAAGAAACAGCUGAUGCAUCUUUUAAUAUUUCGCAUUUAAGGACGGUUGCCUCUCAGUAACCAAUGUUCACACUUGUUUUCCUUUCGCGAUCCAAAUGUUCGAGAUGCUUUCACAGGGAGAUAGAUUUUCUCUCCAUGCGUGUUAAUUGAGUUCUACCUACUUUCUCCUCUCGGGUAGUUGGCAACUUAUGCUGGUCAAGCAGUCACAAAAGCAUAAUUAACACGUUAAGAUUUAUAAGUGACUCUUCUUAUCAUGAACUAUUAUCUACCCUAACACUAGGUAACACGUUGUCUUGCAGAACAUGAGAAGAAAUGGAUUGAACGAUUAUAUUCACUUAAACUUAACAAAGAAUGUAAGAAUUGGUUUAUACAUGAUAUGUACAGUAUGAUGUAUACAAUAUUAAUGAAAACAACAAAAAUGAGAAAAAGAGAAAGUCGAUUAUUAAUACAAGUUAAAUGAUCAACAAAUACUAAUCUUUUCUUCAUCACGAUUGCAUAUUCUCCAGGUAGCUUUCACAAGCUCGCUCUCUCUCUCUCUCUCUCUCUCUAAAUAGACUUUUUCGGGCAUCUUCUUGGGCUUUUCGAGCCUCUCCUUCAAAGGUAGGGAUGGAAUGCUUGUAUAGACUAUUUUUCAACGAGAAAAUUCUUUUCUUCCGAGUGUGUCGACGCUGUCAUCUAACCUUGUCAAGUCACAUCAUUCCAAUUACUAUUUUUAUCUUUUUGUGAGCUUUCCUCGCAUGCUAUAAGGUUCAUUGCCUUGAGUUGUUAAUCAACAAGCAAGAUCCAUCACAUCAUCUUUGCACGAGAUGUCAUAUGUGAAUUGCUCAUUUCUUCUUUUCCCCUUAUCCCACGUUUAAACAUGACAAUUGUGUAAAACAGGAACGAUAUUUUCGUAGGCCGUAUUUCUAAAUAUUUAUGCAUUUACAACGUAAAUUUUGCGUUCUUAGCAACUUCUUAUGCAUUUCAACCUCAUUAUUCUAAUAAAAAGGACUAUACUAAUGAUCAUUUCUGCACAUUAUCACACCUCCAAAUUUAGAAUAAUGGUUGUCCUCAAGCAUCACUCCAUAUUAUGCCUGUCCUCAAGCACCGUUCCUCUUUAAUGAUUCACUUUUCCCUUUGCAUUUCAACACUCCUCUUAAUGCGAGCAAGUUCUAUUCAUUAUGAACGAAUUACCAUGGUCUCGUACUUCUUAUUAUGAAAAUAUUUCUAUGUUCAUCAGGCGGCAAGCUUAAUACUGAAAAUAUCAUUGUUCAUUCUCUUUAGUAAACCUUAUUUUUCAUAUUCUGUAAUGACUAAAAUUUUGAGAAAGCUCCAAAUCCCUUUUAUUUAGCGAAAGAAUGCUUUGUAUUAAAUUUCCAUUGGAUUGAACGUUGAGUGGAAAAUCAUAGGCACUCUAUGAGCCCAUUUCUCUCCUCAAUUGUAACUCUUAUCGUCGCUUUUUAUUCAAUUCUCUGAGUUUUUACUUUUAAAGCUUUACUUCUUAUUUUUGCGAGAGGAGGCAACAUAGGAGUUGUUAUUUUUAAAUUAAUCCAAGUUUAUCCGAAUUUACAGCAAUUGUUUUAUUUUUGGCUUAGUUUUAACUUGUGUUAAAACACCUUACUUUUGCUUGCCUUGUAAGGUUUUUUGAAAGGUUUUCAAAAUUUUAAUACGGAUCUCACGCACCCCCAAAUUUAGAGAUUAACAAAGUCCUCAUCACAAAAAUGAAUGAUAAGAUUAUUCUUUAGGAAAGUUUUUACAAGAGUUGGUUUGAGGUAAAGUUUACUCGCCUUAAUAAGCUAUAGAAAUAUUUUUGUAAGUAAGGUUCCUUAACAAGUUAAACGCACAUAUAACAAAUGAAAUUGUAUUUCACAUACUUUAUUUUAUUGAAGUGUUAUUGAAGUACAAAGAAAAAUUAGAAUACUAUAAGGUGGGGAGCCAAACUUGUGACAAGAAAGAUUAAACGCUUAAAGGUUACAACAAAAGUGAUUGCUUGCAUUGUUAAGGAUAUAAAUAAAAAGAAAUAAGCAUUAUGCCGAGGCACUUAGCAAAUCCUUAUGAUUUCGUCAGCAAAAUGAGGUUUCUUCAAUUGAGGAUCUUGUGAGGCUAUCCUCGCUUUUGCUACUGGAUCAUUGUGCUCUUUUGGAUUUUCUAAGGCUUGGAAUAAGCGAACAAGGAUUACUUGGAAUAGAAGUGGGCGAAUGGGGUUGGGAGGAGUUUGAGUGUUUUGUCUUUGGAGGUCUUUCUUAUGACGUAGAGCUCGAGAUGGUGAGCGUGCAACAAGAUAUCAUGGGAGUUUUUAGCCUUAAAAGGUUCUCUUCUUUUCGGUCCUAAGGCUUCCUCCUCUUCUUGUUUGUACCAUCAUCACCCUUUUUAUUUAUCGUCGUAUGGAUGGUGAUGAGGUCUCAACUUUAUAUUUUUCCCUUCCUCUACUUGUGCGCGCGAGAGUAUCCUUGAAUGCUCUAGGAUCUCUUCUUUCUUGUGGGCAGGCACCUCCUCCUUUGACAUAGUGUUUCUAUUAUCUUCUUUCUCAAACUCCUCGAUCACGCCCUCCCCCACCUUUGUCCCUCAUUCUUGUCAUUUGCCUCUUCUUCCAAGGACUCGAAUCCCUUUUGCAGAUCUUGCAGGGGUCCUUAUUGCUAACCCUGUGACAUCAGUAUCAGAUGAGAAGGUGAUUUUUUAUUGGAAGCUCAAGAUCCUCCUUUCUCAUCUGGCUGUUUUGCUUCUUCCUUAUUCUUCUUUUCUUCUUCUUGUUACAUAAUAUUUUAUUCAUGUAUAUCUUCACUUUCUUUUGCCUCCUCCGUUACAUAAUCUUUUAUUCCAUAUUUCCUACCUCAACUUUCUCCAUCAUUUUGUGCUUUCUUUGUUUCUAUAACCUUAUUGCUCUAGGCGCCGAACAUGAGUACUUAUUACUCAUGAUGGAUGGCCUAAUGAGGGAUUUUGUAAAGUGGAACAUUUCUUGGUGAAAGACAACAUGAAUUUAAAGAAAAACGCUGAAGAUGAACUCUUUGGAAUGGUAUCACUUUGAAGGACAUACGAUGCGUGGCUUUAUGACUUGUAUUGGGCUAAAUGUUGCGUCUUAGAGUUUUUAAGUGUUUAAAUAGGCCUUCUUAACUAAGGUUAAGAGAGUGGUUACCACAUGGUUAAUAUCUUGUAACAAUAAAUGUGAUGUGAAAAACUUGAGUGACUACUCAUGGCUCGAGGGCGUAGCAUUCAUCUCGUCUUGGACACUUAAAACUGAGAGAUUUGACCUGACUCUACGUACCUCUAAAGAUUUUAUCGUUUUCCUAUGCAAUCUAGUUUCCUAUUUUGUGUAAGGCUGUUAUACUACCUAUGAUGGCACGACGUGACUAACAAUCCUUAUGAAAGAUUAAAGGAAAUAUAAAAAGUGACAACAAAAUAAUACAAAAUUAAUUUACAAAAAUAAAAGAAUUGUGCAUAGAGGUGUUGAUGUAUAAGGAGUAAGACAUAUUGUUCUGAAGAUACUGAUUUAAAGCGACGAGAAAGAAUAUACAAAUGUACUCAUGCGCUAAUACUCCUUGGCGAUGAUUAACAGUGUAUAAUUGCUUUUGCUCUGUAUAGCUUCCUGACCACGUUAAUCUUGCAGUUCAUUGAUCACUUGCAUCAUGAAUUUAAGUGUCUCAAUCAUUCAUCGCAAUGUUCAAAUGACCUUUCUUGGUCCUUUUCACUUUGCUAACUGAAAUUGUAUUUUUCAUUAGCUCUGUGCGAGGACACUUCUCUAGAUGACUUUAUAGAGGUUCACAUUUUCAUUUGCGACUACUCGCAUCCAUUGAGAUUUCUUAGGUCAUCUUCCGAAAGAUACGUUGGUUUUGGGAUUGGUUCAAGCAAUCACGAAUUAAUUCGGUACCUUGAAUCUUUCCAUGUGAUUUUUGGCUAAUUGUGUGAUUCACCAAAAUCAAAUGUUUUGCUUUAACUCAAGUAAAACACUACUCUAACAUCUAAAAAUCAAUUCCCUAGCAAUGACAUCAAAAACUUGAUGUUGUGUGUGGUCUCAAUUCAAUGCUAGGACUUGAGAGUUUCUGUUAUAAUGAAUGCAAUUGCAAUACAUCACCGAGUCAGAUCAUUGGGCGUAAUGCUCUCAUUGAAAUUCUCCGUAUUGCAUGCUUUCAUUACGUGCAAUGGUUCAUAGGGUAUGAUCAUAACAUCUAAGGAACUCACAAUGUACCUCCUCAUCACGUAAUCCCUAAGUCCUUGUUGAGUACAAGUUUUUCUACGGUUUGUCCAAGUGCAACCGAAAUAGUAGGUUUACCUAGGUGAUCCAGGGUCGGGAAUUGUUUUAGAUAUUAGUUCUAGGUUUCACUUUUUGUUAAGACAUUUGAAAGAAUUAAAGAAUAACAAAUGUAAGAAUUAACUAAAUACACAACAAAAGUUUGUAAUGUGUAAUGAAGAGAAAGAUAAAACAGUGUAUCUAACUUGUAUUAGGGAGAAAAAGGCAGAAAUGACCAUGCGACAACUUAUGACAAAUUAGCGUGAUAACCUUGACUCAACAUAGUUUACUAGGACACCCUUGUGAUUAAGGCAUGCUUUUCUUGAAUGGAUAUAUGCCACAUAUGACUGCUUUUCAGAGAUUCAUAUGAACAAGUAUGGCUAGGUGAGCUAUGUCUAGAAGAAACUGCUUAAGCAUCUUAUAGUAUUUCACAUUUAAGGAUGGUUACCUCUCAGUGACCAAUAUGCACACUUGCUUUCCUUUCAGGAUCCAAAUGUUCGAGAUACUUUCGUAGGGAGGUAGAUUUCCUCUUCACGCGUGUUAAUCCAGUUCUAGCUACUUUCCUCUCUCGGGUAGUUAGUAACUUAUACUGGCCAAGCAUCCACAAAAGCACAGUUAACACGUUAUGAUUUUAUAAGUGACUCUUCUUAUCAUGAACUAUUAUCUACUCUAACACUAGAUAACACGUUAUCUUGCAAAAGAUGAGGGUAAAUGGAUUGAAUGGUUAUAUUUACUUAAACUUAACAAAGAAUGUAAGAAUAGGUUUAUACAGGAUAUGUACAGUAUGAUGUAUACAAUAUUAAUGAAAACAACAAAAAUUAGAAGAAAAUAAAGUGGAUUAUUAAUACAAGUUAAAUGAUCAACAAAUACUAAUCUUUUCUUCAUCACGGUUGUAUAUUGUCCAUGUAGAUAUUUUAAGCUCUCUCUCUCUCUAAAAAGACUUUUUCGGGCCUAUUUGAGCCUCUUCUUGGCCUUUUCGGACCUCUCCUUCAACGGUGGGGAUGGAGUGCUUGUAUAAGCUGCUUUUCGAUGGGAAGAUUCUUUUCUUCUGAGUGUGUCAGCAAUGUCAUCUGACCCUGUGAAUCACAUCAUUCCAAUCACCAUUCUUAUCUUUUUGUAAGUUUUCCUCACAUGUUGUUUAGGUUCAUUGUUUGGGGUUGUUAAUCGCCAAACAAGAUUCAUCGCAUCGCCUUUGCACGAGAUGUCAUGUGAACUGCUCCUUUCUUCUUUUCCCCUAGGUCCACAUUUAAACAUGACAAUCGUGUAAAAUAGGAAUGACAUUUACGAACUCAUCGAGGACCCAGAGGUCAAAGUAGUCACGGAUAUCUAAAUAUUUAUGUGUUUACAAUGUAAGUUUUGCGUUCUGAGUCACUCCUUAUGUAUUUCAACCUCAUUAUUCUAAUAAAAAGGGCUAUACUAACAAUCAUUUCUACACAUUGUCACCAGUAUCCAAAGACAAGUCCAAAUGCCUUAUGUCAAACCCUUAUGAACCUCCAAGGCUUCUUGCAUGACAUGCCCCCCACCCAUCCCUAAGACACCAACCUUCAACAGCCCAUAUUUUACUUUUUUGUCUUUUCAUGUCCUUUCUUCGCCAUCCUACCGAAUUCUAUUGCAACUAUUGGCAAGGAGGUUCCCUCUUCUUGAACCUUUGUUUCUCUCACCUCCUCACCAACUUCCUCACUCCUCCUUCUCGCCUCUUCUUCUUUCUACUUUUUCUCAUCUUUCUCCUCUAGCCUCUCCUUUUCUUUUUCCACUUUCUCUUUUUUCGCCCUCUCAUCUCACUCUUUUCUUUUUCCACUUUCUCUUUUUUCGCCCUCUCAUCUCACUCUUUCUUUUCCUUUUCUUCUUUUUCUUUCUUCUCCCUUUCUAUUCUUUCUUGUUCACUAGUACAAAAGUGGUCUACGACGACAGUUAUUUACUAUCGCGAACGGAUUUCGCGACAGUUAUUUUUAGUCAUAGAAGCGGGAGUCAUGGAAAGGCCUUCGACGACAGUUUUUGAAAACUGUCGCAAUAGGUUAUUUUAUGACAUGAAAUAAAUGUCGUUAAUCAGCAUUCAACGACAUUCAAUAACUGUCAUAAUUUAUUUUAUGACAUUCAAUAACUAUCAUCAUUUCUUUAUUAACGACAGUUAAAUAAUUGUCACGAAUUCUAUUAUCGUGACAUGUAUUAAUUGUCAUGAAUAUGUUUUUCACGACAGUUUUUUUUUGUAAAAAUGUCAUUGUUUAGUUAUUGACGACAUUUUUUUCCUGUCAACGAUUGUGCAAUCGUGACAGUUUUUCGAUAACAUUAAAUGUCAUUGUUUUGCUAGUGACGACAUUUUUUUCCAGUCAAAUAUAUUGCAACUCCACCAUUACACGAACCAUUAGAAUGACAAUAAUGUAGCUGAGAAUGACAAAUUUGAAAUUAUACAAGUUUCACACCAAUGUACAAAAAAAUAGCCAACACUUUAAUAUAUAUACACUAUAAUACGAUUUAUAAUAUUUGUACAUCUUAAUACAAGUUUCAAUAAUCCACAUGUACGAAAUACUAGCCCUUAAUCAAAAAAUAUUUUAAAUAGCAUUAGAAUACAUCUAACAAGAUUUUCUGCAGAAGCAUAAACGACCAACCGAGAAUGUUCGUCUCUGGAAAUGUUCUUUGAAAGAAAACUCAUGAAGUUGUCGACUCCAGUUGAACCUACAAAGACAACAUGAAUAUAAGUAUCCAUAACACAUACGUACAGUCAAUGAGUAACUAAAUCAAUGUCUCAACAAAAUACAGAACACAAACAAGAACUUCAACACUUGAUUCCAUGAAAUGAAAAGAAGCACGUGAGGACUACAUUAGGCAAACGAUCAUUAAAUAAUAGUGUGAAGAAGUGUAAUCCCAAAUGAUCAAAAAGUUGGACAAUCAAUCUAACCUGGUUUGGCGAUACAUAAAGUGGGUUCUCAUACCAACAGUUGAUGGAAAAUUGAACAUGUAAGUUUAAAGGAUAACAAUCAAUUAUAUGGAAAUGUAUACAGUGAACUAGAAAAACAAUGAAAUCAUUGACAUAAGAAAGAAAAAUAGCAAGAUCCCCAACUAGGACUCCUAAAAACUAUUCCCCAAAAUCUGCUUAAUCUCAAACUCUUCAAAUCAAUUAAUUUUUUGCCAUGCCAAAUUCCUUUCCUAAUGACGAUUGUAUGCCUCAUAUCUUAAGAACGACACUUCUGACAUUUAUCCAUAUAUACCUUAACGUACUUCACUAAAAACACGCAUUGUUCCUCAGGUGGUGUUGCUAACGGAGUGAUGGUUAUAAAUAAAGCAUGAUCAUGGUUAGUAUUAAAUUCUGUAGCAAGUAGGAAAUAAAUAAAGCAUACCUGGUAAUUCCGGAACCAGAUAUGGUCAUCAACAAUAGAGAAAACAAAUACAUGAUCAUGGUACGGUUUAGAAUGUCGAUGCUCCUUAGGAGUUCCAAAAAUCUGAGAGAAAAACACAUUGGUGAGAUAAAAGUAUGUCAUGUAAAAUAAGAGUUAAUAGCAAUCGUUUUAAAAAAUGCCAUUAUUUGGAGAAGCAGCAAGGAUCUACAUACUUUUCACAACAUAGUAAAUAUGCAUAUGUGAAAUCAGAAAUUAAUAAAGGCAGCAUGAAAAGAGAAUAAUAGUGGUGAGGCACUGGCAUUUUAGAAUGGGCACAAGUAUUCAUUAACCUUAUUCUUAUGCCAUGAUAUUACAUGAAAGAAGUGCAUUACGAAUAUCUUUUAUUUUUCUUUCCAUAAGAAAAAACUGAAAGAAGCUACUUCGACUACAGUCAUGCAGACUAUUUUAUCAAUUCAAUACGAUGUUAGCUUUGGAUUGAAGGAGCAAGGAAAUGAGCAAAAAAUGCGUUUAAUGAAGAAAGACAAGGAAAUUGACAUUUGCCUCAUACAUUGAUCCACGAGUAAGAAUGAAAAAUCAUUUCAACAUUCAAAAAUUAAUUGUUAAAGACAAAACUUUGCCAUUGGUACAUGAAUAAUCAUUUUCUUCAGAAGUUUCUAGUGGACAUCUUUAUCAAAAUUUGAUGAAAAUGUCAAAAUUGGACGGGAACCUUUCAAAUGGUUCCCUGUAAGCUUCAAUUCUUCCAUUGUAUGCACUGAAAGCAAAAAAAAAAUGGACAAGUAAGAAAACUUCAUUUAAUAAAGAAAUCAAAUAAAAUUUGAAUACAAGUUAAAAUUACUGGCAUUAACUAAAAACUUCACAGAUGGCCCACUAGGGCACUUUGCCAUACAUAGAUAAAGAUCUUUAUGUUUUCUGCACUGGAAUUAGAGAAAAAAAUAUCAAUGAGUGGAAAAAUAUGAUCGCAAUGUACAAACAUGAUGAGAAGGCCAUAUAGGAAAGUAAUAUAAUGAAAAGCAAAAGGAUAGUUAAAACAUCCUUAUAAGUUAUACACCACAAGAAUAAAACCAAAAUGUUAUCAUCCUAUAUCUAAUUAAAAAUAAAAAUUAGAAAACAUUGUACCUUAAAAAUUCCAGAUUACGACAGUGCAAUGAAAAGGUUCUAACCUCGAAAAAUAGGCUGGAAGAACAACCUUUGAGCUCAACCAGCUCAUUCAGUGUUGCACCCUUGCUGGACCUCGACUCCACCUUGUUAUCCUUCUUACAAAGAAAACAUAUAGAUCAUUCACAAGUCCUUAAACCAAAGUAAUACCAUUCUAUAAGUGUACAACUCACUCGUUUUCUCUUUAAUCUUAACUCUUGGUGUCAUGUAAACCACUACUGAAACUUUACCCAUGAUGAUGAUUACCAAAAUCAUAACUUUUAAAUAUAAUAACUAUGCGUAUACACGUAUGCAUGAGGUCUCAUGAUUUUAAUCAGUAGAUGUCCUGAAACAUAAUCGUAUGACACAAGAGAAUAACAAAUAUCAAAGGCGUUUCAAGUUUAAAAUAAUUACAAAUAACAUUUUAUAUACUUCACAUCUGGAAGCUCGAACACAAAAUUCAACAUACUCACUAACAACACAUCACAAACACACAUAACCCUAGACAAAUUACAGCAAACAAAUCCCAACAACCGGCACUUAAGGCAAAUUGGUAGUUAAGUUACUUUAUUGACUAGUUUGACACAACUUAAGGCAAAGUACAAAGUUUAAGAUCUCACAUUUCAUUUUUCAUUCUUUUUUUCUCAAAGCUUCAGCCCAUAGCCAUGACAUCUCCUUUGGCCUUGAUUUCCUAAUUCGAACAAACAAAAAUCAAUCAAAAAUCAACCAAAUGCUUCAUUGAGGCAUUUCAUCAAACACAUUGUAAGCUACCAAAAUGUUUCAUCACCAACCUACACAAAUUCUUGAAAACAAAGAAAAUAAUUUGAAAGAUUGCAAAGAAAUCGGCACUAGCCAUGACAUCUCUUUUGGAAAUGAGAAAUUGGGAUAAGAUCUUACCGGCGAAACAAUCCAAUGAAAUUGGGAUAAACUGAAAUCAAGAAACAAUCCAAUGGAGACAACGAAGAACUUCAUAGAGAGAGAGAGAGAAAGAGAUAAAGAAGAGAAGCUUACCGGCGGAGGGGAGGGGUGACGACCCACGCCCACGAUUUUGUUGCUUCGGGUUGAUUGAAGAGGUUUGGAGAAGACGGGGGUGGUGGCGACGGGUUGGUGGAGAAGGUUUCGACGGACGGGCAGGAGGGGAUUGGUGGUGGCGACGGGACUUCAGACGGUCAGAAAUGGGAGAAAGCCGACGGGACUUCACGCGGAGGGGAGGAAGAAAUUGGGGGAAAUUUGGGGGAAAGUUAGGGCACGCGGAUGGGAGGAAGAAUUUGGGGAAAAUUUUGGGGAAUUUGGGUUUUUUUAAAAAUAUAAAUAUGUAAUUUUAAUUUUUUAAAUAUAAAAUAAUAAAAUUUUUAACCCUAACAUUCUAUGACAGUUAAUAACUGUCGCGAAAAGUGUUUUCCGAAAAUUUCCGUCUUUUCCCGCCAAAAACGCGAAAUUUUAUAUUUCGUGACAGUUUUUUUUUUCUUCCAUUCAUUUUUUGAGAUAUAUAACUGUCAUUGUAGGGGUGUUUUCUUCUAGUGGUUGUUCUUUCUCUACUUUUUCCCUCUCUAUCCUUUCUCGCUCUUCUUGUUCUUUUGUUCUUCUUCUCUUUUUUAAGUCUUCUCAAAGACUAUUACGAGCAUAUCACCCAACUUGUCCUUAGGAAGCUGAAUUUCCACUCCAUUGAUGAUCACUGUCUUCAAUGGUCUUUCUAUUUUUCCUUGCUCCUCAUAGGGCCACUUGAUUGCAAUUUCUCAACUCCUUUACCAGACUGGCAUGCUUUGGUCGUGGUGGCUUUAUACUUUUUUAGGGCUUCGAUUAAUUCUUGCUUUCCAGACAGGAUUGAUAAAGGGUCUAGAUUUGAACAAGAAAUAAAAAGUAAAAAAAAGAAUUCUUAAUUGGUUUUUUGAAGAGGAGGAUCAGAAAUCUUAGAGAGCGUUGGAAAGCUUAAGAGAAUUUGUUUGACUAAAAGUUUGAAAUCAGGGUUUACGAAAAAUUUAAAUAGACGCAUUUAACUACAAUUAGGGUUUGGUUAACCACACGGCUAACGUCAUGCGUUAUAAAUGCGACGUGAUGGCUUGACACGGACAAUUGGUUUUUUGAGGCCGUAGUCAUUACUUUUAAAAAUUGAGGUUUUAAAAGAAAUAAAAUGCUUGAAAUUCUCGAAACCUAAUCAUUAUGAAUGAAACCCUCAACUCAACCACACCUAGCGAGAGGUCCAAAACACCUAAUGCUUUUUGUUGUGAACUCUUUAUGCUAUAUGAUUUUAUUGUGAAAAAUCCUAUUUAAUUAGCCUAAUGACUUGGAGAGAUUACUUGUGCUCCCUAACUUGUCAAAAAUACUAAACUAUAACUAUAAAAUAAUUACAAGUAUACAAAAAUCAAUAUACAAGAUUACCGAUGCAAAGUGUAAUAAAGAUAAGGAAAGUUUAUAUGUUACAUGAGCAUCCUAAAGUUCAGGUUCUUCGACAAUGACAAUUGUGCUCUCCUCGCGUACUUCUCUGCACAACCUUCCUAACUGUGUGGUUUUCUCCUGAACUUCCUUGAUCAUUUUUUCCAUGACUCUCCGCAUCACGAUCGUUCAUCACACUAAGUCUUUGCUCCCAACCAUUCCCUGCAAUGUUCAAAUGAUCUUUCUUGGUCCUCUUAUCAUGUAAUUAAUUAAGAUAUAGAUCUUAUUAAGCUUACCGCGUGGACACUUACUUUGAUGCGUUCAUAUGGAUUCUUAAACUUCAAUAGAUUAGACAUUUAAGACUUUAGGCGUUUGAGGUUUCUCAACUUCAUUUGCAAUUAAAUGCAUCCAUUGAGGUUCCUCUUUUUCACUUACCGAAAGAUACACUUAACCCUGGGGCUAGUACAAGCAAUCACAAAUAUAACUCUGGUACCUUGAACUUCUUCAUGCGAUCUUUGGCCGAAUGCGUGAUUCACCAAAAUCAAGUGCUUUUCCCAAAAUCAAAGUAGAACCGUACUAUAAUCUUUAAAAAAUCAAUUCCCUAGAAAUAGAGCCAAAAACUUGCUUAAUGAAUUUGUUAUUCUUUGAACUUAGGGAAUAUUAUUGUUACAUAUGUUAGUAUCUAAUUCUACACAGUGAGCCAUUGAUUAUGGUCAUCGCAUGCUAGAUGCUCACUAUGUACCUCUUCAUCAUGUAAUUACUAAGUCCUUGUGAGUACAAGUUUUUAUAUUGCUUGCCCAAAUGUAAGCGAAACAAUAGGUUUCCUGGAUAAUCCAGAGUUGAACACAAAGAUUUGAUAUCAAAACAUUAGUUCUAGGGAUUACUUUUCAUUUGGGCAGUAUGAAAGAAUUAUCUAUACAGUGUAAUGAAUGUAAGUUUAUACCAUAUCUACUUAUCUACACUAGAGAUUCUAUAAAGGGGUUAUCAUGGUGGUGAGAUAGAGGUGUGAACUAACUUGUUUUAAAGAAAGAGUGAAGGAAGGUCUUUGCACUAUUAAGCAGUUAAGCUAUACGAUAGCUUUGAUGCGAUACGACUCAAUUAACUAGCUUAUGAUUAAGGCUAACACCUCUCGGUGUCUUUAAAUGCCACAUUUGCUUGCCUCUUGCUUAUGAUUAGCUCAACUGCACCAAAUACUUGACUUGGUUGGUUAACUUUGAACUUAGGGAAUAGAGUUGUUGCUCAUGUUGGUAUCUAAAUCUACAUGGUAAGUCAUUGGUCAUGGUCAUCGCAUGUUGGAUGCUCACUAUGUAUCUCUUCAUCAUGUAAUUGACUAAGUCCUCGUUUAGUAUAAGUUUUUCUAUUGUUUGUCCAAGUGUAAGCAAAACAAUAGGUUUUCUGGGUAAUCCAGGGUCGAACAUAGGGAAUUGAUAUCAAAAUCUUAGUUAUAAGGUCUAUUAUUAAGUUGGGCGGUAUAAAAGAAUAAUUUGUACAUUAUAAAUGAGUGUAAGUUAAACUAUAUCUACUUAUGUACACUUGAAAAUCUAUAAAGAAAAAUUAAGAUGGAGAUGAAAUGGAGGUGUGAACUAGCUUGCAUAAGAAACGGGUGAAUGAAGGUCUAUGUAUUAUUAGGCGAUUAAGCAAUACGAAAGUCUUGAUGCGGUAUAACUUAGUUAACUAGCUUAUGAUUAAGGCGAGCACCUCUUGAUGUCCUUAAACGCCACACUUGCUCACCGCUUGGGAUCCAAAUGACUAAGCUAGGUUAAACAAGGUAUAUUUAGAAGAUUUCACUUUCAAGAAUUAUAGAGCUUCUCUUUUAAGGGUGAUAACCUCUCGACACAAAUACCCACACCUAUUCUCCUUUCGGGACACAAAUGAUGAAAGUUAUCACGCUAAGGUGGGCUUUGUCUUCAAUCUCCACCUUCAUGUGUUAGCCAUAUCCUUGCUACUUGCCCUUUCAGAUAGUUGAUGAUAAACAUUGGCAGGUGAUGAAUAUAGGCUAAUGUGAUAAGAAUUAUAAGCUAAACUUCUUAUCAAGAAUCCUAAACAAAAAAUAAUACAAUGACAAAUGAGCAGUAAAUAUACGAUGGAUUGAAAAGGUAUAAAUAUACAAUGUAUUAAAGAAUAAAGGCCUUUGGCCACUGUACAAUAUGAAUAAAUACAUUGUAAUGAAAUACAGAAGUGGAAAGAAUAGGAAUGACAUUACAAGUUAGGGAGAAAUGGGAAAUGGACUCUCCUCCACUUGAACCUCAAGCUUUCACUCACUAACUGACCGAAGAAAAGGAAGAAAUACAUUUUACUAAUGGUGGAAAGGAUAUCAUUUCCACCACUAUUUAGGGUUUGGCUCAUUCAGGCGUACAGUCGGUCCAUGUAGACAUCUGACUUCUUUCAAACCCGACCUCUUUCUCUUUGUGAAGAUGGAGUUCUUUUUAUAAGUAGAUUCUGGUGGAAAACUUCUAUUCACCUGAACAUGUCAGCGUCGAAAGAUGCCUGUGUCAAGUCACAUCAACUCAUCUACUACUUUUGUCUUUUAGCGAACCUCUUCUCGCAUGCUGAUAAGAUAUUCUCGCGUAAUCUUCAGGUGAGUUUCUCUCCAUUCGCUAGCUUUUUCUUUUAUUCAUAUCUUGAGAUAAGACACUAAAAAUAGGGUGAAACAUGCAUAAAUGCUUGUAUAAAAUGUAUUUAUGAAUCUUUAUGCAUUUUGGUCUCAUUAUUCUAUCUAAAAGACUAUAAUAACUUGUAUUUCUACAAGUUAUCACCUCUUGGGAUGCAAAUGACUAAGCUUGGUUAAGCAAGGUAUAUUUAGAAGAUUUCACUUACAAAACUUAUAGGGCUUCUCUUUUAAGGGCGACAACCUCUCGAUGCAAAAAACCCAUACUUGUUCUUCUUUCGGGACACAAAUGAUGGAAGUUAUCUCGCCAAGGUGGAAUUUUUCUCCAACUUUUCGUUGCACAGGUUAGCCAUAUCCUUGCUACUUUCCCUCUCGAGCAGAUGACGAUAUAUACUGGCCAUGUGAUGAAUAUAGCUCAGCUAACGCAAUAAGAGUUAUAAGUUAGGCUUCUUAUCAAGAAUCUAUCACAUAUCCUAAAUUACAACUAACAUAUUGACAUAGAUGAGAUGGAUUGAAAAUCUAUAAAUAUUCAAUGCAUUAAAGAAUAUGGACCUUCGACCAUUGUACAAUAUGAAUAAAUACAUUAUAAAGAAAUACAAAAAUGGAAGAUAAAAGAAUGAAUAAUACAGGUUACGGGGUAGUGGAAGAUGAACUCUUCUCUACUCAGACUAUAAGCUCUUACCUAUAGAAUGAUCAGAGAAGAGGAAUAAAUAAUUUUACAGACAGUGGAAAGGUUAUUCCUUUCCGUCACUCUUUAGGGUUUGGCCCAUUCAGGCACUAUUUGUACGAUCCAUUCAGACAUUACCCUCCUUUAACUUGAUGAGGAUGGAUUCCUUUUAUAGGCAACUUUCGACGGUAAACUUCUAUUCUUCUGAGCAUGUCAGCGCCAAAAGCAACUUUCGACGGUAAACUUCUAUUCUUCUGAGCAUGUCAGCGCCAAAAGCAACUUUUGUCAAGUCACAUCAACUCCAUCUACCACCUUUGUCUUUUAGUGAACCUCUUCUCGCAUGUUGGUGUGGAUCUCGCCUAGAAAUUGUACUUGCUAGACAAGAUCUUCUAGCGUAGUCUUUGUGUGAGUUCCUGUGCGAUUCACUAGCUUCUUCUUUUGUUCAUAUCCAGUGUUAAAACACUGAAAACAAGCAUGAAAACUUAUGUAAAAUGUAAUUUCGAAUAUUUAUGAAUUUACAACAUAAGUUAUGCAUUUUGACACACUUAGUAUGUAUUUUGGUCUCAUUAUUCUAUCUAAAAUGCUAUAAUAACUUGUAUUUCUACAAGUUAUCAGUAGUCCAAUGUAAAUGAUCGUGAAAAACUUCAAAUCUAACAAUUGUGUUGACCAUGGUAAAUGAUCGUGUUGAUAAUUUAAAACGAUAUUUAAACAAUCUUGAUAUUUUUUAAUAUGAGGAAGAUGAAGAAUAUUGAAAUAGGUUCAAAGCAUCUUGUCAAAAAUGAUGAAGAUUAAAAAUGAGAUUUAAACAGAAGACUAAACCAUUUAAAAAUAGAAGAAAGAAAAUCUGGAAGAGGAGAUUAGGGGUGUUAAAAAAAACAAGUGGAUUACCCCAAUCAAACGGUAAGGGUUGGGUUGGGUUAACCGUUUGAUUUGGGUUAGAAAAUUGGAGAGAGAAAAAAUACUUGAGUCAGGUCCCAUGUUGUGCAAAUAAUGGUCGGGUUGACCCAACCUAACCCGAUUAUGCAUAUAAUGUAUAUAUAUAAACAUUAACAUGUGUCGUUUACUCAUUUAGUCUGAUCGGCUUCAAAUCUAAACGAUCGUGUUAACCAUGCUAAAUGAUCGUGUUGACUAGGUAAGAGGUUGUUUAAUUAUUUUUAAAUGAUGGAAAACGUGGCUUCAAAUCUAAAAUGAUCGUGUUGACCAUGCUAAACGAUCGUGUUGGCUUAGUAAGCGAUGAUUUAGACCAUAUCCACACGAUUGUGUAGUUCUUUUUAAACGAUGGAAAAAGGCUUCAAAUCUAAAUGAUCGUGUUGAUCAUGUUAAACGAUCGUGUUGACUUAGUAAGCAAUCGUUUAGAUCAUAUCCACACGAUCGUAUAGUUCUUUUUAAACGAUGAAAAAAAACCCAACCCGCCAACCCAAUCUAGCCCAACCCGAAAUUUUUUUUGAUUGGGUUGGAUUAGGUUAACUCUGGCAUAUUAAAUCGAUAGGAUUUAAUUUUUGCCAAUCCGAUUACUUCAGGUUGGUCCAUAUUUUUCCUCCAACCAGACUUAUGUACACCCCUAGAGAAGAUGAAGAAAUCACAAGAAAGAUGAAUAAAUCGCAAAGAAUAAAAAGAAGUGAUGAAUUGUCCCACAAUAUUUAAAUGAAAAAUCUAAAAUUUAUGAAAAUACAAUGAUGACUUUAUGGGCUUUAUUUUAUGUUACACGGGCCAUAAAUAUUUUUGGGUUUUGUUACAUUUACGUAAAUUAUUCUUUUCUAAAUAGUUUCAAUUUUUUUUUUUUUUGAUAUCCUUAAGAAUUUCUCUCGAUUUUAUUAAAAUAUUUCGAUAUUAUUAUUUAAUAUUAGAAAAUAUUACAUUUUUAAUAAAUCAAUUGUGGACUUUCAUUAAAGCAACAUUUAAUCGUGAAUUGUAGUUGGUAAAAAGUACUUUUUAUCCGUUCAAUUUCUAAUAAUUUAGUUUGUAAACUUCAAUAACUAACAUUAACGUAUACUUUGCAAUUUGUAACGCUUUAGUCCCUAUCAUGAAAUAUAUUAAAAGAAUUUAAUGAACUUUUUUUUUACACAUUUGGAUAGAUGACAUAAAAUCAAAUUUGUUUAUAAACCAUAAAGACUGAAAGUUAUUACCUUAUAAAAAUUAUCAAUAAAUUUUGAUGAAAAGUUUUACGACAGGGACUAAAUUAGUAUUUAUUAAAGCUUAAAUACUAAAUUGUUACAAAUUUGAAAGUACAUGAACUAAAUUUGUUGUCGACUAAAGUUAAUCGACAAAAUUGUGAAGUUUGGACCAAAAAUGUUUUUAACCUAAAAUAUGUUUUUGAAUUACCUAUCCGCCAAAAAUUGCAUAAACCUCUUGGGUUGUGGAAACAACAAUAGCUAGAGAAGUAAUGAGGCAACCGUGUCAAAUGAUGUAACACGUCCAAUCCUUAAACUUAGUAAUUUUCAACUUCUUUUCGAAAGUCCUCUGCAACCCCUUUUUUUCAAAGCACAAACUUCACACUUUCAAUUUCAAUUCGUUGAUGACGUGGUUAAAAAAAAAAAGAGUUUUUAAAAAUAAAAAAUAAAUUAAAAUACUUAUAAGCUAUAACAAAAUUUUGUAUUUUAUCAGUGAUAAUCACUCAUAGACUUCUAUCACGGUAGCAUAUCAGUGAUUAUUAGUGAUAAAAUUUAAAAAUUUUGUUAUAGGUUGUAAAUAUUUUGUAAAAUUUGCUAGUUUUAAAAUUUUUCAAAAAAAUAAUUUUGGAAUAUUAUUCGUUGAUAAAAACAUUCAAAAUUUUGAGAUAUUUCUUUUACAAAGGUAUCGAUAAAAAACCCAAAAAAAUUGAAAAUGUUGGAUGCUAUUUGUUAUAAAAAAAAAAAAAAAUCUAAAAUUUUGGGAUGUAAAAAGUUCCCAAAUUUUGGAUAUGCUAGCAUAUCAUAUCGAGAUAUAUAUAUAUAUAUAUAUAUAUAUAUAUAUAUAUAUAUAUAUAUAUAUUUUGUUAAAAAUAGUUUAGUAAACAAUCAAUUUACGUUUAAGAUUUGUUGUAGGGUUAUUUUUAGAAAUAACAAAAUAAAUUAAAAUAUUUACGAAUUAUAGUAAAAAUUUUGAAAUUAAUUAUUAAUAUAAUUUGAAAUUAAUGGUAGUUUGUAAAUAUUUUAUCUUAUUUUUUUUGAGGGUGUCAUUUGGUUACAACUUAUUCAUCAAUCAAAAUUGGUUAGGUCAAUUUUAUUAUAAGAACACAAGAGUAUGUAAAAAUAAAUACUAAACAAUAAAUAUUAAAAUGUUAUAUUUUUUUGGAUAUUUUAAAGGUUGAGAUCAAAUUUUGUAGCAUUAAAAGAAAAAGAGAAGAGAGGAAGAAGUAGAAGAAAUCAUAAUGGACCGUUUGAAAGUCCAAACAAGAGAGGAACCUUUGACCUAAAACUACAAUGGUAUUUAAAAUUUCCCCUGUUUUCAAUCCGUUGAAAAUAGGAGAGGGCGGGAGAUGAGAGAAAUGAAGAACAACCAAAAUGGGUGCAUUUUGAUUAUUUUUAAGUGAAAAACUCGACUUCUCAACUUCUAUAUUCUCCAGAAUGUUUCAAUUGAAUGCGAAAGAGUAGCUGCGCCCUGCAGGGAUGUUCUCAUUUGUGACUACCAACGCUCUUAAACAGUUAACAAGAAGCAUUGGCAACUUUGUAAGUCCUCCUUCAAUCUCAAUGCCUCUUCAACCACCAUCUUGUCCUUCUUUCAAGCAAACUCUGCUUAAUCGAAUCAAAAACUGUUCCACCAUAAACGAACUGCAUGGUUUAUGUGCUUCCAUGAUCAAAACUAAUGCAAUCCAAGAUUGUUUUCUGGUGCAUCAAUUUAUUAGCGCGUCUUUUGCUCUUAACUCUGUACAUUACCCAGUUUUCGCCUUUACCCAGAUGGAAAAUCCUAAUGUUUUUGUGUAUAAUGCGAUGAUUAAGGGAUUUGUAUACUGUGGGUACCCAUUUCGUGCUCUACAAUGUUAUGUACAUAUGUUGGAAGAAUCGAACGUCUUGCCAACUAGUUAUACGUUUUCUUCGUUGGUUAAAGCUUGCACCUUUAUGUGUGCUGUUGAGUUGGGACAGAUGGUGCAUUGUCACAUUUGGAAGAAGGGGUUUGAAUCCCAUUUGUUUGUUCAAACUGCUUUGGUUGAUUUUUACUCAAAGUUGGAGAUACUUAGUGAGGCAAGAAAGGUGUUUGAUGAAAUGUGUGAAAGAGAUGCUUUUGCAUGGACUGCUAUGGUUUCUGCUCUAGCUCGUGUUGGAGAUAUGGAUUCCGCUAGGAAGUUGUUUGAGGAGAUGCCUGAAAGGAAUACUGCAACUUGGAAUACCAUGAUUGACGGCUAUGCAAGAUUGGGAAAUGUGGAGUCUGCAGAGCUUCUGUUCAAUCAGAUGCCAACCAAGGAUAUAAUCUCCUGGACAACCAUGAUCACUUGUUAUUCUCAGAACAAACAAUAUCAAGAUGCAUUGGCGAUUUAUAGUGAGAUGAGAUUGAAUGGGAUUAUUCCCGAUGAGGUAACAAUGUCAACUGUUGCUUCAGCUUGCGCCCACAUUGGAGCUCUUGAACUAGGAAAAGAGAUACAUCAUUAUGUAAUGUCUCAGGGGCUUAAUCUUGACGUUUAUAUUGGUUCUGCAUUAGUUGAUAUGUAUGCUAAGUGUGGGAGUUUAGAUUUGUCUCUUUUGAUUUUCUUCAAAUUGACAGAUAAAAAUUUAUAUUGCUGGAAUGCAGUAAUUGAAGGACUUGCUGUUCAUGGUUAUGCGGAGAAGGCUUUGAGGAUGUUCGCUAUCAUGGAGAGGGAGAAGAUCAUGCCCAAUGGUGUUACCUUUAUUAGUAUAUUAAGUGCUUGCACACAUGCUGGGUUAGUUGACGAAGGCAGGAGUAGAUUUUUAAGCAUGACUCGUGAUUACGACAUUCGUCCUGAUAUCAGACACUAUGGUUGCAUGGUUGAUAUGUUAAGUAAAUCAGGAUAUCUCAACGAAGCGUUAGAAUUGAUUAAAAGUAUGGAAUUUGAACCAAACUCUAUUAUUUGGGGAGCCUUGUUGAAUGGGUGCAAACUUCAUGGAAACUGUGAGAUCGCUGAAGAUGCUGUUGAACAGUUGAUGAUUUUGGAACCCAUGAAUAGUGGGCAUUACAAUCUUUUGGUCAGCAUGUAUGCUGAAGAAAAGGAUUGGAUGGAGGUUGCGCAUAUUCGAUCAAUGAUGAAAGAAAAAGGAGUAGAAAAGAAAUAUCCUGGCUCAAGUUGGAUUGAAUUGGAAGGGACAAUUCAUCAGUUUUCAGCUUCAGCUGAUUCUCACCCUGAUUCUGACAAAAUAUACUUCGUACUGACAGAAUUAGAUGGACAACUGAAGCUAGCUGGUUACAUACUCGAGCCUUCAGUAUGCAGUACUGCUUUGCUUUUUUCAGAGGAAAUUUGAUCAACAUUAAUUGAGGUCAUAGUGAGAUCGAAUGUUAUUUGCAUAUCAAUCAUUUCAGCUUCAUUGAAUAUGGUAUAUUGAAGUGAAAAUUCUCGAGGUCAAGUGCUAAAUGACAAAGCUGGGCUACUAUAGGAGUUCAUAAUUAUUCAGAUCAAGGCUCAAGUUAGCCUCAUCAAGAGCCAUGGUAAUCUUAAGUUUAAUCUUACGUUUUGCUAGAAUGUCUUCUCAUUUUAAGUAAAUUCUCAAUAUUUGUUAUAAUGAAGUGAACGAGUACUUCUUAGUCUUUUACAUGCACAAUUGAGCAUCUUGAUGUAGGCGUUCACCGGAACAUAAUUCACUUGAAUCCUUCUUUCAUGUGCGCUCUUCGUACUCCCCAUUCUACAUGCACAAUUGAGAAUCUUGAUGAUGCAUUUCUUUUCAAUGUUUGGCUUGUAUCAUUGAGGCUACCUAUUCAUAUUAAGAAUAUAUUUGAUGAUUAAAUUUAAUCUACAGUCGAAAAAAUGAAGUGAAUGGUUACUUCUUAGUUUUUUACGUGCACGAUUGAGCAUCUUGAUGCAUUUUCUUUCUCUGUUUAACUUGUCUAAUUGAGGCUAUCUAUUCAUAUUAAGAAUAUAUUGACCGAUUAUAUCUAACCAACUCUUUUAGUGCUUAAGUUUUUAGAUUAGUGAUGGUUGAAACUCUGUGAUAUGGUUAAAGUUGUUACCAAUCUCAACAUCUAAACUCAAACUCGUGCAAUAGUUUGACUAAUGAGGCCCAGUAACUAUGUUAUUGAUAUUGAAAUAAAAGAGGAACAACUCUAAAAAUCUUUCAACUUAGGCAUGUAAAGUUCGAAUUCCCCACUCUUGUUGAUCGAAGUAGAUUCAAUCAUUUUCUUUAUGCUUUCAGUGUACUCGCAUUCAUUUUGUGAUUUUUGCUCCAGCUAUCAAAGAAAGGGCAGGGACUAAAUUUAUAACGAAAUAACGUACCACUAUUGUACAACCGGAGCUGACUCAGUGAAGUGAUUUGAUCAAAGAACCCAAGCUAACAGGAUAUCCUGUAACAGGUCGGUCCUUUUUCCUUCUUUGUACAAUACUUUCAUAUAUUUCAAACACACAUGAUCAUAUUGUCUGCAUUAUGCACUUCUUUAGAAACAAGCUAGGUUUUGAGGAAAAUGGAAACCAAGACUUAUCAGAAUCUUCACGUAUAAUCUCAUUCAUGACAAUAAAUUGCCAAUACUGUCUGUACCGUGUGAUAAUAUUUCCAAAACAUCCAACUUGUCCCACAGAUGGUUUCUUAGGUUGGAACGGCGUGGAGAAAAGAAAACUUCUAGUUUCUUCUUAUGUUGUUUUAAUUUUCAUUUUCUAAACGAAGAACAUGCCUAAGUCUUCUCUUUCCUACUUCAAUGGUGUUCUUAAUCCAUCAAUAUGGCAUUGGAGAAUGCUAAACACUGGCUAAAUUAAAUGGAAGUGCGACUCUCUUCUUCAAGCACUAGCCAUUUUUAUUAUUAUGGAAGUAGCUUGCUUUGUUCUGACAAGAUGCAUGGUUUAAGGGAUAGAGGAAAUUCUUCAAACCUUGUAGGCUAUGCAUCUGCUGUAAGAUAUGGUUCUUAGGGAACAUUAUACACGUUUCUAUCUUAGUCUCUUUUCAUGUACUUAAUGAAAAAUUUCGUAUCAUUUCAAGGUUCAACGAUAGUGAUUGCUAUUAUUCCACUAUUUUGACUUUCCCUUACCAAGUUGGUGGGGGGAAAUCCUACCCAAAUCUCGCAUUAGUCUUUCUCAUACUCUGCCAAAGUUCACUAUUCUGAAACUUCAUCUCAAACAGAAGUAUGCUUUCUGACCUUGCUAUAAACUUACAUCCACAAAGGUCAUAAAAAUUUGUAAAAUAGAGGUGGAUUAUUAUUCAGGUUGAUUAUAGAGACAGAAGUGGCCUCUGUUUACCAACAAGUUGGUAUUGUAUUUUCUUGAGCAUUUUAUCACAAUAAGAAAGGAAAAAAAAAAAAAUCAAAAGAAACUUAUCUAGAGACGCCCAAAUUCAUAGUUUCUUCUAAGAGGACUUCAUGCACUUGGCAAUGGACCAGGAUGGGGUUAAUAUUUAAUCACAAAAUAUUUUUACGUUCCAAAAUUUUUUAAAAAAUUGAUCUGAAGUGCUUACUACUUCCGGUUCAAUUCACUAGACCCUUAUAUAGUUCCCUUGUCUCUGAGAGUAACAAUAAAGUCUGUUGUUGUUCUUUAGCGGUGUAAACCUUUUCUCCAUCCAACAAUUGUAGUCUAAAUAGUCUUUUCCUUUUAGUUUAGAACUUGACGCCCUCGUUAUUCUCAUAUCUCAUACCAUCUAUGAAAUUGUUUCUUAUUUUCAAAGAAGGUCCAUGCUCGAGAUGAAAACUUCUUGAAAAAGUCAGAACAAAAAGCCUUGAUUUGGCUAAUAGUUUAACUGAGGUUAAAUUUAUACAAGUAUAAACUUAUCUAAGCUUAUAAUCGAUUUGGAUGAAACUAAUGGACGAAUGUAGAGCUAACGAUUUAAACGUGGCUGCACAAACUAACAAUUAGAAGACGAUAUAAAGCUUGAGACUUUAAGAUUAAAAGUAUACACCUCCCCUCCCCAAAGCUUAGAGAUAAAAAUUGAUCCCCACACCGAACGCCCUCUCGUCCUUCUGAAUUUACUUCUUAUUGACCAUCCGUUUAAGAAUCAUCAUCAAAACCUACUCUUGACUUAUAUAGAAUGAGCGGAACCAUCGUAUAUUUAAAGAUAAAGAAUCAGAUUUCACACACUUUUUUUUUAUCACUUUUUGUAUACAUCUCUAUCAUGGUGUAAAUUCACUUCUAACUUUUGUGACUACAAUCUCACUUCUCUUAAAUCUCAAUGGAAUAUCAUGAUGAAAUCUUUCUUGGCACUUGAUGCCCUUUUGUAAUUUCAUUUUAUCAAUAAAAUUUGAUUGACUGUUUCUAAAGUCCCCCACACCAAAAGAGGAAAACUAUUGCCAGUACAAGGGAAACAAAACAGAGGAAAAUGAACCAAGAGACUCGAAUUUUGUAAAGUGACAACUGACCAGGAUAGGAAAAAGAAGAAAGUUUCAUAAAACUGUUGAACAAAUGAUGAUUAAAAAAAUAGGCUCUACAACCAUUAGGGAGGGGCUUGACCGAUCAAAGCUCGAGUUCAACAUCAACUGUAUUCAUGAAAAAGUCCAAAAAAAAAAAGAAGAAAAAUCUAGAAGCCGAAUAAGUUGAUAAGGAUGUCGCUAUGACAACAAUAGGUUUACCGACAUAGAGGAGACAUUACUCAAACUGGAAGCCAUUAUUACUUUUUCUUUAAAACAUUAAAAACCCCAUCAUCUGACCAAAAAUUUAGACUUUUUUUUGGAGGGGGUGAAAAAGAAACACCAAACAAAAACAAACAAGACUGAAAAACCUGAAGCCAAACUCAGUUGAAAGAUGGAACUUCUUUUAAAAGGUUAAAUCUUUUCUCCUUGUGUCUUUUUAAAUGGGAUACAACCAACUUUUGAUGGCCUGCAGUGUACAGACUUUCUCAGCCUCAUUCAUUAUGGAACAUCUAAUUAAUUUUCUAAGUUGAUUGGGAUGAGUAGUUUGUGUGGUUCAAAAGUAAAAGUACUGAUAAGAAAUUUAGAAUAAUGCUUCCAAUUGUGUCAGUUUUUGUGCUGAAGCCUGAGAAUAGAAAGAGUUUUUGUAGUGUUGUGCGUUUGUGGGGCUUUCUUGCAUCCUCGAAAACCUAGAAAGGAAUUCCAUCUUCUUAAAAUUAUAAAACAAUAGUUCAAUUAUAUAUUUAUUAAACAAAUAACUGUUCCUUGCAAUAUUACCCUUUUAACUCUUCACGAACAUUUCAAAACUACUGGAGUGAAAUAGUUUUGAAAACUACUGGAGUAGUUGUACUUCAGAAUUUUUCAGAAUUAUGAAAGUUGAGACAUGAAAUUUUGUGACAGUUCUAUUGUAACACUCUUGUUUUAGGGUCCAAACUAGGAUUCAAAAUCCGAACUUGGAUUCAAAAUUGAACUUGGCACCUCAUGAUCUCAUAUUCUUCACAAACCAAUAUGAGUCCUUUUAGCAUGGUUUGUUCUCACUUACACGCUUCAUAGAAAAUUUAUAGGAAGACACCCAAUGUAGAAUUGCUUAAAGUUAAGCAUGUUUAAUUCAGAUUCCUAUAUUUGAGUCUUUCUUAACUAUAGGUAUAGGUUAGUAGCUUUCAAUUCUUUUAACUAUACUUUUAUAGCCUCAAGAUCUCUCUCAUUCAAAUGUGAUCUCCGUUUAUUUAUCAUAUAUUCCUUCUAAACUCGAAUGCUAUAGUGAUAUUGCAACUUUUGAAAGAAUGGUAGUACUUUUUUAAAGAAAAAGUGAAAAGUGUGUAAUAUUUAGAAGUUAGCCAAAAACAAAACAGCCUCUAAACCAAACCAAAAUUGACUAGAGUUCACACGCUAAGACAAAAGCUAGGGAGGGAACAUAUUAUUAUUGCUACACAACAAAGUUAAUGUUUUGGUCAAACCUUCUUCCCAAUAAGGUUAAGUUGUGUGAGGUUUGGUCCCUUAGUUUCUCCAAGGUUGUCUCCACCUGUGAUUUAUCUUUCUUCUCUUUCAAGCUCAAACCACUCCCAAAUAUUUCACUAAAUGAUUGCCAUAAUCAAUCCCUUGGUGGGGUUCGACUUACUUUGUCUUCAACUACUCUUUUCUCCACAUAUGAAGAUACAAAAAGUGUCAUUUUAGAUGUCAUUUCAAAUACUUGAACUCACAAACUAUUGUUUUUAUCAUCAACUAAUUUCUAUAUGAUGGGGUUUGAGAUACAUCAAAUAAAUGUAAUUUAAUUUGAUGUAUUCAGAGUCCAUUCCUUGGACGUAUUACUACAGUAGGAUUUUAGAGAAAUUCAAAUAGGAUAAAAUUUGCAAGUUACUUCUUUCCAAACUUGUAGCGGACCUUUUUUACUUUUUAUAAAUGUUUCAAAACUAUCAUUUUAAAAAAUUUAAAAUGAAUAUUGGAAGAAAAUUAAGAUCUAGAAUGGUGGGGAGGCAACCUAGAAUAAUAUGACAGACUCAAUUUUUAUUUUGCAUCGCUACAUUGUCACAAGUUUUAACUAUCAUUUAUCAUUUAUCAUUCAAGAAACUGACAUGUUUCUAUUGUAAAUGUUCAAUUUUGAAAUAGUUAUGGAAGGUCAAGGAAAUAAUGUAACUUUUUAAAGUAAGAGUAUUUUUUAAAAAAUGAAUGACAAAUAAGUACACAAAUGGUUAAAACAAUCAUUUAUAUUUGUCAUACAAUAAAAACACCCCUGGGGAACAAAAACUACACAAUGAUUGCAAGAUAAUAGAAACAUGUGAAAGGGGAAUUGAUGAGGAUAAUUUUAAAAUUUUCUACUUAACUUGCUCCUCACUUUUUCAAAAUUAGGUUUUAUUUGCCUUUUCGAGUAGCUAAUGAAAAUGAGGAAAUGAUAAGGUCUAAGUUUUCUUAUAAUUUAUGAAUAUUAGUUUAUUUUAUCUUUGUAAUAUUAGAAACUAUUUUUAUAUACUUCUUUGGUAAUGUACUUUAGUUGAUUUUGAUUUAUUUUGGUUCUGGAUGCUUUUAAAAUGUUUAUCUUAGUCUUUGUUUUUUUAAACUUUUGUUCAUUUUAGUUCUUGUACUUUUAAUAUUUGUUCAUUUCAUUGUGCUUUCAUAAUGUCUAUUUUUAUACUUUUAAAAUGUUUAUCUUAGUUUUUGUUUUUUUAAACUUUUAUUCAUUUUCGUUCUUGUACUUUCAAUAUUUGUUCAUUUUAUCGUUCUUUCAAAAUGUUAAUUUUAGUUUUUGUAUUUUUAAGAAAAUGACCAUUUUUGUCUCUCAUUUUCAUUUGCAUUUGAAUUUUUCGGUUGAAACUUUGCAUUACACCUUAUUCACUAAGGUAGUAAUUUAGCUAUGAACUUUGAUUUGUAAUGAUUUUGUCUAUGUAGUUUCGAUUUUGCAAUAAUUUAAUCCUGGGACAUAAGUAUGUAACAAUUUUAGUUAUUGUAAAUUCUUGAGUCUAACGCAAACAAAAAAAUCAAAAUUAGAGGUUAAUUUUUCUUAUUUUAUAUUAUAAGCUUUGUAUUUUUGUAAAAAUAUUGAGUUUAUAGUUACUUUGUUUAUUCAUGAAGUUUUUACACUAAUUUUUACUAUAUGAACUAAAUUGUUACGAAUGAGAAGGUACAAGGACAAAAUUGUUACAUUCUAAAAUUCAUGAACUUAGAAGAAUAUGAAGGAUUAAAUUGUUACAAAUCGAAGUUUAAGUACAAAGUUACUUUUACAGAAGUUUAGGUUUUUUAACCCAUUUGUAUUAAAGAUUUUUCAUUAUACAUAUAAUGUAUGUUACAAUUUUAUAAAUAGAGAUCAAAAUGGUCACAUUUUAAAUUAUGGAAACUCAAAAUAGACAUUUGAAAAGUAAAUGGAGCAAAGUGAAUUGAUGGUGAAAGAUCAAAGUAGUAGUAUUUAAAUUUUAAAGAAGUCCUAUUUGCUUUAUUUCCUUUUAAUAAAAAAUAUUGUAGAUUAAUUUUUAAAUAUAGUUGUGAUUGAAGAUCCACAUGCGUUUACAUAUUGUAUUAUGUAAUAUUAUAGAAUAUAACUGAUUUGAUUUUUCUUUAAAGAAAACACUUAACUAAAUAUAUUUCAUAACAUCUCCAAUGUACACUAUUACAAAAUUGAAAUUAAAAUUUCUUUUCAAUGUAACAAUCUUGAAAUAAUAAUAAUUGAAGUGACAGCCUCAAAGAAAUGAUCACAUAUCAAACUCCCUCAUAUCCUGGUUCAAACUUUGAAACAUUGCCUCCUAUUCAAACUACAUCCAAUAUUUUUAAAUUAACUUCUUAAGUCAUAUUUAAUAUUCAAUAUUCUUCAAUUAAAAUCUACAUUUCUGAUUAUAUUUAUCAAUCAUUGAACAAUAUCAUUUUCAUUCUUCUCUUUUUCCCUUGACCAAUCUAAACCAAUGUCAUUAUUGUCUUUACUCCAUAGAUUUUUUUUUUUUAUUAUAUUGCAUACAUCAAUUUGAACUUAUUAAUUUUAAAAAUAAAAGUUUAUCAUAUACUUCUUUUACAGUGAAACUGAAUUUCAUCUUGAGUAUGUUGAUUAAAAAUAUGAAUUUUGGAUAAGAUUUUAUUUUUUAAUUUUAAAGAUGGAGUUACGUAAAACUUUUAAAAGUGUAAGUACCAACUUAAACUAAUAGUAAAGCUUGUAGUCUAUAAACCUUAUUAAUAUUUAUUUUAAAAUGAUAGGUUGGCUUUUGAGAAUUUGCAAUUUUUUUAUAUUCAAUUGGGUCAAAGAACUAAGAACUCAUAAACGGACAAUUUGUAAUGUUGUUAACAACUUUCAAAUUAAAUAAAAUGAUAAAUAUAUUUCAAAUAAUUGCUUCAAUACCCUCUUAAUUUUGUAGGCCCCAAUAGAUAAUUAUUUGGUUUUGUUUUUUUCUUUUCUAAUUAAACCUAUUUUAUGCGUAUUUCUUAAAUAUAAUUAUUAAUUUUUUAUUUAAAUUUCAAAAACAAAAUUAACUUUUGAAUUUUUUAUUUUUUUAAUUCUUGAAAUCUAUCGUUCACAAUUAUUUUUAAAAACCUUAAAUAAGAAAAGUGAGAAAACUAGGAACUUGGUGUUAGAUACUUAAAGUUUGAAUGAUGGAAAUGAUUCAAAUUUAGUAUGGUAAAUGAAAGGAAUGAGAAAAGAGAGAGAGGAAAAUGAAAUUUGAACCAAAAUGUGAUUUUGUGAAGGUAUAUAAAUUAGUAUAAGAAAAAGAAGUGGAUGCAUUUAAUAAUGUAGAUUAUAUAAAGAAAGAGAGAAGAAAAGAAAGGGUAGCAAUCAUCCAAACACGUGCAACGGCCCCCAUGUGCAACAUUGGUGUCGGCUUGACCAUUCUAAUGUUGUUUUACUUACCAUAAAUUUAUAAUAUCAGCAUCAACUUUCCAACCAUUUUUCUUUUUCUCUUUACUCUUAUUGUUAGACCUAAUGCUAUUUUAUAUUUCAAUCUCUCUUUAAUUAUCAAACCUUUAACCUAUUUACUAUUUCUAAAAUCUAAACCACUUUUUCUUUAACAAUGUUGCCUUUGACUAAUAAUGUCCCCAAUCAAUUCUGGAAAAUCAUUAACUAAUUAAUCUCUUUUCUUUUUUCUUUUUUCUUUACUUCCUUAUGAUUGGUCAAACAAAAGCCUUUGGGUUCUUUUGGACCAUCUCCUCUUACCUUUCCUUAUCUAUUAUUUUAAUUCUAGGAAGUAGAUUACAUGUUAGUUUUUUUCAUUUUGCUUUCAAAUUUUUAUUCAUUCUUCUUCAUAUUUAACAACUCACUAAUUCUAACUUUUUCAACUUACUUUGCCUCUUAAAUCUAAUUUUUUUUUAAUUUUAGAAAAUAUAAAAUAUUAAUAGUUUAAGACUUAGUAAAUAUAAUAUUAAAAAUUUAAUAGUUUUAGUAUGAUACUUUUAGGGAGCUAUAAAUGAAUUUAUAUUCAGAUGAUAUGGAUAUAAAAGAAUUUUAGAAACUAUAGUACAUAUCAACCAUGGAAAAAAUUAUACUAAAAUAUUACAAUUAUGUAAAGUAUUUAUGGAAAUAAGAAUAAUGCAAAUUUGCUCUCUCUCCUUGGCGAGUCUCAUUUCAUUUUCUUAUUCUCUCUCAUUUCUUACUUUUUUUUUUUUCAUUUUUCAUAUCAAUUUUAAUUUCUUUAUUCUAUUUGAAUUUUAUUUUUCUUUCUUAUUUUAAUAGUAGGUAAAUUUUAAUUUUUUAUUUCUUAGUUUAAUACUAUUUUUUCUUAAUAAAGAAAAACCUAUUUUUUAUGGAAAAGUUUGUUUAAUUUUAUUGUGAUUUAAACUUACUAAAAAUGUGUGUUCUUUAUCUUUUUAAAUGGAUGAAAUUUCCUUCAAUUUUUUUUUUCAAUUCAUGUUUACAUUAAUUUUUUAAUUUAUUUUUACGUUUGUUACAUGACAUGAUAGAUUUGUAAAGAUCAAUCAUUAAUCGAAAUUUCAUUACUUGAGUGUGCAAUUUUAUGUUAGUAAUUCGUUCGGUUUAUAUUAAUGUUAUUCUCUAUGCAUGUUUACCUUUGUAAUCUAUUUGUUUUGUAUUAAUUAAAGACGGUAAAUUUCUAGUAAUUGCUUGUGAUUGAAAAAUAAUUAAAUAUAAAGUAAAAUAUGUAAUACAAUAAUUUAACAAAUUCCAUUUAAUGUAAAUAUAAAGUAAAAUAUGUAAUACAAUAAUUUAACAAUUUUCAUUCAAUGGAAGUAAAAUCAAUGUGUUCCACAACUUGGACAUCGUCAAUUUUUAGUUGGCUGUCCUCAUCGACUUUGCACUCUUUGUUGCUUUAGUCAUUCCUGUUUUGAAGUAUGACAAUUGACCGAUUCCUAAAUUAUAAUAUCUCGCUUCAAAUAUUGGCAUCAUCAUCAUCGAACUAAUGUAACAAAUCUCGCUCUGUGUUUGUGUCAGAUGAGGCAUUUUUCUUCCACAUGCUGGUUAACUUCUUCCAAUUCAUCAGGCUCUUGCACUCGAGUACGUCUUCUUUGAACUGGUGUAGCUACAAUAGGUACAUCAUACAUAUAGUGUAUGUUCUUCAUGUACAACUUGUUAUCUUAUUGUUGCAUAUAUCUAGGACCUGUUGUGGAUCAUCUGCAAUAUCUCGAAGUCUAUUGUUGUUUGAUCUUUGUGAAAUAUUAAAAUGAAUUAGAAAAUAUUUAAAAUAAAUUUGUACUUAAAAUAGUUAGACAAUAUUUAAAUCUAUACCAAAUGACCCACAUAUGUUGUCAAUCAAGUGAUAUAGAGCCUCAUAAUAUUUUUGUACCAAUUGAUGUAUUCUUGAGUUACAUUCACAUCCAAAUUACUUAAUCAGAGGUUCCAUAGCAAUAAAUAUAUCUUCUGUGAUUUGGCCAUCACAUCAUCAAAUGGACAACUGUAUCAGAUCAAUUAGCAGUUUUUCAAAUCAAUGUUGUGCAAAAAUGGUUUAGUAUUACAAUCGAGUGGAACAUCUUGUUUAAGACCAAACUGUCUGAGUUUUCUAUCAGGAUGAUGCCACUCACCUAUGUGAAAACAUAUGAGAGGACUAAAAGUUCGCCAUAUAUGUUGUGACUGUUUGUACAGAAAUUUGACAAACUAUCCAUGACAGCUUUGUACAACUUUCGGAUAAUUUGAAACACAACAUAUUAUAUGAAACUUAAAAUUUAGGUUCAACACGACGUACCUAAUUAGGUUGAAGAAGAUUAAACAUGUACUUAUAAUGAAAGACUACAUGUUUAGUUUAACUGGGCUGGUCACACAAAAUUAAUCUCUUCAUAUUAUUCAACUAAUAUUUUAGAUUUUAAAUGUACUACAUAUAAAAAAUUAUGGAUAAUCUAAACUAAAUCAAAAGAACAUAUCUUGAACCAUAAGCUCGUCCAUGUAAUUGGCAGAGGUUUGAUUUCAUUUUUAAAAAUUAUUAUUAUUUACUAUUUUAUUAUAUUAACAUUAUCAUCAAAUUAUUAUUAUUAUUAUUCAUUCUUUGUUGUCUCUCAUCUUCACAUCAUCUCCUUAUUCUUUUUAUAUUAUCAAGUAUUGUGUCAUUUUUUCUUCUUCUUUCACUACAAAUCUAAACGAUCGUUUACCAAGAUCAUUUAAAUUUGGUACAAUAUUGUAUACACGAUUGUUUCGUUUGGAUUUGGUACACAAUCGUUUUGUGUAGAUUUGGUACAAGAUCUUGCACACCAAAAUCAUUUAGAUAUUGAUAUACUAUCACCGUAAUUAGGGAAAUUUAGCAAUAAUCUUGGAGUAUAUUAUUGUAUUUAGAGUGUAUUGAUUCUUUCCUUAUAUGUUGCUCUAAUUUCUGUAUAUUUACCUUUGUAUUACUCGAAAUUAAUCAAGAAAUAUACCAUUACUCAAAUAAAUUGUAAUUAUCUUUACAUUUUGGCUUUAUCUGCUCUAAUAUUAAUAUUAGUGAUUAAUGAUUAUAAAAUGGUUAAAAUGAUGUUUUUUUAAAAAAAGUAUUUAGAAAUAUAUAUAUAAUAAUAAUUUAAAAUUUAAAAUUAAAUAAUUAAGAAAAUGAUUAUAAAAAUGGGUUUAAAAAUUGACACGAGGAAAGUGUAGAAAAGGGAUAUUAUGGAAAAGGAUAUUUAAAAUUUAAAUUGAGUUAAUUUGGGGGAUAAUUAUUUACAUUUAAAUUAAGGACCUUGAAUGUAUGGCAUAUAUGUGGGAUAUGCUGCAGACAACGGCAAGUUUUGAGAAGUCACUCGCUUCCUCACAAAUUUGUUUUUAAAACUGAGGUCAGAGUUUCAAAUUCCGACCUCGUUAAUUAUUGUUUUUUAAUUAUUGUUUUUUAAAUAUAGGUUAAGCAUUAAUGCUCAAUCCUUUCAAUUUUUUUCUUAAAGUAUUUUUUUCUAAAUUGUUUUCCAAGUGCACCAUUUUGCUAGGGAGAUUCAAGAGUGUGCGUCUUUUUUAUGACUCAAUCAUAAAAAUUUCAAAGUUAAAACAUGUUUAGCUUAAAAUAUUUGGUGAUUUUUUUGAAAUUUUUUCUAGAUAGUAUGUUAGGGAAGAUGAAGCAUGUUAAAAAAUAAUUAGCUAAAUUGGAAGGGAAUGUUUAAGGUUUGAUAUAAUUUCAAAAAUUAAAGUCUAGUCUUAUAAUUGAACUGAAAAAUUGCUUUAGAGUUAAUGUUUAGUAAUUAUGAAUCUAUGAUUAAUUUUCAAUUAGUAAAGUACAGAUUUGGACAAAUAAUUGAAGAAAACCUUUGUAAAUAUGGCUUGUUAUGCUUACCCACUUCAUUAUAUAAAAUAUAUAUGUUACUUUAUAUAUAUCUUUAGAACAAUAUAUAAAAUAUUUAUGGAUAUUAAAGUAGGUUUGAAUUGUACUUCUCAAUGUAUACUUUUUUUUCUCCAUUUAACCAACUCAUACAACAAAGUUCUUUCUGUUUUGUUCAUUUUGUUUCAAAACCCUUUUAAUUUGAAACUAUUUCCAUGAGGAAUAAAAUCAAAUAGAAAUUUGGUUAAUUAUUUAGAAAAAGUUGAAAUACCAGAUCAUCAUUAUCUAGGGAAUGGAGUUGGAGUUGGAGAGAUCCAAAUCACAACUUUAAUUAGUUUUUCCUUUAGCUAAAUAUGUAUUUUAGCCCUAACUUUAGGGGAUUUUAUUUUCGACUUAGUUCUUAUUAUUUUAAAUUUUUCAAUAAUUGUCCUUUGAUGAAUUUUAAAAAUAUUAUUAUUUUAUUUUUUAGAUGAGAAUGUUAAAAUUAGUUGGUAACAAAUUUAUAUGCCAUAUUCCUUAAUGAAGGAUAAAUAUUUCAUACUAAAAAUUUGAAUGGAAAAUUUUAACUCCUUCCUCUUUCUAAAUAAUAUGUUUUCACUUUUAAAAUUUCCCUAUAUAAAUUUACUGUCGGCCAAUUUUACAAUUUACUGCAACGAAGGACUAACUGGAAAAUGUUAAAAUAAAAUAGACUAAAUAGAAAGCAUUUCAUAAACUAAGUUAGGAAAAAAAAAAUAUUAAACUACAAGUUGACAUUUUUUUUAUUUUUAAAAAACAAGUUGACUAAACUUGGUGGUGGUUUGUAUUUAUUUUAUGUUUUAGAAGAUUUUCAAUAAUAUUUAAUAUACUUCUAAAACUUUAAUUUUUCUUCAUAGUAAACUUGUGAUUUUUUAGUCUAAUAAUUUCACGUCCAAAAUUGGUUGAAAAUACAAAAUUGAUGCAUUAUAUAUAUGUAUAAUUUUUUUUGUCAAUAGAACUAGAACUCAAUAAAUUUGUAAUUUAAAACCUUUGAAAAAUAUAAGUAUAAUAAUAAAGAAUUUUGGUGCUAAAUUAUGAAAAAGAAAGAAAGAAAGAAAGAAAGAAAGAAAUUCGGGUGAGGUGCAACUGACGUGGACAGUGGCGCAUUGUGGCGCCCACUUAGAAUGUUAAUUAAGAAAAGGAGAAUUUUGGUAAAAAACCAAAAGGAAAAGAGAAAGAAAAGGAAAAAGAAAAGAUGGCUCGUGCGGUGUGUCAGAGAUGAAAAAAUGGGAGGAGAAGGCACGUGCCUUCAAUCCCGAGGAAUAAACCAUAGCCGUUUCUCCGCCUUUUGUCGAUCUUCAUCAUUGAUUUCGACAUGUCGACAUUCGAUUUUUUUUUUUUACAUUUCAACCUUAUUACUGCGUAUAUUCUUUCUUUGGGAGGGUUAGAAUUAGCAUAGAAAUUAAUCCAAGUUAUAAGAUUAAUGAUUUCAAAAUUCCAUUUACUUUUGAACUUUCGAAAUUAAACUCAUAUUUAAAUUAAAGAAAAAUGUAACAUUUUACUUCUUGUUUUCCUUUUAUAAAACAUUUAAUUGUUUGAUAACUUUAUUGGUAAUUAUAAAUUAUUUUUUAUAUAUUAUAAAAUAAAAAGACUAUUUAAAGUCUUUUUAGUUUAGUUUUUUUUUUUUUUUUUGAGAAAAACAACAUAAACCAUAAUUUUCAUUAAGAAAAAUCUUCUAUGGCUUCAUCAAUACUAUACCCAUAGGCGGUAGGAUUUUAGGGUUUUGUUUUAUUUUAUUUUAUUUUUUGGUCUAAACCCUAUUUCACAAUCUCUCCCUUCUCCACUUUCUAAGAUUUAAUCAAGAACAAUAAUACUAUCGUUGCCCCCUCACCGUUUUUAGUCUAACACCAUCCUCACACCAAGAUUUCUUUUACAUAUAAUUAUUAUUAUUAUACUAAUAAUAAUAAAAAUCCAUGUGGUCCGAUACUAUUUUUCUAAUAUUUUAGAUUUCAUUUUUUCAUCCCUUGAUUUAUCUAUAUAUAUUAUUUGUAUAGAUCAAGUUUAUGUUCAAUUAGAUUAGAUUGAAUGAGUUUGAAAAAACAAAUAGAUGCAUAUAGGAUAGGAUGUAGAAACUUGGGUUGAGUUGGGUUGUAUAUAUAUAUAUUUUUUCUCCUCUGUUUUUAGUUUCUAAGGGUUGUAAAAGUUUAAAAUUCUUACAUUUAAAUUUCAAUAUACAUAAUUCAAAAUUUCAUAUAAUAAAUUUAAAGUUUAUAUACCUAAUUUGUUUUAGUAAAUAAUAUAUAUUAUAUUAAUUCGGGUUGGGUUGGGUUGGGUUGAACUGAAUUUUUCAACCUUCCAAUCUGAGACCGAACACAACUCGAAAAAAUCAAACUUUUUUAACUCAAACUAACCCAUAUUUUUACAUAACCCAACUCAAUGCAUAUAAUAUGGGUUGGGUAGUCUGGGUUAUUUGGGUUCAACCCAUAUUCUAACACACUUACAUGGAUCAAUGUUUGAGAUCAACUUAAAGGGUCUAUAGUAUAAGGAUAAGGUUGAGUACUUUAUCCUGGUAACACUAUGGAUACGACUCUCUUUCUAUUUAAUACAAGCACAAUGAUCCAACAUGUUCGUGUAGUUGACAUGCGAGUGAGGGUAUCAUAGGCAAUGAGUUUGCAUAAGAUCGGAUCGCAAAAUUGUAACCACUAGAUGUAAUUCCAUUAACUAGUAAUUAGGUUUCUAUUUCAUUAAAAUGACCUAGGUAACUUAGUCUUAAUUGUAAGUGUAUUAUGAACUCCUGUUAGCGAGUGAUUGUCCUUUAAUUUGUAAGAAUGAAAGUGGCCAGAUCGCCAACUCAAUAGCUUAUCAUUUUAGGGACAAGACCGAGUGGGGAGCUAAGAAUAUAAUUACAUAGGAUUCAC